AGUUAUAUACUUAUAUAUAAUAGAUACAUAUAUAAUUUUAAAUUUUUUUAAUAUAUUUCGGGUCAAACUGAGUCAAUUAUUGACCCACCGAUUAAAUCAUUAACCCACUAUCUCAACCGGAUCAAAUAAUCGAAUUGAAUUUCAUAAGUUUGAUUUAAAUGAUAGAAAAAUGAAUGGACAAGUACCUCUCCAUCAUCACCGACAUCAAUUAAUGAAAUGGCAUGUCAUUUCAUUUUCUGUUAAUUUUGUAGUAAUUAGUUAUUUUGAAAUAUUUUUCCGUCUUUUUGUUGGGAAAAAAUAAUGAUGGCAUUAAGAUAAGCACACAUAGUAAUAUUAAUAUAAGUAUGAAUCAUAUGGGCGUUGGGAACAUUUUCCCUUUUUACCUUGCUGAUGAAAUGACCAGCUAUUUGAUUGGUUUGAAAUACUAUUAUUAUCUAAUGGGCAUUAAAGGUAUCAUAAUGCAUGGUGAGCCCCACUUGAAAUGCAGAAUGGCGUUGGAAAUGUUCCAAAUCCAUGGCUUUUAGUGAUAAAGAUUAGAUAAAACAAACACGGAUCAUGAGAAAGAGUGUUAAUGUGAUCUUGUCACCACCUAAAUUUGUUAAGCCUACAUUCGGUUUUAUUCACCUCACCAGCCAACAGUUCUCACUUAAAAAAUAAUAAUGAAAUAAUUUGAUUAUACUUUACAUUUCCGUUUUGGAAAAAACACUUUUAGGUGGAGUCAUGGACCUACCUAUUCUUACCACAAAUGCCCGCUGCUUUGAAAAUCCAAAUCUUAACAUAGAUAAUCUAAUCUCGAUCAAAAACCACGACUAGAAGCUAUAAUAUAUUAGCUCGUAGCUGCUAAAUGAAUAUUUUUUGCUCCACCACUAUUUCACCCUGUCUCUGGCUCUCGGUUUGAACAUAAUUUUCUGUCGUUGAUUAACAAGCAAUAAUGUUUUUUCUUUUGAGUCUAUAACAUCAUGGCUUUUCGGUGUUUCUAUUUUUUGUCCAUAGGCUUUUCGUUUUUAAUGAAGGUUUUGUGAGGCCCAACAAGGGAAGGCUGCCAGGGCUGGUCAUCCAAAUUUUGGAUUGAUUCGAUCGAACAAUUCGAUUUUUUAAUUAUACAUUGAAAAAGGCUCGUUUAAAAGUUUUUUAUCUGACCAAAAUCUUACAAAACGAACUCAAAGCCUUAUCCUUGACAAAAUUGAGACCCAAAACGGGUGAGUUUGGAAGAGAAGAAUUAAUAUGACUUUUACACCUCUACCAUUCUACUUUAAUUCAAAUAUUUUUUCUCUAUUUUUUUUCCAUCUACCAAAUCACCCAAGAGGAAAAUCUUACGCGGAACAAGACUUAGUAAAUCACCUCAAAAAAGGUAAAUUAAAUUCAGAUUAAUUUUGGAUUUCUUUUGUAUAAGGCCCACCAAAUAACCAGCCCGACUCGAUGCUCAGAGAGUCAUAUGAUGCGGCGCCUAAGCCCAAAUGUUAUUUAAGCUUCGAAGCAUUUAUUUAUCACGUUUUCGUGAGUUGUAGAGUUUAGGUAAGUCUCACAAGUAUUCUACAUUGUCUUAAUGUAUGUUUGGUUUAUGGAAGAAAAUAAAAGAUUAAAUUACAUUAAUUACUUCUAAAGUUUUGUGAUAUAGUACAACUAUUCCCUGCUUUUUUUUACUCCUAUAUUAGUUUAGUUCCCUUAAUUGUUUGAAAAGCAUGCACUUACAUCCUCUUAUACAUUAUAGGAAUCCCCCUAAUUUUUUAAAAAACAUUAUACCGUGUUCCCCAUAAGGAGGUUACAAUAAAUGUUAAAAAAUAAGAGAGAAUGUGUAAUUUCUUAAAAUCUCAGGAGUGAUUAGUAUAAAAAAAACCAAAAAAAUAAUAGGCAACAAGCAAAUCACAUUUCUUAAUCCUUAAGACCAACUAUGAGUACAAAGCAACUUAAUAACUUAAAUUUUUCGAGCCAAUAUCAAGUUUUUCAAGUUUAUUGAAAAAUACUCAAGUUCCACAUUGACUAGAGAUAGUCUCAAGAUAGAGUUGAUAAGGUAAGGGCAACCCUGAUCCUAUGAGUUAGCUUUUGGGAUUGAGUAGGCCUCUCAUAUUACACAUUCUAAGAAAGUUGUUCACUAUAUAAGAAAUGGGGUGGGUCCUUUUUUGUUCUUUUGUUCUCCUUGUCUUUCAGACUCAAGGUAUAUAAAUUUAUUUGAGCACUCUCAUUUCUUUCGAAUUUGGUUUGUGCUAGUUUGAGUGUUACACUUGCACGGUGGACUCGAACACUUUGCUUUUGAGGAACACGUGAAGUUAUUUGGAAUUGGAGUUUAAUCAAACUUGUUAGUUGUUACUGUAAUUGGAUUAUGUUGCAAAAGAUUGUUCAUUGUUGUGAACUAUGUUAUUGGUUUAAAGAGAUUUAAUUGCGGUAUGGAUUAUUGAUUAAUCAAAUUAUGUUAUAUAUAUAUAUAUAUAUAUAUAUUGAGUUAAACCGGAUUAAUUAAUAAUUCAUUGAUUUGAUCUUUGACUCGUUAACUCAUUAUCUUAAUUGGGUCCAUUUUCACAACAUUGUGCAAGAAAACAUUCAAAGAAUAUGAAGUCUAUUAUUGUUGCACGAUUAUUAGGUGAUCAUAUUGUUGAUCGUGCUUCCGGAAUAACUACCCACAAGCAAAAACGAACCAAGAAUAACUAUUUUGAAAUAGUUAUUAUUGUUUUAAAAUAUGACUUUCAUAUUUCAGAAUAACUAUUCCUCAAUAAGGAUAAAUAAUUCAAAAACCUAUUUUGAAAUAGUUUAUGUUGGAAUAUGAUUUUCAUGAAUCCAAAAACUUACUUAAAUGGAGGGUAAUAUGGAAUUUUAAAACAUUGAGUAUAGAAAUCAAAAAAUAAGGUGCAGUAAGUAAUUACCGAAGUAGACCCACAAAACAACUGCACUGCUAAGCACAAUAUUUAAAUGCCAGGAAAAUGAGAUCCAAUAAUCAUAAACCGUUGCAUAUAUUCUCUAUGCUGAUAUGUUUUUCUCUUUUAAAAGAAAAAAUAUAUGUGGUCUAGAUUUUACUAUUUUAGGAAAUAUUUAUUUGAGUAUUUUUUCAGAUAUUUAAUAAAAAAAUUAUAAUUAUUUAUUCAUAAUUGGAAAUGGUCGCUGCAUGGCAUCAGUGACCUGUCCUGACACUAUAGAGUACUAGUACAGCUUUAACUUACCGUUAACACUUAACAGCACAGAAAAAGUUUGACCCCAAGUGCAGCUUUAACUUCGCCACUUAUUGAGUUAAGAUUGUUUAACACGUGGACAGUAGUAUGACUAUAUUUUCUUUCUUUCUUUUCAUUGUUAUUUUAAUUUUUAAUUUUUUGAAGUUUAAUUAUAUUUUUAGUAGUAUAAAUUAAAAAAUAUUUUUAAAAUUUCAAAUAAAAGUUAUAUAUAUUUUUUUAAUUCAAAAAGUGUUCUUUUAGUUUUUUAAAUAAAAAUUUGUAUUUUUUAGUUUCUCAAAUUUUGGAAAAAGGAAUAAAUUUUUUUUUAUAAGUUAAGAUAUUAAAAAUAAAAAAUUUAUUUUGGAGAAUUAAAAAAUAGACUCUUUAAUUUAAGGGAUUACAGAUAUAAUUACACUUACAUUUUAAACAAAUCAUUUUUUUGAAUGACUUUUUUUUUUUAAUUAAGGUAUAUUUCGGACUAAAAGUUAAAGAUUAGAUUCAUUUAAAUAGUUAAUUCUUCUCAGAAAAUACUUUUUCAAGAUUAUUAUCAUGUUAUACCACUUUAGUAAAUGAUAUAUUUUUAAAGUAUAUUAAAUGAAUUUUAUAAACUAUUUACUUUUUUCACAUUUUAUAUAUAUUAGGGGAAGAGAGGCACGGAGUGUCUCUCUAAAUUUUUUAAAUAAUAAAAAAUAAAAUUUAAAUACAGUUAAUAAAAAAUAUAGAAUAAAAAAAUUAAUAAUAUAAAAGUAGUAUAAAGUUAAUGUAAGUUAAAAGAAAAUUUUAAAAUUUAAGAAAUAGUUUAAAGGUAAAAUUAAGUGAAAAAUGGUUAGGGAGUGGCGUGAGACCCACGAGAAGCUUUGAGGUGUAACGUAACGUUCCUUCCUAUUACAUUCACAUACUACCUUGAUAGGGCAGACAGAGGGUGCACACUGCAGAGCCAAAUUGCAGGUUCGUGCGUGAAUCUAACGAAAGUUUCUCGUUCUCUCCAUUCCACUUCUGCGUUAGAUUCACGCACAAACUUGUCAUUUCUCUUUUCUUGACUUUUUUCUUUUUCCGUCAAAUCUUUGUUUGUUGCAUUCGACUUCGAAUUCAGAUUCAGAUUUCUCUGUUUAACGCUCCUUACAACGAUGACGCCGCGGCUACUGUAUGGCCUCUUCCCUAUUGCACCCAUUUUUGUUUCUUUUCCCUAAAUUUUCCAUAUUGAUAUGUGUAAUUCGGUAAGGAAAAUUUUUACUUAUUUUUAUUUAAGGACAGCCUUAUUCUCUGUUUCUCUGUUGGAGGUAAUUUGUUUGAGUUAGAUUACUAAGAGUGACAAACAAAACUCUUUACAUGAUAUUCGGUGAGGAGUUGAUUGCAUGAUUUUGUUGGUACUUGAUUUGUGUAAUUUCAUAUGCAUUUAGGUUCUGUUUCAAUAAAUUAUCCUACACAUAUUUGUAAAAAAAGAAAAGAUAAAAUUAAUUGAACUUAUUAUAUAAAAAUUUAUGUAUUUUGAUUUUAAUAUAAAUUCUUUUCGUUUAAUUUCUUCAAAAAGUUAAGUUAGAUAGAUUUUAGUGUGUUAAAAGCCUCUAAAUAUAUGGAGAAGUUUAUCAAAAACUUAAUCAUGCUAUCUGUAAUUGUUCAAAUUUUAUUCGAGGUUGAGUAGCUUUUGUAUGCAAUUUGGUGAUUGACAUGUUGAUUUGACGCCGAAAUUAUACUACUUCAUCGUUUUGAUAAUUAUACAACAAAUUUUGCGUAAGUUAUAUAAUUAAGGCGAAAUCAACAUUCAAUAGUGGCUUACAAAUCAGUUCACAAGAUUCCGUUACUCGGUAUAUUUACUAUCUCGUUACCCUGUUCUGGAAUACCUUUUGCUCAACAACACCGCUAGAAAUGGCCAAGUAUGAGUAAUGGGAGCUUGGGUGUUAAAAACAUCUCUACUUUUAAUGAUGCGUUGUUAGCUAAAUGGAGGUGGGUCUUGUUUAACCAAAGUCAAUCUCUUUGGGUUGAUGUUUUAGAGUCUUAAGUAUUAGGGUGGAAGGAUCUUUUGUGUGAGGAAAGUAAACCUAAAAAAAACUUUAUUUGGUGGAGGGAUUUGAGUAGGACAUGUGGUGGGGAUGGUGUUGUGGAGUGGUUUGAUAAUGAAAUUAGUUGGAAGUUAGGUGAAGGAGAUAGAGUUCGGUUUUGGCUUGAUAAUUGGAUGGGAGACUCCUUUGAUACACAGAUUUCCAAGAUUAUAUCUCAUAUCUUUACAAGAAAAUUGGUGUGUUAGAGAAAUGGGUGUUUGGAGGGACAAUGUUUGGGGAAUGGUGACGUGGCAUGUUUGAGUGGGAGAGAUUACAGUUUCUUGAGUUACAACAACUGUUGUCUAAUUUUGUUAUUCACGGUGGUGUAAGGGACUACUACUGGGUCUGGGGCGAAGAGGUCUUGGGGAUUUUUACCGUGAGUGAGUUCAGCUUAGUCAGCUCUAUUACAAGAUAUUGUUGAGUCACAACAGGUUCUUCCAUAGGCUCUAGAAAGUGAAAGCACAACCAAAGGCAGGUUAUUUGAUCUGGAGAAUGGCACUGAAUAGAAUGCCAAUGAUGGAUAACCUCAAGAUCAUAAGCAUUAUUGAGAAUCCGAUUGAUUGUGUCUUCCAUUUUUUGCUCCUAAGUGGAAGAAUCAGUUAGCCAUUGGUUUUUUACGUGUGGAAUUUUUGUUGGUUAGAUUCUAUUUAUUCCUAUUUUCGGUUUAUAUAGGGCCUAACCAUAGGAAGUUUUGGGGGGCUUUUAUUUGAUGCUCUGUAAGUGACUAUGGUACCGAAUAUAAUACAUGAAUUUUUUGUUGAUAAAAAGACUGCUAGAAAUGGCUCUAAGGUGGAAUUGGUAUCGAGUCUUCUCUGCUUUUUCUUUUUCCUUUAUACCAAUAAUUAAUUAAUUGUAGUGCAUUCCCACAUUUGGUAUUUUUUUCAUAGAAAACUGGAUUUUAGAGUUUGUUUUAUCUCUUCUUUUGAAACAAUGAGUAAUUGUUAAUAUUUUUUCGCAAAGCAGUAAUUGUUCACAUUAAAUUAUCGUUUUUCAAAAAAUAAAAAUAUAGUCUAAUAGUAUAGAAUUAGAAGGGGAAUAAGAAACAAUAUGAAAAGAGCAUUCGAUUUAAACAUAAAAGAUAAAAAGAGACUAAGGAAAAAACUUGAAUGAAAAAUAUAUUUUUUUGAACGAGCUUUUUUGAGGUUAAAUUGAGAAUAGAUAUAGAAAUAGAUCAAGGUUUAUUUUAAAUUUUUUAAAUAGAUUUAAUUUUGUAUUUUUAAAUAUAAUUUUUGAACCUUCCUUGUUAUUUUUUUUUUUUUAGUUUGGUCAAAUGUUUAGAGCCACAAAUGCCUUGAUGGUUGAACUGUAGAGACUAAUCUGACUUCUUUUUUUUUUUUUACAAUAAUAACAAUAAAAAAAAUUUAUUUAUGAAAGUAGAGUACUAUAAAAGUUAUUUACGGUGUAAGGGUUGUUUUUGUCACGUUGAUUCAGGAAACGUCAUCCUAAGUGGCGUCUUAUUUUUACCUUUUGUCAUUUUACAAGAAGCAUCAUCCUAUGUAUAGUAUCUCCUUACAAUGCUGGCAAGUCUAUUUGUAUAGGAUGAUACAUCCUAGAUGUAAUAUCAGGAGGCGCCAUCAUGUGUGGCAUCUUCAAUUGUUUAUACAAGAGGCAUCAUCCUAGAUGUCAAAUCCAGUGCAUUUUUUCGAAAAUAAAAACAAUUUGACUCUAAAAGACAAGGUCCUUUUGUCGUUCUUCAUCCGUCAAAAUUACAUAUCAAAGGUUAACCAAACUCUACACAUAUAAUAAAUGAAAUAGAGAUGAAGCGAUUUGAUUUGACUUGUCUAUGAAUGCAUCAACUCAAAUUUUGUGUUAAAAUUGCAAAACAAAUGCAAACAAAGCUGAAAAAUUAAGAAAGAAACACUAAUAUUAAAGGAAAAGCAACAAGCAUUAUUAUUAAAUGAAAGCCACCAACAAGAACAAUUUGCAUUGAAAUUACAAGGAAGGAUUGUUUUGGUUUUCAUUUCUGAUGUAGGCCAUAGUUAACUCAAAAUUGCGAACAAUUAUUCCUAUUGUGUCCUUCACACCUGUAAUGGCUAUAUGUCUGCCUACGUUGUAAUUCGAUGAUGUGCAUUUCAUUUCUUAUGCGUGUAGAUUUUGGUCGACCUUUGACAUGUAAUUUUGAUGGAUUAGGAACAACAAUAGGGUCACAUCUUUUAGAGUCAAGUCACUUCGAAAAUUUUCACUUAAUAUGCCAUUUUGGAUUACACCUCCUGUUCACUCUUGGAAAGCAACAACGACUAGCCAAAGCUUUGUAAACAACAAAAGACACCACACAGGAUGAUGCCUCCGGAUACUACAUCUAGAAUGAGAGGCAUCAUAUACAAAUACCACAUGUGCCAGCAUUGCAACGAUACUAGGAUGACGCUUUCUGCAAAAGGGCAAAAGGUAAAAACAAAAUGUCAUUCAAGAUGAUAUUUCCUAAAUGUGAUGCAGCAAAAAUAACUCUACAGCAAAUAAUUUUCACAUUACUCUCCUUUCAUAAAUAAUUUUUUAUUACCUUUAUUGUAAAAAAGUCUACUAGUCUCUUGCCUUGAAGUGGUCUGAGAAUGGUACCAAGCAUCUCCCAGCGGUGUGAUUCCAAAAGUUGUUCAACUUGAGCGAAGAGGUCCAACACGAAUCAUCCAUGCAGUAACAUGAUAAAGAUUUGAUUCCAAAAGCCCAGGUAAUUCAUUUUUUGGAAGACAAAUAGUGUGGCUGAUUCGUGUGUCAAGAUUGUUCUCUUUCCCAACCCUUUGGGAUUAGGAGUAUCAAGAUUGUUCCUCUAGGGGUGCAUUCUAAGGUGAAGUGAUAAAAAUACUUCCACACCGGUUUAAUUAUUCGUUUGACUUGUAUACUUCCACAAUUUUUACAAGUAAAUUCUUAUAUUUGGACGUUUUAAUCUUUAUGUAUACACUUUUAAUUCUGUUUUGCCCAGUUGCUUGUAUUUAAUUCCAUUAACUAAGAUUCCUGUAAAAAAGUAAAUUCUAUCAAUUAAGAAAACCAUUAGAGCCCAAAAAAAAACAUUAAAUUAAAUUUAGCAUUGUUACAAAUUGUCUGACAGUUGUUAAACUACUAAUUUUUUUCAAGGGUUAAACCACCACUAAUGUGAUAGUUUUUUGCGAUAAGCACGCGAAUUUUUUUUUAUGAUAACUAAUUAUUUUCGGUGAUAAUUUAAUUCAUAAAAGGGAGGAUUUGAUUUAAUCCUUAAAUAUGUAAAAAAAUAUAAUAAUUAUAUUUUUUUCAUUAAGUGGAAUAUAUUGUAAUUAAACUAUAAUAUUUAAUAACUAAUUUGUCAUUAAAUUAUAUGGUAAAACAUAAUUUUGACACAUUUAUUGAUCAAAUUAUUAUAAUUUUUGUUCUUUUAGAUAUUUAAUUGUCAUUGUUUUAUAUUUUUGGAAAAAAAUUGUGAUUUAUCCAAUUUUGUACACAUAGAUGUAGAAUUUUUCACUUUAAUAAUACAAAAAAAUUAAAAAAUUAUUCAAAUUAUAUACCCCAAAAAUUAUUUACACAAAUGAUAUAAAUUACUAACGAUUUCUCACCUUUAUUUUUUUUUUUCAUUUUUACAUCAUGAAAUCAAUUUUUGAGGAAUCAAUUUCACAUGUUAUUUUUUUAUUUAGUAUCAGUCAAACUGACGCUAAAUAUAUUUUUAAUGAUUAGAUUCACAAAUAUAUUUUUACUCAAUUUAAUGUUGACGCAAAAUACAAGAAAAUUACAUAUGACCUUUAAAGUGUUUCAAUUAAUGUUUAACCUUUCACUAUAUACUCUUCAUUUUUGUAUUUAUAUUUUGUAAUCUUAACAAAAAAUUGAAAUAAAGAUUAAUGAAGUACAUUUAUGUUUUUAAAAGUAUUUUUUAAAUAAAAUAAGUAUUUUUUUAUUUUUUAUAAUCUAAUAUUGAUAUUUUGUAAAUCGAUGUUAAACUCUAUGAUACAAGAAAAAAGAUAACACCUUGUGGUAUCAAUUACUCCCAUGACAUAAAAAUAAAAAAAAAUGAUAAGAAAUCGAUUUUGAAAAAAUCAAUUUCUCACUUUAAAUAAUAAUUUAUAUUGUAAAUAUUUUUUUAGUAGUAUUAUUUGAAUAAUUUUUAAAUUUUUUUAUAUCAUUAGGGUGAAAAAUUCCAUGAAUAUAUAGGUAAUUUGAACAAGUACAUAGUCUUGAGUCUUCACUCUAUAUUUAUUUAUUAAAGUAAGAGAACAUCAGGCACUUAAUUCUUUGGAGAAGAUGCUCUGGAUAGAUGACAAGGGCAGGUGGGGUGUUUAACGUGUAUAUUUCAUUUCACGGUUGGGUAAAGGCAGAAUGAAAGUGCAGGCGAAAAGGGGGAAAACAAAUUGGCUAGUGCUGUGCGUCACGUCUAAUAUCUUAGUUUGUCUGAUCUAAUCUAAAUUUUCUCGCAAACAGAAGAAAAGUCAAGCGCGGCACGAAUCGCGAUCUUUCCUUCUUUCUUUCUUUCGUUCCUUCACAAUCCUACCAGCCGCCAAGCCGCAGAGUCAACUUGUACAAAUGCCCACCGAAUCCAUUAAAACUAAAAAAUCUUCUACCACGAACACUUGUCUUCAUUCUUCAACCUUCGUUUCGUUUCUACCACUCCAUUCCAGAAUGCUUCGUUACCUGUUGGUGUUCUUCUUAUUGGGCUUGGGAACCCGGGUGGAGUCACACGAGGAAUCGGGUCAUUGGAGCUGCGAGUCCGAGUCGGAGAUCCGAGUCGAGACUGAGUUCAAACCCGGUGUAAUCACACUGGAUGGUCACGCUGAUGAUUGGAAGGACAUUGAUGGGUCCUACUUUCCCCUCCUUCCCGCCCUUGACCCAGAUGCUGAAAAUGAAUUCAAAGGGGGAAAGAUGAGCGUUAAAGUAUACACCACACAUUCUGUUCCGUUAUCUCUGGCCAGUUUUAUUAUUUAUUUUCUCAUUUGAUGAUCAUGAAUUUAUUGCAGAGUGUCCAUGAUGGCCGCGAUAUCUUCUUUCUGCUGCAAGUAGAUGGUGACUAUGCCUACUCUAAAGGGUAAAUAUGUCGUGCCAAGCAGAUAAAAUUUCAUCUACUCUCCCUUGCUACGAUUUAUUAUUGUGCUUAUGUUAUUGACUUGUUUCUAUUGAUGGUGUUUUAUAUGUUACAGAGUGUCCAACAUGUUUGGAAAGAAGAUAAGAUAGAUUAGAAAUAUGAAUUUAAUUUAAAUAUACUCACAUUGUAAAACUAUUUUGCAUUUUAUGUCUGAUCAUUUUAUCAUAUCAUACUAAUUAUAAACAUUAUGUGUCAAUAAGGUGAAUUCCCAUUUAAUGUGUGUAAGAAAAGUCUUACACCAAUACCACAUAUUAAUUAAAUUCUUUAUAAAUAUUAUCGUUUUUGGUGUGUUAAUCUAUGAUGAACUUUUGUCUGGUUGUUGCAUUGGUUUUGCAACGCAGUGAAAGCAAUAAAUGUCCAUCUGUUGCUCUCAUGUUUCAAAUUGGAGAUAGUGCCUCUUAUCAUGAUGUAAGUUUUGCAGUCUUUUCUUGCUUUCAAUUACAAUCCCAACCUUGCUAGAAGAUUUUGUAAAACUGUAUUUGAUAAAUAUUAUGUUAACUGUUAUAAGAUGGGUGGCUGUAAAGAACAUUCGACCUCAUGCACUGACAAGACCUGCAAAGGUCAUGAAGUUGACAUUAUGCACUUUUCGAUAGGAAGUGCUAUUCCAGGACGACUUUACGGUGGCAAUCCCCUAGACAAUAGAGAUGGGAAUGGUGGCGAUAGGUUAUGAGCUGAAAAAUUCCUUGACUUUCAAUUAUGAUAGUCGUGGGCUAUCUUAUUUGUUGGUUGUGUUCAUUCAGCUUCCUAUAUUUGUUAUUGGUACAGGUUUGGUCACUUGGUUGAUCUAUAUGCUUGGAAUCCACAUUGUAGAUACUUGGAUGGAAUUGGUCCUCCAGGUUCUGGUAUGUACAAAUGCAACACCAUUGAUAAGAAUUAUAUGCUUCUAUGACUGAAAAAAAAAAGCAGAACAAAUGGAUUAAAUUAUUAAAACACCAAGUGGAAGUAUCACAAAUGGUUCCUAAAAUUUUAAAAACUACUGUUUUGUAGUUGCACUAAAUAGGACCAUUGCUUGCAUGACUUCACUCUUGUUCACUAAGCACAUCUUCCUUGAUACUUAUACCUUUUAUUCAGAUGUUCAUGCAAUUCUUUUAGGUGUUUUGUACAUAAAGAGAAUUGCUUAUGUGGAACAUUUGUAUUCUUCUAUAUACAUUUUUUAUUGUCAUAUUGCUUGUCUUUUCCUAUUGAACAUUAUUUAGUUUGCUUACUUAUUAAUAUCCUUCAUAGUUUACUCACUUUGGCCAUAUAAAUAAUAAUAAUAUCUUGUUUUGAACCGUACACAAGGUGGUCCGUUAUUUUAUUCCUUUAGCUUAGCCAUGAAAAAUCAAGGUUCACGUUUGAUAUUAAUCUCUUCUGACUUUGCUCCUUAAUUUUUUUAUCAGUUUUUGUAAAAUAAUUUAUCUUUGUCCUACAAAUCCCAAUUUAAAAUUGAUGUAACUUUACAUAUGAAAGUGGAUCCCAAAAUGAUUAAGUAGUGAUUGGAUUUUGGCAUGUGUAUGAUGCGUUUUAAAUUACUUUAAGAUGGCUUCAUUCACAUUGGAAGAAAGGGAUGUGUCAAAAUUAAUUAAGACAUCUGUUAUUAGUAUACUACAGGACAAGUAGAGAGAUAAGUGCUUUUUAUGCUAACAUUGUUGGAGUACAAGUGUGAGGUGAAGUCCCACAUUGGGUAGAAGUAGAAAAGUUGAGUACCAUAUAAAUGAGAAGAAGACCCAUAAACCUGAGUUCCCUUAUGUGAUGACUCGUGGUCCACCGGUGUGAAUCUCCCUGGUGUUUACUCCCCUCAAAUCUCCCCAACAACUGGUAUCAGAGCCGAUAAGCAUCAUUUCCAAUUCGGCUACAAACCAAAACUAAAGAUAUUAUUUAUAAUGAGAUUCUUCUUAACAACUUUUUUAAUGUCCUUCUUAAUUUCCCUCUCCCCUUUUACAUAGAAAUAAAAACCAUGAAAUCUACUCGUGUGUUUCUCGUCGCCUUUGUACGUGUCCAGACUACUUUACCUUGAUUUUCUGCUUUCCCCCCCUUAAAUUAGUGCAAUAUCAAUAUUAUAUGAUAAAACUUGCUCUUGAGCUUUGAUAGGUACUAUGCAACCACAAAUAACCUCAAAUACUUUUCUCCAUUUUUGUUAUCCUGUUUAUAUCUUCUGUGUGACAUCUUUAUUAAUUUCCUCGUCAUUUUGUAGUAUUGAUCCCAAAUAUUUAAACUAAGAAACUGGUGGCAUGACAUCUCCCAAUUUUACUUCAAGUCAUAUUCCUCUUGCCUCUUACAAAAAUUGCAAUAAUAUACUUUGUUUUACUCCUACUUAAGCGAGAAUCCUUUGUUUUUAAAGUUUUCUUCAAAGCUCAAGUUUAAAGUUAACAACUUUCCUUAAUUCAAAACUAUAUCAUCCACAAAAAACAUGCAAUCAGGGAUAAUCUUUUGUAUGUCCCUAGUAAGCACACCCAAGACUAAAUUAAAGAAAUAAGGACUUAAGGUUGAGCCUUGGUGUACGCCUACCCCUGUCGAGAAGUUCUUAGUCUCGUCUCCUGGAGUUAUCACACUAGUAGUUUCCCUAUCAUGCCUGACUUAUAUAGUUCAGAUGUAAGUCACAGAAACACCUUUCUUUUCCAAAGUCUUUCUAUUUGUGACCUUGAACUCCCUUCUUAAGUGAUUUAAUGUUCCUCCUCCUUCUUGAAACAAGUGUUCAUAAUCCUAAAAUCGUAAGUAAUAGAGAAAUCAAGAAUAAACUGUCAUUCCUUAUUUACUUCUCUAAAACUAGAACCACCAUGGGCUUCUAUAAAUUGCCUUGUCUCACUACGAAUAUGUUCUUUUAGAUCCCUUCCUGAGAAAAUCUUUUCUUCUUGGGGAGUUCCUUGAACCAAUCCCACCAAAUUUUCCCAAUACUUUUCUUUAUAAGUGCUUGUAAUCCUACUUGUGAUGCUUAAGUACUGAUGAUGUUGGUGGUCUCCUAUGCAACCAGUAAUUUUAAGGCUAACAUUGUGUCCAAUUCAUCUUGCAUCCCCUAGACUAUUUCUAAUACUUGUCUGCAAUAAUACCACACCAUUCUUUUCUCUAAUUUAAAUCCUAUAGUACCUAACUCCUUGGUCUCUUGUAGGCACAUAAUGUUACUCCUCCUUUGAAUUAUGGAUCUGCCACCUUCAUGAACUUACCUGUCAAAGUCCCAGUAUUCUAAGUAGCAAAAAGCUUUGAACUUCUUUAUCCACAUCCAUUCAAGAAAUUGUGAGGACUCUUGACCAUUUAACACUAUAUCCGAGCACUUUAUGUCCUGACUCUAAAUCAUUUGACUUUGUAUUCAAGCCAUACAAUGCCUUACUUAAUCGAGUAACUUUUGAAUUUAAUCUCUUAUGAGAAUCAUGAAUUAAGUUUAUGUUGGUAAAUUCUGUACAAGGAAUUGUUAAGACACUUUGUUGGUCAAUUAAAGCUCGUUUUGUGGUCAAAUGUGAUAUGAUAAGAUAAAAUAUAAGAGCAGUAUAAGAACUUUAAAAGAUAAAAGUAGGAUAAGCUUUAAUACUAUUCAAUGUUACACCAUCAUAUAGACUAGAUAACGAUAGGUGGUGGUUGUGUCGGCAACGAUAACCGUGAUAAUAGCGGUGACAAUAAUAAUAACGAUGGUGGUGGCGAUGAUGGUAUUGAUGGUGGUGAUAAUGGUGGCAAUGGCGAUAGCGGCGACAAUGAAGGCAACAACAAUGACGGUGGUGGUGGCGGCGACGAUGGUGGCGACAAUGGUAGGAGUGACAACGCCAGUGAUGGUGGUGUGAUGGUUGUCAUGGUGGAGAAGCGAUGAUGGUGGUGAAGAUGGUGAUGAUGGUGGUGGCGAUGAUGACAGUGAUAGUGAUGGGGUUGGUGAGGGCAACUAUCCUAUUCUGUUGCUCUCUAACCAAUUCACCCCCUCAGGAUAAGAAAUACACUGCAUCAUUAAGAUAGAGUAGGAAAUAGGGUAAGGAAAUCAUAUCCUACUAGUGCACCAAACAAUUUAUUACAACAGCCUAAGAUAGUUAUCCUAUCCUAUUAUACCAUAUUCUAACUACCAAACAACAAAAUUUCCAUUGCUUCAUAAGUUUUGAAUAGAAUGACAAUGCAUCUCUUUUUUAAAGAGUUAGAAAUCUGUAAGGAAAGACAUUUUCCCCAAGGCAAUUAAUUUUUUCUUUUAUGUAUUAUGACUUGCCGUGUUGUGGGUUAUAUAUAAUAUUGUUUUCAACCCCUUCAUUUUGUUGAUACUUGAUCACUUCUAAGUUAUAUUAUAGACUGACCCUUUUUCUGUUGUCAGCUAAUGAUUCAAGUGCGCAGAAUGACUGGAAAGGUGCUUGGUGGCAUAGCAGCUUCACAGUUCACUCAGGUGUCUGAUUCAUUUAUUUAUAGAUCAAAAAAUAAUAUGUCAUAUCAAUUAACUGUAGUUGGAGGCUGAAUCCAGACUGAAAUUUUGGUUGGUAGUGACAGGAAUCUCAAAACAAUAUUUUCUGAGCAGUAGUUAAAAUGUGUUUCCUUAUAUAUCUAUAUACUACUUAUGAAGUGAAUGGUUCGUAUAUGAGAUCAAAGCAUGCCUUGUACUAAGCUUCAUUUAUAAAUUUUGUUUUAAGAUAUGUCAACAUGACUUCAAAAUUUUUCAUAUAUGUUAGUGCCAGUUGCUUUCAAUUAUAUAUAAAUGGUGCCAUCUUGGAGGGUUAAUCCCCCACUAAGUGCCAAAAGUUCAGUGAUCCAUUAAAGGACAACCCGCUUUGUUUCUUAUGGCUUCUUGCCUUACAAUUUUUUUUUAAGAGUAAUUCAUUUUUCAUCCUCCAUAGUUUCAAGCCUUGUCACUUUAGUCUCUCAAUUAUUCAAGGUAUCAUCAAAUCGAUCCUUCUUUGAUGAUAUUUUGCUUGAUCAAGAGACUAAAUUGAUGAUAUUUUGUAUUGUUUAGGGACUAAUUGAUGUUUGAAAUAUUUGGAGUGUCAAAGUGAUGACUCUUAGCACUGUUGAGGGAUUAAUUUGAUGAUAAAAAUCUUGAGGAUCAAAUUGACGACACUUAUUUGCUUGGAGGACAAAAGUAGGGAUUUACUCUAUUUUUUUAUGUUAAAGCAUAUUUUGGAUUCUAUAUUUCUAGUGCAUGAGUGUUGUCAAAUACUGAGUCAUUGACUCAAUUAGGUGCGGAGUCACCGUUUCAAAAAGUAAUUGAUUUACUGGUUGAACCAUAUGUAUGUGUAAUUAAUCUGAUAAUAGGAACAUUAUAACUAACAUGGAGUUCUGGUGAAAUGGUUUAUGUUAAUUGAGCUGUUAAUUAUUAGGUUGUAGGUUAAAAUUAUUAGCUCAUAGAUUCAAAUUUUGUCUGGAACUUUACACUAAAUGUUUUACAAAACCAGUAAAAAUCAUUAACUUCAUACUAGUUCAUACUGGUUGCAACUUGCAACCUUGUGUAUGCAAUAUGAACAUCUGCCUCAAAUACAGUACCUUAAAUUUGAUCUCUCUGCUUUGUUUUGCACUGUCAUUUAGUUAGUUUGCAUUUUUAUUUUCUCAUAUUGGUACUCACAUGCUUCUCUGUAACAGGAUUCGUAGAGGAUGAGAGUCCAUAUGCAGAUAAUGGAAAAAAGGGCACAUACUUUUUUGAAUUCUCGAGGUCUUUGAGGACUAUGGAUCAUCUUCAACAGGUUGGAACUUAGAAAGUAAUUUGAUAUUCAUAAGUUUUAUAGGCUAAGAGUUUGCAUUGAUUUUUUCAGAUUUUUUUCCCAAUUAGCUGAAUUUUUUGUUCACAAGUUCUUUUUCGAUUAAUUUUUGGGAUCAUUUGUAAAUCUAAUGGAUUGUGGAUGAAAAAACAUAUGAAAUUAUUUAUCAAUUUUAAUCAAUGUUGGCGUAGAGUACCCCAAGUCAUGUGAUAAACAUUCCUUUUUAACUAGGUCUCUGUGUUGUUUGUUGUUGAAACAAGUUUGACUUUUGAACUUGUACUGGAUUGUUUGUAUUACCUUGUUUCCCAAUGCAAACUUGCCUUCUGAAUGUAUAUUUCUUAACCAUGGCCAAAAGCUUAAAACAAACAAGAUUGAGAUCACUAACUCUUUUUUCUUGUAUUUUGUUUGGGGUGGGGGCAUGGAUGAAAAAGAUCUUUUCAAAUAUAAUAAAUGUGAUUGUAGGGAUCUUCUGAAUCACGUGGUUUUUGUUUUAACAUGUGGUUAUUGUGUUUAUCUUUGAGUUUCUUCCUAUCCAGGGACUCAUCUUGUAGCUUGAAACUAAAUAUAUUUUUGUUUUAGUAGCAUUGUACCAAAUAGUAAAUAUAUUCCUGAAUAUCAUUUAUAAGAUAACAAGCAAGUAAAAUGAUGUAAAAUAAUACCUUGCAGGACGUGCAAUUUAACAUUGGUGGAUCCAGUAAGAUGUCUGUUGCAUUCUGGUAUCCAGUAGAUGGUCAACCUUGGCAUGGUUCUGGGCACUACUCUGUUUACUGUGAUUGGGUUCCCAUUGACAUAUCUGUUGGUAAAUCUUUGAAUGGCAAGUCAGUAGAUGCAGCAUCAAAUAGCUCGUGGAAUGUUGCUAGUGCCUUUUCUGUUAUACUAUCAGUAGCAGCACUUUGUGUGUCUGUUUUUGUGAGCUAUAGGGUGUUCAGCCCCAAGAGUGUCUCUUUUACACCGAUAGAGAACAACAACCUUUAAAUAUUGAACCAAGAGCUUGAGUUUGGGAUUGUACUAUUCAUUUCGCUUGUACUAGAUAGGUUUGUACUGUUUAGUGCUUUCUCUUUGCUCUAUUUUUUUAUUAUAACUAAAGCAUUACUUUAGUUAUUUUAAGCAGUGUCAGAAAAGUAUUAAUUCAUUAUCAACAUUAUGGAGUUCCAUCCUCUUUGGCUUAGUUAUUGCAAUUGCAGUACCGUUUGCUUUCAUUCAUUUCAAAAUGGAACUUGAGUUGCAAUCCGGCGAAAGAGAGGAAGAUUUUGAGUAUUAAUAUAAAUAAAUUGAGACAAAUUGAUAGCAUGGCUCCUUCCUUUUGGUUCACAAUCAGAUAUCUUGAUAGGCAUAACAUAACUGUGAGAUUGACUCUUGCUGAAAGUGACGGUUAGGUAAAAUUUUCUUUAGGUAACAGCGUAAGAGUUUAAUUUCUAACAUUUCAGACAAAGUUUACCUGGAGUUGUAGUCUAUUUUCUCUUCAACUAAUUUAAGUGAUAAAUUGUUCGAUACAAAAUACACACAGGGGCAGCCAAAUUGAAAUGACAUCCUUGACGAGGGAUAGGUGAUAUAAUUAAAUUUAACAAUCCUUGUGUAUAAUUGUAUCAAUGUUGCCACUGUAAAUGGUUAAAAACUAUGUCAAUUUAUCGAAGAAACUAGCAAGAAUAAUAGCGAUAUAAACAUAAAAAUACUUAUCGAUUACUACUAGUAUAGCCGUGCUGUUUUUUUUUAAUUAACGGGCUCGGUCUUUUAUUUCUAUAUUUUUGUAAAAGUUAUAUUAGCAAUGCUUGCAUUGUUUUUUUUGCAUAAUUAUAAUGGUUUUAAUUGAACCAAUAAAAAACACAAAAAGAGUUACUGUCAAAAGAACACGAUGAGAACAAGGAUAAUAUUAUGAUAUUGGGCCUGUGAUCGAAUAGUUAUAGAUCCUUUUAAAAUGUGGCAAGCCACUUCAAUGGGCACUCAUAAGUUAGUCUCUUUCAAAAUUAUGAAGGAAAGAAAAAAAUUAAAAUGUGAUGAAUUUCUGCCUCCCUAUCAGAUUAGCCUACCUCUAUCUGUGAAAAAAAAGUGCUUAGUGUAAAGACCUUGCAGAAAUUGUGACAUUGGAGAAUGUAGGUUUCAAUGUCAUCUGAAAAAUUACAACUUGCGCAGAGUACAGGAUAGUGCAUGUACAUAGAUUUUGUUAAUAAACGAGUCCUCUAACAACUAAUCCCACCUGAAAAAAUGAUGACAAGAAACAAAAAUACCUAAAAUAUCACCUAAAAGCAUACAGUAUCAACUAUAGACUCUUUAGCGUAAGUGACUCCAUGACAAAAAACAAAAAUACCAUAUAUUUGUAAAGUUAUUUGAAUAUCAUUGAUUGUUUAAUAGGAGAGAAAUUUUUUGUUUACCGGAAAUUAUAAGUAGAAAAACUUAAUUUUUUUAUGUUUCAUAUAUUUUAAAAAAAUAAUAUUCAAGAAAAAUGAUGUUUUUUGGAAAGUUUUUUAAUCAAUUUUUUAUUUACUUUUCUGAAUUUUUCUACUAGAAUAAAAAUAUCAUAUUAUUCUUUAUUAAUUAUUUAAUUGUUAGAAAAUUUAUCUAAAGAUUUUCAAUGAUUAACCAAAUAAUUUUUAUUUGUUUUUCACAAAACACACUGUGAUUUCUGAGAAUAGAAAACCUUUUUCCCUAAACGCCCCAUUAGGAAAACCCUUAGGGAAAUUAAAAAACUGAUGUGGCAGCUUCAUUGGUUUUCUAAAAUCUGAAUUUUCUGAAUUUUAAAUAACCCUGAUUAUUUAAAAUCUGAAUUUUCUAAUAUAAUUAUUUUUAAUAUAAUUAUAUUACUAAAUAUAAUUAAUUUAUUUAUGUCAUUAGAUUUAAUUAAAAGUGAGAAAACUUUUUAUUUAACAACACUUUUUGUUUAACAAUUUAUUUAUAGAAAAAUAUUAUAUUGUAUUAAAAUACUUAAACAAUUACACUUGGUAAAAACUUCAACUCAAGGUUGUUAGGAUAAUUAUUUCUGUUAUGAUCAUGUUGUCGACAAUUUCCACUUCACAUUUUUUUCUACUUUUUUCAUUUAUUUUCUUCUUGGUGAUGAUCCUUUGCCUAACCCAAUCGGAUCACGUUAGAUUGUGUCUGAUCUGAAUGCCUAACCCAAACCAAUCUAUUCAUUGGAUCUCAAUUAGACUAGUCCGAUCGGUUUGUUUUGAAUUUUAAAACACUAAUUGAAAUGGUUGUCAUUGUGAUGUCCUUUGGUUUAGCCUAACAACUUUAACAUAAAUUUUGACUUUUAAACUUUAUUCACCUCAUUGGCUCGAAGUUGAAAGAAUAUUUACCCUCCUAGUUUAACGCCUAGCUAUAUGUCAUUUAUGUUUAUAUUCGACCUUAUAAGUCUCAUUUGCCUAUUUGGCUCAAGGUAAGAGGGUACACAACCCUCCUGAUUUUAGGUCAAGAUAUAUGUCAUUUAUGUUCUUCUUAAUUGACCUUUUAGGCCGAGAUAUAUGUCAUUUGUGUUCUUAAUUGACAUUUUAAGCCUAAUUUGCCCUUUAGCUCAAGGUUGAAUGACUCUACCCUCUCAAUUUUAGACGGAGACACAUACAUCUUAGAUCAGUGGUCGGAAUGCAGUCCUAAACUGACAUCACAGAAAUAGGUCUAUUUUCUAAUGCCUUUUGGGAUCGACGAUAGCAAAAUAUCCCCUAAUUGGAUGAUCACCAACUAACUUUAAUUUAAAAUCCCCUCAAAUCUAGAAACAUAUAGAACUCACUAUUAAAUGCUCUAGUCUUAUCUCUAGAUCAUCAUCUGGAGGUUUCCAGUAACAUGGACAAUCACCUAACAGGUAUAUCAACUAUAGACUUCAAGGGUUUCAUAUUUAAGUUAAUCAUAAUGGAGUCGUGUUAAAAAAUUUGGAAGAGCUUUGCUAACAGAUGCUAGUGCUCCUAGAUAAAAAUUAUUUUUUUUUAAAAAAAACUAGACUGAAAUAAUAACUAGUGAAAAUAAAAAUAAAACCAUUUCCUUCGUGAAGUAUUAAAUUGUAAACGAUUAUGCAGAAUCUGUUUCUUAUCUUAGGGAAACCAAGUUAACAGAUUGCACCUACAUGCUGCACAUAAUUGUUUUUCCAUGAUAUCUAGUUCUCCUGUGCAUGGUAGACUCGAGAAUCUUCCUUGAAUCCUGGAUCAAUUUCAGGAGACAAUUCGGACGCAGUAAUGUGAUUUUUAAUCCAGGAAUCAUCGAAAUUGUUAGCCUUGAGAAUCUUGGACAACUCAUCAACACCAUCCACAUCCGUCUCUUCUUCAUAGUACUUCAGAAAAGCCCCAAGAACUUGUGGUGAAGGACGCCAUUUACCACCCUUGACUUCUGAAAGCGCUGCCUCCAAGUACCUCACAGCAGCAUCCAACUGAUGCUUCUUCAAGAAAAACUUCAUGAACUCUUCCCGAACCCUAAAGAAAGGCCCUUUGCUCCUCCUGCUAGCCUCCUCAAAUACCGAUUCAGCUUCUUCCAGCUUGUUCUGAUUCAAGUGAGCACUAACACAGACACUAACCAACCUCACAUCAUAGCUAACACAACUAGCCUCCCACUCCUUAAAGCAUUUUGUUAACCCCUCUAUAUCAUUAAGCCUUCGGAGGGUACUAAGCAUAACAAGAUAGCUGAAGUUGGUGACAGGGGAGACAGACUUGAGGGAAUUCCACACUCUAUGAACCUCCCCAAGAUUACCGGUCCCUGCAUAAAGGCCAAGCAAGCAAUGGUAAGCAUCACGCUGUUUCGGCUUCACUUGUUUUUCCAGCAUCUUAAGCAUCAUCUCAGCUUUCUCAAAGUCCUUAAACUUAACAUAAAUAGAAGCAAGGUUGCUGUAAGUCUGCCAACCAAUUUGGUCUUCAUCUUCAGUUUUCAUCUCCUCGUAGAUUCUCUCCACCCCAUCAAGAUCGUUCAAAGAGGCGCAGCUGUUCAUCCAGAUAUAAUAUGUGAAUGCAGACAUGGGAAUGCGCCUCUGCUUCAUAAGCUCCACCAGCUGAGCCACUUUCUCGGGUUCACCCAGUUUCAUAAACAGAGUCAUGACAUUGUUGAAAGCCAGAUUAGUGACAUAACCCAGUUCAUUCAUUCUGUCAAAAUGACUCAAUGCCUUGUCUUUCAUUAGUUCCUUACAGUAACAGUUCAGAAGAGCACCGUAGGUAUACAUGUUCUUGGCUGCAGGAGGAAGACCGCUGAAGAAAUUCUCAGCUGCAACCACCCCUUUGGUUUUGGACACAAGAUCUAACUGCACUGCAUAGUUAUUCCAGGAAAAAUUAACUUUCCUCAUCUGCAUCCAUCUAUAUCNNNNNNNNNNNNNNNNNNNNNNNNNNNNNNNNNNNNNNNNNNNNNNNNNNNNNNNNNNNNNNNNNNNNNNNNNNNNNNNNNNNNNNNNNNNNNNNNNNNNGGUUGGAGAGAAUGACCGCGCUAGGUGUAGUUGGUGGUAGUGGUGCCCCAGUGCCAGUGGUAUGUUCUAGUGUUAGGAACACACGGUUUCGCGUAUCCUUCUCUUCUUCUCCGUCAUCGGGACCCAAAACGGUGCGUAUCUUCCACUUUGGUUUUUCAUAUUCAUGCUACAAAAUUCGCUUCGGGCAAUGCACGAUUUUUCCCGAUAUCCCGAAUUGAAUCAGGUGGAACAAGUGGGAAUUGCUGCUCCGAAAUCUGAAUACAAGCCCGGUGUGUUUGAUGACUUGUUUCUUAAUUUGUUCCGCAACAAAUUGGUACAGGUAAAGAAAAGUAGAAAACCUUUUAGACUCUUCUUGUUAUAAUACAUGAUGGUUAUUGUAGUAGCUGAGUGUGAAAUGUGAUUAGUAUAACAGGAGGUGGGUUGGGACUCGGAGAAACCUGGAUAUGAUGGACUAAUUGAAGUUGCCAAUCGUCUAAUGAUGAAGGGCACUACCAAUACUGCUACCGUGGAAGCAGCGGUAUUUCCAUUUGUUUCUCUCUCUCUCUCUCUCUUAAGCUUUCAUUAACUCGUUACUCAAUUACCCCUUUUCAAAAUCUUUCUUAUAUGCAAUAGCAUUUUCCCCAAAUUGUGAACCUUAAAACUAGUAUUAUAUCUGUAUAAAACUCCUUUAAGAUAAGAAAAUGUAUAACAUGAAAAAACCUAGUUAAUUAGUUUAAGCAUCUUCAGUAGGAGCUGUUUAUGGAGUUCUUAAACUUAAGAAUCAAUUCUUAUGCAGUUUUACUUUUACCAUUCAAGCAAUCGACGUGGCAAUUCUUAUAUAAGAAAUUAAGAAUUGUUUGUUGCUUAUUUAAGCAACGUUCUUAACAGAGUUUUUAAGAAUCGAGAUAAUUACAGAACCCAUUUUAAGUUUUUAUGAAUUGUAUCAUUGAGGAGGAGGAAACUUGUUGAAUUUCUUAAAUUUCAUGUGGGAUUGUAGGAUCUAUCAAAAGUGAGUUAAGCAAUUCCAUUAUGAUUGCACUGUUGGAGUUGCUCUAACAUAUAUUGAUUGAUAAAAUCAUUUCAAAUAAAGUAGACAGUAAAACUUUUUGGCUCAAAUAAAACGUAAAAAAGCUUAUUAGGUAAAAAUGAAAACUUGUUUUGUAUGUGAUUUUGUUUGAGCUAGUUUUAUCUUUAUAAGGAUCAGAAAUUGAGGUCAUAUUGACUCUAUAAGGUUUUUCAUCAAUUUUGAAUGGUCAUGUUGUCCGAAAGUAAGUUCACUAGCUGUUGUGACUUGUGUCAGGUACGAAUAUUGAGAUCUCUAUUCCCUCCAUAUCUUUUGGAGCUCUAUAAAAUGCUCAUAGUUCCCAUAGGAGGAGGCAAAAUUGCAGCUAUGAUGGUUGGUGAGUCUGAUCAGAUGCAUUUCAUUUUUCUAUUCUUCUAGAUGAAUACCAAAUCUUUGUUCAUGCCUGAUGUUCCCCUGAACGUAACAGGCUAAUAAACUUGUUUAGAUAUCCUAAAAUGUUUUGGUUUUGACUUUGAAGCAAGGGUUACUGUACUGACUUGUCAAUGGCUCAUGGGCCCCUGCAAACUCAAUUCUGUAGACCUACCAGAUGGAAUCUCAUGCAGUAGUGGGGUGAUCACUUGUACUUUUCCAUGUGUUUGAUCAUUUUUUUUAGAGUUAUAAAACUCAUACCAAAUGAUCCUGUAAUUUUCAAAGUGGUUUUAUAAAAUCUUGUAGGUGUAUGUGGAAAGAUGCAAGUAUCUGGAGGAAAGCAAGUGUGUUGGUAUUUGCACCAACACCUGUAAAUUUCCGACACAGGUUAGUGAUUCUUCAAAAUACUUGCUCUUUUUUCUCAUGUUGCAAUGAGAGCUAAGCAUGUUGUGCAUGCUUCGAAGUGAAGUUUUUGCAUUCACUGGGUGAUUGCAUGUGAUCUGACUCUAUUUUCUAUCUAGAGCUUCUUUAAGGAUCAUAUGGGGGUUCCACUACUUAUGGAGCCGAACUUUGGCGAUUACAGCUGUCAGGUAAUAUUAAGUAAUCUUUUUUGGAGACCACCUUUGUAUGAUUACCUCCUUGUCAAUUAGUCAUUACUUUCUUAUCUUUUAAAAUUGCAGUUCAAAUUUGGAGUUCUUCCGCCACUGGAUGAUACGAUCGUGAAGGAGCCUUGCUUGGAAGCAUGUCCAAAUGCUUCCCAACGACGAACGGUUGCCAGAAAUAUUGAUAUAACUGCGUGCCCAAAGACAUGAAUAUAUUUUUCUUGGGCUUGGGGUUUUAACAGUAUUUUUGUAGACUUUCAAGUUUGCAAAGCCUCUUGAAAAUUUUGGUCCCAACCUGUACUUGAAGAUGGAACUCCAUAGCGAUAACUCAUCUUUGACCGAGCUCAGAUGAAUUUAUUAUUAAUACAAUUCAUCCUUUUCUAAUUAGAUUAUUAUUUGUUAAUAUUUUUUAGAUUAAAUUAGUGUUUUGGUACCCUAAUUUAUUAUUUUGGUUUAAUUUGAUCCAUUAAUUUUUUUCGGGUUCAAUUUAAUCCUUUAAUUAUUAAAAAGUGUUCAUCAUUUGUUCUCAUCUAACGAGGUCAAGUCUGUGUUCAUAUGUUCACCUAAAAAAAUGACACAUCUUUUAUUAAGUAGAUUCUACCGUUAAUAAUUGCGAUGCAAUGGAUGACGAGAAUAACAUUGAAUCUCUUCUAAAAAUUAGAAAAUUAAAUUGAAUAAAAAUAAAUAAAAGAUUAAAUCAAUUCAAAAUAAUAAAUUAAAGGACAAAAAAUUAAUUUUACCUAUUUUUUACUUGUAUACAUUGAUAUUUAAUCAUCUUAGUUCAGAUAUUUUAAGAUUAUGUUAAAUAUAAAAUAUUUUUUCAUUUUAUGGUUGAAGAUAAAUUAAUCAGAACUGUUUAUCAAAACAAGGAGGAGGAACCUCAACCUAUGUCAAACAUAACCUUUUUUUUUUUAUAUUUCCAAAUUUCUCCAAAAUCCUCCUCAAGUAGUAUGAUUACCCGAACUUUAUCCCACCAUUGUUGCCUCUCUUGGCCUAAUCUACCUCACAAUCUAUGUCAUCAAUUUUUUCAAGGAUCGCGAUGUUGAGUCCUCAAUUUUGAAUCCUAAAACAUUCACUUUUCGAAUUGAAAAUGAAAAGUUUAAUGUUACUUUUGAUUUAUUAUGUUUUUCCGUUAUUUUAUUUUGAUACAUUAAAUUUUAAAAAUUUCAUUUUGGUCCUUUAUGUUUUCAAAAUGUAUUAUUUUGAUUUUUUUUAAUUUUUCAUCAAAAACCCUAGUGUUUUGUUAACUUUUAAAUUUUAAAAUGGCUUAAUAUUACUUUUGGUCCAUUAUAUUUUACAAAUGUUUUGCUUUGAUAUAUUAUGUUUUAAAAGUUUGAUUAUGAUCCUUUUAUAUUUUUGAAAUGUAUCGUUUGAUUCUUUUAUCACUAUUUCGUUAGAAACUUAGUGUUUGUACGUGUUUUAACAUAAUGGUAGCUAAAAGUUGCAACUAUCUUUUUUAUUUUAAAAAAUAAAAAUUAUUAAGUAAAUGAAAAAAAGAUGAAUAUGAACAUCAACCAUCUUCACUCUCAUGUUAUUAUUAGUAUUUUUUUCAUUCAAUUUAAUCAUUUCAUAAUAAAGAAAAAGUUGUAUGGAAGUUUUUCAGUGUAUAAGAAUUUUCCAUGGUUCUAAUAAGAUUAUGUAUUGAUGCUGUUUAAUUUGUGUAGUAUUGUAUUUUUUAUCUUUUCAGAUCUAAAAGAAGUUGAAAGAGAUGAUAAUUUUUUUAGUUGUUUAUUUUUUUAAAAUAAAAUAAAAAUAGUGACGAUUUUUGGUCAUAACUAUAUAAAAUUAAUUAUUUUAAAAGGCCUAAUGUCACUUUUAGUCUAUUAUGUUUCAUAAUUAUUUAUUUUGCUACAUUAAAUUUUAUUUUGAUAUUUUAUAUUUUAAAAAUGUAUUAUUUUUUAUUAUUUUUUAAAAAUUAAAAGAACACUAAUAUUUUUUAAUGUAAUAUUAAAAAAAUAUCAAAAUGAUAUAUUUUAAAAACAUAAAAAAAUAAAAAUGAAAUGUUUAAAAUUUAAUAUAUGAAAGUGAAAUAAUUGUGAUAUAUAGUAGACUAAAAGUGAUAUUUAGGGGAAAAAAAAGAACUGUUAUUUGAGCUGAAAAAGGAGUAUUUGAGCAUUCCAUUUGUUUACAAUAUUAACAAUUAGACCAAGUCCAUGAAAAACUCCUUUUGCAUUAGCGACAGCUCCCACAUGUGUUGCUAUGAGUGCGUGAGUACAUGGGGUCCAAACUUCUGCAUGAGAAGUUUAUUUAGAUUCUUGCCACAUAGGAUAAUCGAAGUCACGUCACGUCAUCAACCGAAAAAGAUACGUGAAUGAUGAUGAUCUUCACGUAGGAUGCUACAUAAUGUAUGAUGAAUAUUGAAUGGUGAUAUAAAAUGAAGAACUAAUAAAGUUAUUGUAUUCUGAAACAUAUAUUUUUGUUAAAUAUUUAAAUAAAAAAAAUUGCCACUUACAAUCAUUAUAUUUUAUUCGGCUCGAAUAAAAUUAAUUCUAAUGGUCUAAAUAAAAAAUAAAGAACUAAUGGAUGAUCUGUGAUCGUUUGAUAAGAUAUUUUUUUUACUACAAACUUGUUUUAAGCAAAAUAAAUAAAUAAUGACAAUGUUUUUAAGACUAAAAUAUAUUCAAGUGAAUAUCGUUAUAUUUUCUAAUUCCUACAAGUUAAAUAAUUUGAAAAUAAAAUAUUUUAAAAAAAUAUAUAUUAUUAAUAUUUCUAUUUAAUUUUUAUUUUAGAAUUCUUAAUAAAUAUUGUAAAAAUACUCCUUGCACUAAUCUUUUAGAUUAAAAUAGAUAUUUGAUAUUUGUGAUGUUAUGUCAUUAAAAAUAAUUCAAAAUUAAGAAAGUAUACAUUACAAGAUACAAAAGAUAUCUUUUUUUUUUAAUUAUGUGAUUGAACAUUUAAAUAAUAUUUGAUUUUAAUAUUUGACAAAAAUUAUUUUUUAUCAAACUUUACUUACCCUUUAAUCGAACUCUAAAUUAAGAAAAAUCUAUUUUCCUAAUAAAUCAAAUGGUUAAAAAAUAAAAUAUAUCUUUUGGUUCUAUUACUAACAAAAUAACUAAAAAAUUAACUAUAAUUUUAAUCGUAUUCUAAUUAUGUUUUUCUUCUAACUUAAACACUUUAUUCAUAUUGACUUGAGCAUUAUGUGACCUAAAAUCUACAUUAUCUUGUUGUGUGUGAUCAAAAGAUUAGACAUGUCCAAGGAUUAGUUUAAUACUUCAAAUUAUCCCACAAUUUCAAGAAAAAACUCUUAAAUUAAAAAUAAAACCAUACUAAUAAAUGUUAUAAAGACAUUAGUAAUAUUUUUUAAUACACCAUAAUAAAUAUUUUUUAUUUUAAAAAGUAAUAAUGUAAUUAUAUUUAUUUUCCAAAACAAUAAAUAUUUUUUCAUAAUUACUACUUUACUUUGUUUCAUAAUUACUAAUUAAUGCUUGUAUAAAAAGUAUACUCCUGUUUAAAAAUAUCGUGAGCUAUUUAAAAAUUUAGUAAACAAAUACUACUACUUUGAAAAUGUUACUCAGGGAGUAUUAGUAUUACAUUAAUAUUUUUGAACUUUAACAUAUUAAAUAUUUCGUUUAAUUUAGCAAUUAUUUUUUCAUAAAAAAACAAUUGUUUUUAAUUCAUUAAAACAGUGUUCUAAAGUUUUCUUUUAUCAAAUUUCUUUGGAAAAAAACUUUUAAAAUGACGGCAAAACAAAAAAAAUAUUGUUUUUAACUACUAACAAAAUAUAACAAAUAGUUGCAAACUAGUCUAAUAUUUUUAUUUUUUGUAAAGUGCAGAAAAGAAAUUUAUCAACUACUACUAAUAUUCUUGAAACGUUUUAAAGUAAUAUUUCUGCGUUGAAAAAAAAAAAUAAUCCCGGUGUGGUGACGAGGCGUGGAAAAAAUAGAGAAGAAACGUGAUGAGGCUUCUUAUAGCUUAUGCAAGUAACUACUAAGUAACCGCUAACAGUAACACCUUCGAUUCAACUCAGUUAUGCCCACUUCCUCCACUCCGAGUCCAAGUCACUCCCUCAACUCACUCCCCGCCGUUCAUUUUAUCCCACCCCUGUAGAUCUGAUCUGGACCCUUCCCGGCGUCGCUGAUGUUGCUGCUCGUCGUUUCCACCGCUUUAACCGGUAAUGAUAGGUUUUCGUGUGUGGACCAAUCUUAAGUUUUUUUUUGGUUAGGUUGGGUUUGUUUGACAUUUUUGCAAAUAAUGCAGGUGCGUUGAAAUGGUUGCUUGUGUUGCUAUCUUGCAUGGUGUGGUUUGUGGUUGAUUAUGGUGCGUGUGGCAGAGCACUGCAGCUGGAAGCACCUUCUUUGUCUCCAGCUGCAGCACCUGUUGUUGCUGUUGAUGAUCUGCCACUGCCGACGAAUGCUCAUGGGUUAAAGCAUUUGCCUGCACCGAUUCCGUCACGCGCCAAUUUCACCAAAGGGAGAGGAGAAUUACAGCCCCCGGUUUCCGGGUUUAAGAAUAUUGCCCCUAUGCAUCCCAUUGCUGAUGCUAUUCCUUCUGCUCUCGCUCAGCCACCAUUGUCCCCUUAUGUUUCCGGUAAGAAGAGAAAAAAAAUUACAUUUCUAAUGAAGGAAACCCCAUUUUAGUCCCUGAUUUGUUAUAGUAGUCUAUGAAAUUAGAAAAAAUGUUAAAUGAAUUCAUUAUAUAGGUGUAAUCAUACCAUCACUAAAGCACCUAUGCAUCGGAUCCCAUCAGAACAAGCGUGCUUAGACAAUAAUAGUAUUAGGAUAGGUAAACUCUUGGGAAGGAUGUCCUCGUGUUACACAUCUUCUGAAAAAAAUCCUGAAAUUAAAAUUCAUCAGUCACAUUAGUCUAUGCCGUUAGCUUUGUUAAGAACUAUAGUGAUGCUAACUACUAAGGGUGUAUUUGGAUUUCCGUUCAGACAACCCAAACGGACGUUCAUCUCAUAAGUUAUAAAAUUUAGGGACUAUAAUGAUAAUAAAUUAUACAUUUCAGGGACUAAUGUCAGUUUCAGGGAUUUGUUUGAUAUUUUUCUAAUUUGAGGAACUACUAUGCGAGUGACUCCUAAAAUGGGAGUUUGCUCAUUUCUAAUGCUACUGUGUGUUACUUGACUUGGAAUGUGCUUUUUUUAAAUUUUAAUUGCUGAAUUAGUUUCAAAGUAAAACAUUAUCUCUCUUUGUUGUGCCAGAUUGUUGCAAACAAGACAUGGUGUGGAAACGUGGCAGUGAGGUUUGCCACUGUGCUUAUCCCAUAAAGCUAGACCUACUUCUUUUGAAUGUCUCUGAAAACCCCGACCAGAAUGCUUUUCUCAAUGGUUUGGCCACCCAACUUGAGCUGCAGACUACCCAAAUUGAAAUUAUUAAAUUUUAUCUACUCAGCUUAUCGACGUUGAAUAUAUCAAUGGAUAUCACUCCACAUAAAGGGAUCAGUUUCUCGGCCGAGGAAGCAGCUAAAAUAAACUCAUUGCUUUUACUGCAUAAGGUUCAACUAGACCGCAGAUUUGUGGGCGACUACAAAGUAAUCAAUAUAACCUGGUUUAAACCUCCACCUCAUUCUCCAGGUAAGUUCAGAACUUUAAAAUUCUGAAAUAUGACAUUACAAAUCGUGAUGCUUUGGUGUUCUUAAUAAUUGAAACUAACAGUGACUGUGAAAUGAUUAUUGUGCAAAAAAACACACAUCUAAUGUUUAUUUGCACAAGGUACUGAAACCUUUGUAAUGUAUGUAAAUCUAAAAUCUUACUGUUUUAACUACUUCCAUGCUAUUGUUUUAAUGUAUAUAGAUUUCAUGUCCAUUUGUUUUUCGUUUUUCCAUUGUUGCUGCCUAGUGGUGACUGGUGAGAAAAGGAAGAGAGCGAUAUGCUGAUGCUAAAGGGACUAAUCUAUUGAUUGCUCAUUCCUUCUGAUAGCUGUUAUGUUUUGAUGUUUCUUGAUUCAUUUUGUAUUGAACCUACAAACGAAAAUCAUAUAACUUUGAUGCCUAGGAAAGUGUUCAGCUACAUUGUCAAUUGUGCAGUGCAAAUUUGGAUAGUUGUUUGUAUAUUGCUAAUAUGCGACAUUGUACUGUUUAGCUAUCUGUGUUUGUGUAUUGAUUGUAAAUAUGGCCAAAGUAGAGCUUAUAAGAUUUGGACAUUCUUCACCUCAUAAGCUAGUUUUUUAGGUUGAGUUAGACCCAGCCCAAAUUUAAGAUGGUAUUAGAGCUUAUCAUAAAUCCAAAAAUCUACCUAACUCUGCGGCUUUCCCAGUGCAAUCUACCUGGUCCUGCAACUUUCCUAGUGCAAUAUAAAAAAAAAAGUCUUAAAAUAUCCACAUUUCAAAUAGUCCAAUCCUAGGCAUGAAGAGGGUGUGUUGAGAUCCCACAUCAACUAUAGAUAUGACUAAAGUAGAGCUUAUAAAGGCUUGGACAAUCCUUAUUUUAUGAACUAGUUUUUUAAGUUGGAUUAAGUUGAACCCAAAUUCAAGAGUUUGCAUAUAUGGUUAUGUUGAAGACAUGAUUUGAUUACUAUAAUUAGGGAAUAUUCUCAUUAGCUGAUAAUUAGGGAUUAUUGUCAUUAAUAGUCUUGAUUAUGUUUAGAUUUCUAGGUUUUUCGAUCCCUUUCUCUUUCUUUUCUCUUUUUUUUCUUUCCUUCAGCCGCAGCCCCCCUUUUUUGUCUCAUGAACAGUAACCGCGACCACUGCGAGCUCUGCUGUGCCACCACCGAGCCGCCAUUUCUCUCCUCAACUUCAACGGUAUCUAGUCUCUGCUGAUGUGACAUUCUUUGAGAGUACUUUUCUCCUUCCACUGUUGAAUAUGCCCCUCUGCAGGUUCCACCUGUUGUUCCAACACCACUCAUUGCUCCUGCUCCAAGUCCACCUCCACUACUCACAUACCAUUGACGAACACAGGCACUACCAGUAGUGCCACCUACUGAUCCUCCAACAUCAUCUUCUGCUCCAAACAUCUGUCCACCAUCGUCGCCUGCACCUGAAUUUUCCAUUGGUGUUCGGUCCACUCGUAAUCCCAAUCCUUUAUAUGCUUUUAAUCUUAAAUGUGACCUUUUAUCACCCUCUUAUUAUUCUUCUAUCUCUUCUUUGCAUUUUGUGUCUAUUCCAAAGUCUACAGGUGAAGUCAUGGCUGACCACAAUUGGUAACAGGCGAUGAUGGCAAAAAUGGCUGCGUUGGAUGCCAGCAACACGUGGGAGCUUGCUCCCUUGCCUCCCAACAAAUCCACUGUUGGGUGUUGUUGGGUCUAUCGGUGAAGAUCGCACCAGAUGACACUAUUGAUCGCUACAAAGCUCGCUUGGUGGCUAAGGGAUAUACUCAGAUUUUUGGUCUUGAUUAUGGUGACACUUUUUCACUUGUGACCAAAAUGACCUCUGUUUGAAUUUUUCUUGCUAUGGCCACAAUCCGACAUUGGCCUCUUCACUAGUUGGACAUCAAAAAUGCCUUCUUGCAUGGUCAGUUGCAAGAAGAGAUGUACAUGGAUCAGCCACCUAGUUUUACAGUCUCCGAUGACUCCUACCUUAUCUGUAAGCUUCGCCGCUCACUCUAUGGCUUGAAGCAAUCUCCUCGUGCUUAGGUUGGUCGUUUAACUCCGCUUUGCUUGAGUUUGGUGUGACUCGCUGUGAAGCUGAUCACUCAGCAUUUGCCCUUCAUUCUAAGUCUGGAUUGUGCCUCUAUCUUGUUGUAUAUGUUGAUGACAUCGUCAUCUCUGGCAAUGACUCUAUGGGGAUCCUUGGCCUCAAGUCUCACCUUCAUAGUCAGUUUCAGACUAAGGACUUGGGCCCCCUCAGGUACUUCCUUAGCAUCGAACUUGCCCAAUCCUCAUCUGCCAUUGUCAUUUCCUAGCGGAAGUAUGCCUUAGACAUUUUGAUCGAGACUGGUAUGAUUGAUUGUUGCCCGAGCGAUACUCCCAUGGAUCCUCAUAUGAAGCUUCUUCCGAGUUAGGGGGAGCCAUUGAAAGACCCUGGAAGAUAUCAUCGUCUAGUAGGCAGGCUUAAUUAUCCCACUGUCACUACACCAAAUAUCACAUUUGCAGUCAGUGUGGUUAGCCAAUUCAUGAAGGAACCAUGUGAUAGUCAUUGGAAUGUUGUGAUACUUAUCCUUCGAUACCUCAAAAAUGCACCGGGUCGCGGAUUAAUAUAUGGAGAUAAAGGCAAUGCCAAAAUUGUUUGCUACUCUGAUGCUGAUCGGGCAAGAUCACCAUCAGAUAGGAGGUCCACUUCUGGAUAUUGUGUUCCCAUUGGAGGGAACUUGACUUGGAGGAGCAAAAAGCCGAAUACAGUUGCUAGAUCCAGUGCUGAAGUUGAGUACCGUGCUAUGGCAGCAACUGCAUCUGAGAUUACAUGGCUUAGGCAACUUCUCCAACAACUAAAAUUUGGAGACACUCAGGAUACUAGACUGCUAUGCGACAAUCAAACUGCUCUCCACAUUUCAUCAAAUCUGGUCUUCCAUGAGCGGACUAAACACAUAGAAAUUGACUGUCACUUUGUGAGAGAGAAGGUGCUCUUAGGAGAAAUCAUCACUGACUUUGUCAGCUCAGGCGACCAACUUGUAGACAUGCUUACUGAAUCCCUCAAAGGUUCUCAUGUUGACAACAUGUGUAACAAGUUUGGUUCAUAUAACAUACAUGCUCCAGCUUGAGGGGGAGUGUUGAAGAUAUGAUUUGAUUACUAUAAUUAGGGAAUUAUCAUUAGCUGAUAAUUAGGGAUUAUUGUCAUUAAUAGUCUUGAUUAUGUUUCCCUAAAUUGUACUGUUAUUCAAUUAUAAAUAAGAGUAUACAUGUGAGAUACAACACACAAUUACAGUAAACCUUUUCUAUAGGUUAUACAAUUACAAACGCUUUAUUGCCUGUAUGUUAGUCUUGUUGGCUUGUUGCCACAUUUUUGCUGAACAUUUAAUGUGAUAUCCCAUUUUAUAGCAACAUUGUCCAAUACUCCUAGUUUCUUUGGUCUCUCAAGGCUUUAGAAGAUGUACAUAACUACAUCUAGUUUUCUUGAACUUGUUAGUUGUAAUGUAACAUAGUAUCAGAUAUUUUUUUAUGGUUACUGCAUUCGGUCCGGUGGAAGAGGAAUUACUAACAACUGCCUCUUCAAUCUUCAUGGGGCUUGAUGGUGGUGUUAACAAUGAAUAUCUAUGCAUUUAUAUAUAAUAACGUCUUUGAAUUCUAAUGCAGCUCCUACAAUUUCUACAUCACCUAUGAAAGCUCCCCAGAGACGAGCACCUACAGCUACAUUGUCGAGUACUUCAGACAGGGGAAGGCGUUCAAACUUGCUUCUUAUUCUUGGAAUUGUCACUGGCAUACUCUUCAUUUCCAUUGUAUGUGUACUUAUACUUUGCUUAUGCACAAUGAGGCCAAAAACAAAAACACCUCCCACAGAAACUGGUAAAUAUUUCUAUUUCAAACUCCAUAUUACCUUUUAUUUUUCUUUUUUGCAUUCUCUAUAACCACCUAGUAAAGGUGAAAGCUGCUGUGUAUUAUGUUUGGUCACCUUUUUAUAUUUAGAUAUUGUAAAGGCAAUGAGUGUAGCCAUUAAAGGAGGUCAACUUGGGUUCCCUUAAACGAAAUUUUUCUCAUGACACAGAAACAAGGAGAGAAGUUCUCUGACUAAAUUAAUUGCAAUUGUUUAGGAUGAGCAUUUUCGGAGUGGAUUAUAAAAUGCUCGAAAAAAUAUUUACUGGAAUUCAAUAUGGAUGUCUACUAAUAUAUUGUGAAUUGUGAUCAUUGAUUGUGAAACUUGAUACUGUAUACAAUUUUAUCAACUGAAUCAAGAGUAGUUAUGCUAUUGUUGUAAAAUAAUGGCUGCCAGUUUUCAAGUAGUUAUAAAUCUGUUUGGAGGAAAAUAGCAAAGGCCCUUUUUAACUUAUUGAGAAACUUUUCAGGAUUUCAACCUAACUUGACUUUUUCAGCUAUUGAAAGGUAGAAAUACAUGUGACUCAAAAUGUACAUUUAAUAUUUAUGGAGAAAUGAGAUGCUGUCCAUUGAUGAACCCAUAUUAAAAGGAUGAUUGCUCUUAUCUGUUGACUGUUGCUUUGGUAUAUUGUCUUCUAGGCCUGCUACUAAGGUUUGCUCUCCUUUCUACAGAAAAGCCAAGGAUUGAAAGUGCAGUUUCUGCUGUUGGGUCUCUUCCCCACCCAACCAGUACCCGCUUUAUUGCUUAUGAAGAACUUAAAGAAGCAACAAAUAAUUUUGAACCAGCAAGUGUACUUGGAGAAGGAGGUUUUGGUAGAGUUUAUAAAGGUGUCUUAAAUGAUGGAACUGCUGUUGCAAUUAAGAGACUUACUAGUGGAGGGCAACAAGGUGAUAAAGAAUUUUUAGUUGAGGUUGAGAUGCUUAGCCGGUUGCAUCAUCGUAACCUUGUAAAACUAGUGGGAUACUAUAGCAACCGUGACUCAUCACAAAAUCUACUUUGCUACGAGCUUGUCCCAAAUGGAAGCUUGGAGGCCUGGCUUCAUGGUAAUAUAAUUUCUCAAAUCAUGGCAUCAGCUCUGUAAUCUUGAAAUGACAUGUUUUGCUUCUUCCAAAUUUACAAUAACGUUUAAGAAAGUAUUUUACUGUGCUUAAUUAAAAUUGGCCUUGAUUUGUCCUAGGUCCGCUGGGAAUAAAUUGCCCUUUGGAUUGGGACACUAGAAUGAAGAUCGCCCUUGAUGCUGCAAGAGGACUUGCAUACAUGCAUGAAGAUUCACAGCCCUGUGUAAUACACAGAGAUUUCAAGGCAUCUAACAUAUUGCUUGAAAACAACUUUCAUGCUAAAGUUGCAGAUUUUGGUCUAGCUAAACAGGCACCUGAAGGCAGAGCUAAUUAUCUAUCUACUAGAGUCAUGGGCACAUUUGGGUUAGUUUCAUUCUUUUCUUUCUUAUACUUGUUAUUUUCAUUUAAUUUAAAUUUAAGAUGAAAUGAAACUGUUAUAUAGGUAUGUAGCGCCUGAAUAUGCUAUGACUGGACACCUGCUAGUUAAAAGCGAUGUUUAUAGCUACGGCGUUGUCUUGCUGGAACUGUUGAUCGGAAGGAAACCAGUGGAUAUGUCACAGCCAUCUGGACAAGAAAACCUUGUUACUUGGGUUAGAUUCAUACCUAGACACUUACACAUUCUCAUUAAGUUCAAAAUUUCCAUUUGGAGUUUUACAUGGGAUAUACAAUAAUUUACGGGGUUAUUCUUUUCAGGCAAGGCCAAUUCUUAGAGAUAAGGACAGCUUGGAAGAACUUGCUGAUCCAAGGCUUGGGGGAAGGUACCCAAAGGAAGAUUUUGUACGUGUUUGCACUAUUGCUGCAGCCUGUGUUGCUCCUGAAGCAAGCCAACGACCUGCAAUGGGUGAAGUGGUACAAUCACUUAAAAUGGUGCAGCGGGUCACAGAAUCUCAUGAUCCUGUGUUAGCGUCAUCCAAUACACGGCCCAACCUGAGACAGUCCUCUACCACUUACGAUUCUGAUGGGACAUCUUCAAUGUUUUCUUCAGGUCCUUACUCUGGUCUAAGUACCUUUGACUAUCACAACAUUUCGAGAACGGCUGUUUUCUCUGAAGAUCUUCAUGAAGGACGAUGAAAGUACUUGGAAAGUAUGCACCCAAAGGUUUUUCCCACCAUAAUUUAGAGAAAUUUUCCUUCACAUAGCUGAAGGUGGAACCAUAACUGAAGGUGUUUUCUUGGUUACAGUGGGUAUUCUUCUGUGAUCGCUUUUGCCAUCCUCCUCGGUAAACCACCAUCCUUUCCCCCCCUAGGAGACAGUGUUUCCACGUGUGGAUGAAAUUUUGUAUAUAUAUGUAUUCUAGUUUGUUUUUCCAGAUUGGCUUCAAAAGCCUUUUUAAUUUAAUAUAUAUCUGCAUAGCUUCACUAUCAUCAUCAUAUUCAAGGACGGACAGUAUUGUUAACAGCCAAUGGCAAGUCGGGUUUCACUAUGAUUCCGCGAAAAGCCAACGCCCCUGUUGAUUUUUUUGGCUUAAAAAGAAGUGCAUAAUAUUGAUCCCAUGAAAGCUUGGGAGGAUCCGCGGAUUUUGAGUGAUGGCAUCAUUGGGGUUGCCUUUCUGCGUUAGCUGCGAUUUGUGUCUGUUGUUUGUUUACUUUCCACCGAGUAUAAAACAAGGGACACAUCAUGGGUCGGUUUCUUCAUUCAUCCAUAACUAGAUGUAUAUCUUCGCCAUUAUAAAUUUGGCUUGCAGCAGUUUUGUUUUGGUUAUAUUAAUACGUAGGUCUUUGUAGUUCUGGAAGUAUUUAACUAUAAGAUAGAGAGUCGGGGGAAAAAAAUAAGGGCUUUCCACUUUCCAUGUCAGAAAUGUCAUAUUAGUAGUAUUUAAUGAAAUUUUGAGGGUGUUAAUCAUUAAAGAUUGAAUUGUAAAUUUUAAUUUAAAAGUUUUAAACUAUAAGAACAUAAUUAAAAAUAGUGAAGCUAUAGACCAUAGGCAAAUUAAGAUAUUUCAAAUCCUUCAUUUUGGUUCCUUUCUUUUUUAGUUGGCAUUCUAUUCGGGCAUGGAAGGAAACAUGAAGCAUGUGGUCUAGAACCCAAUUCACUAAUUUUUACCAGGUCAACUUGUCCCUUUCUAUAUUAUGCAAGAACGUGUGGGUGACAUUCAAUCAACAUCUUUCAAGCGGAAUAGAAACAACGGCUACCAUGCCAAAAUUUGCGCGCAAAAUCCCAAGAAUAAAAUUAUAAAACCCCAUCCCAUACUUGGAACACAAACGCAGUCCGAGUUUGUCCAUUGUCUCUACUCUUAGAACGCGCGCUUCUAAAGAGAAGAGACAAUGGAUCACUUGAGAUUCAACAAAACCACCCUUGUCCUCAUCGGAACCCUCUCUUGCCUCCUCCUGUCCAUCACUGCCGUCCCCUCAACUCGCGUCUUGGAACUCGCUCCCAGCGAAGCCCCCACCGCGGAGCCUAUAGCCUCCGGCAUCAGCCUCUUCGACAAUCUUCUUGCCAAGGAAUCAAGCCCCAUGAUUCUGAAAUUCUGCACCGGCACCGAGAACCCCACCCUCUGCGCCGAAACCAUUGCACCAUACCUAACCGGCACAUUCGACCCGAUCCAGGCGCUAGAGACCGAGAUCAACGCGACCCUGGAGAAGGCGGAGGAGAUCGCCGGCAACAUCAAGAAGAUGCUAGACGACCCGACCACGACGAAGAACGCCAUGGACGCGUUGGGCAUCUGCCAGUCGCAGUACGAUAACAUUCUAGAUAACAUAAAGGAGACUGUGGAGUUGGUGGGGAACCAGAACGUGGUGGAUGCUUGGUACAGGUUCAGCUCUGUCCUUUCGUACAAAGAAGCAUGCGAGGAUGCUUUCAAAGAGUCUCCCGGGGUCGACAUGCCCUUCCCUGAAGAUAACACCAAGCUGUUCCAGUUGAGCGGCAAUUGCCUCGCCGUCAUGGACGGCAUUGUUAACAAUCACAAGAUGUAAAUUGUCGUGUGAGAGAGACAGUGGGUGAGAUCUAGAGAACAAUAGGUCCUUAUUAUUACUAUUAUUAACCACACGCGUUGAUUAACAACUCUGUGUGUGCAUGCAUGCAACAUUGUUUCUUGUUUCUGAUGAGACAGUACUGUUAUCUUCGUCAAUACGUACCACCUAUCUGUUUUGCAACUUUGGAUAACAUAUAAAUUAUUAAUCCCUCCAACAGGCUAUAAACAUCAGUUCAUUAACAAAUUUAAGUAUAUUUAAGGAUUUUAUUUAAAUACGCUGCAACAGUAGUGAAAAGAUAAUAGGUUUUCCCUUAAUUUCCGCAUCACUUGACACGGUGUCCAUUCUCUCUAACAAAUUUUGACGCCAAUCUCUCUCUCUCUCUCUUCCUUGCAUGUUACAUAUGCCUAAGUAAAAAUGAUUUUUACAUUCUCAUCAAAUGAUAGACGUUUUUGUAGGUUAAGUAUUAUUGAUUUUUUAAAUAGCUACCUAAAUAAUCUGUGUAGAACGUCAAUUUCUUGUGUCCCUGCUCCCUGGUCCUAAGUCAAGCAAAAUGGCCAAGAGUUCAGCAUGAAUGCUGGAAGCAAUACCGUGCAAAAUAUUCAUGAUUUUAUUGGAUUGGGUGAAAUUAUAUAGAGAGGGAUUCGAACCUUUAACCAUUUCCAUCAUCUAUUUUCUAGCUUUUCACUAAAAUCCAAAAAUCAUAAACAAUUAAUAGUUCUUUUAAUUUAAUUAUGUUUUAUUAUUUUGUUGGAACCUUGGUAUAUAUACUUUCACCUUAGUUGUGAGGUUCCCGAAAUGGAGUUAAGUAAUUAGUGAAGAAAUUGCAGCGCUUGAGGCCAACAAUUAAUAAAUGGACCAUUGUUUCCCCUUCUACCUAAUAAGCAAAAAAACUGGUUGAAGAUAUGGACCUACAAUACAAAAUACAAUUGAAUGGAAGCUUAAACAAACACAAGGUCCAAUUACUAUAGCCUUGGCUACAACGAGCAAGUUGGGAUAAACUUUGUUGAGACUUUUUCAUCUAUCACGGCUAAAAAAAAAAAAAAAUUAAGUUGAUUUUUUGACAUUUUUUGAGAUAAUUUUGAAUAUUUUGAAUUUGUCACCUGAAAUAGGUUUUUAAGCCAUCUUAAAAAGUAGGUUUCUACAUCGGUUUUGACGACCACCGUCUUAGAAUGUCUUUUUGCUUUAAAAAUGUAAAAAAUUGAAGAUUCGAAGAUAAUUUUUUUUUAGAAAGGAUGUUUUUUUAUGUUUUAUUUUUUUUAAAUAAUUAUUUAUUUUUUUUACAUAUAGGCCUGAAGGUAGAUUAGACCAUGUUUUAAACCUGUAUAAUUCUAAUUUAGUAGUGUAUAAUUGUUUAAAAUAAAUAAACCUAUGGCACUAAAAACUAAACUUUAAGAGUAUAGGGACCAAAACCAUAAUUAUUAAGAUUAGAGUGACAAAAAAUAUAUUAGAAUCAAAUACAUAUAUGUUUCAUUACACCAAUCCAAAUACAAUAUUCUCUCCAAUGGUUAAAUAUCUUCAUUGGGUAUCUUCGCAUCAAAGUUUCAUUACACCAGAGUUUAUGUAAUUUAAUUGGUGCUCUAAGUAAAUCAUCUAGAUUCCUACACAACUUUUUUAUACUUGACAAAGUAUAUUUAAUUCAACUAUGGAAUGAUAUUAGCCUUAGGGAGCUAUAACCACAAUCUUGCCUGAGCAAUUACCAAACCGAACAAAGUAACCAUUUCCCUGCAAAACAAGAAAUUUAAAUGUUAUCAUAAUAUUUCAAGUUUUACAAUUAAUAAAUAAGAAAGAUGAGGAACUAUAUCAUGAAUAUAAAAGUUUCAAUGUGAUGAAGAAAAAAAAGUGACUAUCAUGCCUCAGCUAAAAGCAAACAAGUAUGUCACAUCAUUUUAAAACAAUCACAACAAUCUAAUUUAGAGGUAAUAGUUUUAUAAAAGAACACUAUGAUGGUGAUACAUUGGUGCACCACCUAUUAUUUAGUUGAUGGUUGACCCUAGAAUUCACUAUAGAAGGAAAACAAAGGAAUUAUCCUCACCAUGUGCUAAAAAAACCCACAAAAAUAUGGUCAUGGAGGGAAAUAGGGAUGGAUCUGACCAAAGACAUCAAAAGAAUACAAUUCGUGGUAGCUUCUGCUGUUAUAAUUAUGUUCUGAUGAGUUACUUUUAUAUUCUAGAGUAUAUUUUGUCCUCCUAAUCAAGAACUUCUUCUCCUUUCUUUCAUGCUUAGUUUUAAUCACCUUAUGAGAAAGACUUAAAAUGCAAAAAGCUUCCAAAAGAAACAUUGAAGCCACCAAUGGCAUUGAAAGCAUAAAAUAAUUAACAACCUACAUCCUCCAUGAGUGAAAACAAAACCGUCCAACCUUAAAAACUGCAUGUAGAAUAGAAAAAUCCAUCUUCCCUUUAAAACCCAUACAUCCACAUCCUUUACAUCUAGCAAUCUAGCAUCAUAACUAUUUCCACAAUUACAACAUCCAAUAUUUGGUUACACUAAACAAGGCAACCUAACUAGGAAAUAAUUACACAAAUUCUUAACAUAACAAAGAACUCUUUACAAAUUUUACAUACAACCAUAUUUAUAAUCCAAAUACAUAGUUCUUAAAACACAAAAGUGUUAUGUUAGACCUCCAGUUACCUAUGUAUGCACUAGAAAGAAGAAUCACAAGAGCCACGACAGGACAAUGAUGAGCAAGAAUAAAAGAGAAUUGGAUUUAUCUUCUUAUAACUUAAUGUUUAAGUUGAAUGAGUAGAACUAGGGAUUAUAAUAGAAUAAUUAAAAAAGAUAAGGGAGUUUGUUAUUGGUGAGUUAAUUAAUCUAAAGGGGAAAGCUAAGAAAAAGGGAGCAGAGGUAUUGAUUUGGAAUGGAGGUUUCAGUCCCUUUAAGUGUUGUUUGUAUAGUAUUUCCAUUAUUUUUCUAUCUUGUUAUCAAUUCCUUGUUAUUGAUCUACCUAAUAGCGGCAGUAAGGGGAUUUUUCUAUUAUAAAUUCAAAAAAAUACCAAUUUCCUAUCUAUUCUCAUUACUUGAUUCCUAAAUGUUAGAAGUCGAAUACAUAUUAACAGUAAUACCCAAACCAAUAUCACCCACCAAUACCGAGGGGAAAUCCAUAACAAAAAGUACAUUAAGAUCUCAUAUGAAUGGCUUAUUCAUCUCAAAAUAGGUCCAGAAACAUACUUGCAAGACACAAAUUAACACUACAAAAUGUGACCACAUGUUAAAUAACAUCUAUACACUUACAUUUUCCCAGCAAUAUCCCAGAUACUAAAACAAGUAAAUCAGCACGUACCUCCCAAUCAAGUUAAUGUUUAGCAAUUUCAUAGUCAGUAAGAAGGGACACUGUACACUCCAAAAGCGACAGUUCAUUAGUAUCAGUCAAUUGGAAAACUACCUUCUUUCAAUUGUAGAGCUGCCUUGUCAAGAAACCUGAUAUAUAAAAUGAAUGGGAAUGGAUUCAACUGUUUUAUAAUCAAAUAUAAAGUAAUUGAUAUGAACAUAUAAAGACAAAUUUCUCACACCUAACUAAGAGUAUCUCUAAUAGUAUAACAGUGGUAGAAUUACUUAAAUUAACUUUUGACCAGGAUUUUUUUUAAUGAUAUUUAUGAAUUUAAAAUAAGUCCUACAAUUCUUAAGAAUUCUAUUUGGAAUAUUACUCGUCUAAGCAAUGAUUCUUAUAUAAGAAUUCUCAUCUCAAUUGCUUUAAUGGUAAAACUACAUAACAACUUAUUCUUAAAGAUUAAGAAUUUCAUAAAAAAAAACUCUCAUUGGACAUGUUCCAAGGUAUUGGUUCCAAGUGCCACUUUGGUUACUUACUAGAAUCAAUUGUUUCCAUUAUGGUACAUAUUUUGAUGUAGUAUCCUUUAGCAAUUCAAAAUUAAAAUUUAAAAUCUAAGUAGUUAAACUAUAGGAAAUUGUGUGUGUGUGUGAGAGAGAGAGAAAUUAAUGUUAUGUUUCUCCCCAGAAAUCAUUCGUGUGAGCAAUCUUUUGACUUCCCUUGAUAACAGACUGCCUAACAGGAACCUCAUACAAGCCUAUGAACUCAUUGCUACCAAAAGAGGCCUUUCUCUUUCUAAAUGUAGCAACCAAGACUUGAGCAACACGAGUAAGAGAGCUACCUCCUAACAACCUGUGCCUGUACAAUGGAGUGCCUAUGAAGAAGACCAUGCUAGAUAUUUUAUAUAAAAUUAGAUAAAUUUCAUUUUUUUUAAAUAACUCACAAUAAAACCUAAGAUAAGUUUGGAUUCAUCAAAAAGUGAAAGAAAAAAGAGAGAUAUUUCUAAAAGUAAUAUAGAACUUGAUAUUAGUAUUAUUCUAUUGUACUCUGUUUUCUAAUGAACUUUAUUACUACAUGUGUUGUUCCAUGGGUCUAAUCAUGAAAGAGGAACCAUUAUCAUAUCGCAAGAUAGAUUGUAGUGAAGAUGGCUAUGGUCCAAUAGUGUCCAAGAUAUGCAUCGACUAGAAAACCAUCGAGCACGGAGGAAACUUGUGAUAUUCCUAAGAACUUGUAAAAGGUCUAUGCAUCACAUAAAACAUAAAGGCCACCAAUACAUAACAGCUACAAGGGUUUCAACCUUGAAGAAUUCCCGUUCAACCUCUUUGCAUUUGGUAACGGUAACGAAAUUGGAUCCAAAGAAAAUGUGAGUAACACCUGCACAAUAACAAGAAGCACAGAGGAAUCAUAUUGAAUCCCUAAACACGAAAAGAAAAGAAAAUAAAAGAAAGAGAUUGUCGAUUGUGAAGGCUGAUUUAGUGAGGGGAGAAUUGAUGGUGGAACUUCUAACUUUUGUGACAGCUUUUUUGCACUGUGAAUUUGAAUCGACGACGACGUACUCUGGCGCGAUGUUCCAAAAGUUAGCGCUGAACUCCAAUGACGAUGACCAUGGAGGUGGGAGGGGACGACAAAUCUGCAACUUUGAAUGGUAGAUCUACAAACUUCUUUGGCUAGAUUUGCGGCUUCUCUAACUUGUGGUGGAGUUGGGUCAGUGUGAGAAAGAGAGAGAUGCAUGAGAGACUGAGAGAGGAUGAGCCAAAGGCAAUGAUAGCAAAAAUGGGAAGGCAGCACUUGAUUUGAAAGACGGUUUUUUAAAAAUGGUCUUUGAACAGUUGCUUUUAAAGAUGAUUUUUAUAGGACUGUCGUUAAAUAAUUUUAAUUAUUUAAAAAAAUAUCAUCAUGUUUAUGGUGACAACAAACGUCUUUGAAUUAGUUUCUUUGAAGGUGAUUUUUGUAGUAGUGUAUGACAAAGCUUACAACUGUGAGAGUUCUCUUGUCACUUGUCACUUGUUGAAUAGAAAAAAUGAUCUUUUUUUUAUCAGCUGAAAAAAUGGUCUGUUAUUAAACAUUUAAACCUGAUAUCCACAAGACCUUAAAUGGAAACCAUUUUUAGGAGAUUUACAUGGACUACCUCUCAAAUGUUAAAAGGGAGAACCCAAUUAGCAAAUUGAACAAGUCCCUUUGUGGACUCGCUCUACUACUGAUUAUUUAUUUACCCAAGGUUCUAGUCCCACAUUUCUGCUUGUGUAAAUUGAUGAUAUUAUAAUAACAUGUCCAGAUCAAUGCCAAAAAAAACUAACAUGUCUAGAUCCAUCAAUAAUAAGUAUUACAAUCACAAAACUAUUGAAAAAUACUUUCAAACUAAAGAUUCUUGGUGAUCUCAAAUUUUCCUUGGCCUAAAAAUAAUUGAGUCCAACAAAGGAAAUCACCUUUGCCAAAUUGGAAAUACAAUAUUGAGUUGUUAAAAGACAUGUUUUGCUUCUGCUAAUGGAUCGUAAUACAAAACUUAAUGACAUUGAUGGAAAUGUUCUAUCUUACCCUUCUUAGUAUUGUAGUUACUUGGCAGAUUGAUGUAUCUCACCAUUUCAAGGUCUGACAUCACAUAUGUUAUCAGCAACUAAGUUAAUUCAUGUGCAAUUCAAGGACUUUUCACUUGCAAGUUGUUCAAUGUGUUUUAUAGCACCCCUUAAGGUUUCUCCUAGCCAAAGAAACCUAUAUCCUACUCACUCCUCUACCAAAUCACUAUUUAUGUAGAUGCUAAUUGGGGUAACUGUUAAGUAAUUGGAAAAUCUAGUAUUGAUUUUGCAUUUUCCUUGGUGCUUUCAUAGUUUCUUUUAAGUAAAAAAAAUUACUAUGGCUUAAUCAUCUGCAGAAGUAGAGCACAUAUCAUUGGCAUGUCUUACUAGUCAGUGAAGUACUCCCUUUACUACAAUAAUUGCUCAGGUCAUUUGAAUUUCAACUACCAAUUAUCCUGGUUCUUUUGUGACAACAAGUUUGUUAUACAACUAGUCAUUAAUCCUACACCCAAUGAAAGGACCAAAUAUAUUGACAUUAAUUGUUGUUUCAUUAGCCAAUAUGUCAAUUUUGACUUUCUCAACCUACUUGUAUAGUUUCCAUCACAACAACAGUUAGUCGAUAUCCUCACGAAGGCUAUGCCACAUUCACAUUUCUAUGAUCUCAUUCUUAAGUUGGGAGUUACGGACAUUUAUCUCCCAACUUGGGGGAGAGUGUUAUAAUUAGCAUGAGAUUGUUAAUUAAAGGGCAAUUAUCUUUUAUCAAAUGAUACGUCCACCGUCUUUGACAAUCUAGAAACUUGUUUUGAGUCACCUUUAAUAUUAAUAGGUAUUUACUUUCAAUCAUAUUUUUUCUAUCUACAAAGUUUGAACAAGAUUAGUAUCACUCAGACCAAUAGCAUGUUAAUUAUUUUUUCCUUACCACAAUGUUGGUACGAAGUUAUCUCAUGUCAAAAGCGGAUGACAAAUCUCCAUCGAGGACUCUGUAAGCACACAAAAAGUAAGUAUUUUUCUAUCAAUAUGAUUUAUUUUAUAUCCAAAGAUCAAUCAAAAUUCAAACUUUAAAUAACUUGAUUUAGGCACACAAGUUGCCACCAAUUAUGCCUACCAUUUCUUGGUCAAUGUAUUAGUUGUUAAUAGCUGUGGUUAACUCGUGCACAUUUGAAUAUUAUAUUUUUUUAAAUGUAAAAUAGUAUAAAGCUUUACGAUGAAGAAGUAUUUUUCGCUAGUUUAUAAGUUAUGAUUCCUUUUUAAUUUUACAUUUUCUAUUUAUUAUAGUUAUUCUUUUAUCCUUCUUAUGUUAAAAAAAUCUUAACAUUUCUCCUUACUUGUACUCUCAUCAAAUUUCAUCUCUUUAUAAUAUAAAUCAUCAAAACUAUACAAUAUAGUUUUCAAGAUACUAAUCCGUUCAAACUAUCUCAUUCCAUUUAGCAAAAAUGUUUUAAAAUAAGCAUAAAAAAUAUUAUUCUAAUUUUCAAGAUGGAAAAUUAUUUGAAAUCAAUAAAAAUAUAAAAAGGUGAUAAUUAUUUCAAGAAACGUAAAUUUACCAAAUUUUAUGUUAUGGCCAGAUAAUUAAAGAUAUCUUUCUAUGUAAUUUUACACAUUAACUAAUUUUACUAAAUACUUUCAACUAGUUUUACUAAAUAAUUUUACACGUAUUUUAUUUAAUAAUUUAAAUUCCUAAUUUAUUUCUUACUAAAUUAUAUUGUCAAAUAGAAUAAAGAUCUUAAGAAAACGAAAAAAAAAGAAUAAGAUAUUUUUGUAUAAUGAGAUUUAUGUUUUUUUUUUUUUUUAAAUGUGAGCUUGAUUGCUUGAUAGGUACAAGGUUAUUAGCCGUAUCGCUCGAGACUUUCCCACAAACAAAAAGCACUGAAUUAAGUUCACUGUCGACAAGUUUCGCCCCAACACUCAACUCAGCUCGCUCUUGUUCUUCUUCUCCAUUAUCAAACGAAGUAUAGAUAUCAUAUCAUUGCAGCUUCAUUUUCAUCCACCAAUUAACUAACAAUGGCGCACACAUCCCUUUUCACUCCCUCUUCCUCUCUUAGGUUCAACCCUCUUCUUCUUACCUCCACCCCCUCUUCUUCUUCUUCUUCUCGCUCCAACAACCUUUCUUUCCCCGCUCUCUCCAGGUAUUUUCUUUUUUUUAUUAAUUUGUUUAUAGCACCCCAUCAACUGCGGUGUUUAUUUUAGCUGAAUUUGAAUUAGAAUUUGCCUUAAAGUUUACAUUUUGAUGAAUUAUCCAUGAGUUUGUGGCUUUUCGACUUGUUGGUGUUGGAUUUUUUUAUUUUAUUUUAGAGAAUUCAAGUCGCCAGAUUCGUGGAAGAUGACCCUAAGUUUUUUAUGCUAAUGGAUAGGGGUGAAAGUGAGAUUUUUGCGUCACUUUUAGGUUAUGCUUCGAAUUGAAAAAAAAAAUAGAUUCAUAAAAAUGUUAUGAUAAUUUCGAAGUUGUUAAUUCUUAAGCCUGGCCCAAAUGAUUAAUCUAGAUUCUAGGGUAUGCUAUUAUCCACCUUUUAUUAGUACUUAAAUUUCUCCUUUUUUUUAAAAAAAAAAUGGCAAUUGAACAUGGAAGAGACUAGUAUAUUCUCUGUUAUGCUGGAUAUAUUUAUGUCUAUAAAGGGGAUGUAGCCUUGCUUUGAUUUGCAGGAACCUAAGGAAAUCGGUAGAAGAUAGAAAGAUUAACAAAAAAUCUGCUGUGAAAGCAGUGUAUGGUGAUGAAUUUUGGACACCUGAGAGGAGUUCACGUCCGGGUAUUUGGUCUAUAAGGUAGAUUUUAUUUUGUUAUUUGUUUAUCUUGUAGCUUAGUCUUGUUUAUUGACUUGGAUAGUGUUCUUGAAGGAGUGAUUUGCAAGUCCCAUCUUCCCCUUAUUUCCCUACCUAUGCACAAGGGCAAGGGCCACCCCCCAUGGUUGCCGAGCGUUUCCAGAGUGUUAUAAGUCAGCUUUUUCAAUAUGUAGGCAAUAUUUUCCUCUUGCUGUUACUUAAUGUUGAUUAUUCUGCUUCUGUUUAAUCUUUCUAGUAUUAAUAAUGCAUUUUGGUAUUUAGAGAAUAAUUCGGUGUGGUGGAGCAGUUGAUGACGAUAUGGCAAACAUCAUAGUUGCUCAGCUCCUGUACCUUGAUGCUGUUGAUCCUAACAAGGUUUGUUCUUAGAUUUUAGUCAUGGAAAACUCAUGGUUCCAUUUAUCUUCUUAUAUCGUUAUCUAUAUAAAGUGAUCUUAUGCUUUUCUAGAGAUGAUGCCAAAUGUUUUUAUUUCAGUAUUUCUGUAUUUUGAUAUGAUUAGUAUUGAGGUUUUUGUUUUUUUGUUUUUAUCUUUUGUAUCAUGUGAUGAAUUCAAAAUUUUCUUGUGCAUGCACUUAGUCAACUACCAAUUUUCUGAUUAUGUUGGGCAGGAUAUUGUCAUGUAUGUAAAUUCUCCAGGAGGGUCAGUUACAGCUGGUAAUAAUUUUUUAGUUAAAACUAUCUUGCAUUGUCUUUUAUUAUUAUAUUAUAUUCAUCUACAUGGGCUGAAAAUAUAUUGUAUCUCAAAUAUUAAAAUGCUUUCUUUGUUAUUCUUUUCCCCUUAGGAAUGGCAAUAUUUGAUACAAUGAGGCAUAUCCGACCUGAUGUGUCUACUGUUUGUGUUGGAUUAGCGGCUAGGUAACCUUUUUAUUCUUUCUCUGGGCAAUAUUACCUUAAUGCUGACAAGUUACCACCAGUAGAAAGCUAAAAGUUUUAUCCUAACUUGAUCUUGAUUCUUGAUGUAAGCCAGCAGAACAUGUUGAUUUAUUUAUUUAUGCUGAAUACUGGGAGAAUUAUGAUGAUUAAUUAUCAAUUAUCUUAAAAUUUUCCCUUCCACACUGUAUCAUAUCUAUUUUCUGUUUUUUAAAAAAUAGUUAUUUCUUUAAUAACUAUGUGAUUCUAUGGUGGUAGUAGUAAAUGGUGUGGUUUAAAAGGACAACAAAAAAAAAAGGAUGGAGUAACUGAAUGUUAAGAUGAACAUAUGACUACACAAGAAAGGAUAAGAUACAAAUGAUUAUAUACUUUGGUACUGAUUAAGGAAAAGAUGACAAAAUAUCAAUUGAAGUGGAUUGAACACGUGCCAAGAAGGUCACUGGAAGCACCAAUGAGGAGAGUAGAUUACAUGUUUUUUAGCCAUGUGAGAAGGGGGAGAGGAAAACCAAAAAGGCGAUUGGAGGAAAUUGUUAAAACUUAAAAGGAAUCUAAUGAUGAAUAAUAUUCUUUAGAAUUUAGUCUUUAACCAAGCCCAAUGACAUCAUGCAAUCUAUGUAGCCAACCUCACCUAGCAGGAUAAAACUUUAGUUGUUUAAUAACAUGUGAUAACAUUUUUAUUGGUAUUUCUUUAUUUUGGAUGGUUGACCCCUUAACCUUUUUUUCAUUGUGAUAACAUCUUGCAUCUGUGAAUGAUAUAUUUUGAUUGAGUUCACUCAAGCUUCAGGAGUAGCCAAAUGUCAAUCUUGAGAACAAAUAGUUUACCUUUCUUCCCAUGUAUUUAAAGUCUACUGCAUUUCAUUUUAGAAAAUCUACUCCAUUUGUAAUUAUCAUGUGGUGAGUUAUAGCCUUUUUCCAUUUGAGAAAGUAAAGGGGGAGUGGAGUUGUGUGAUUUGCCCCUUUUUUUUUCCUUUUACCUUCAUAUCGAGAAAUAUGGGACUGGCAUGAAUGCUGAAGAUAAUAUUAAGUAUUGACUAACUUUUGAACUAAAAAUAUUAGGUUUUGCCUUUGAAAAAUAUCCUUAACCUUCCAUGAAUUAAAAAUAUUCAUCUAUAUUGAUAAUUUGUCAAUGAAAAGUUAUUAUAGUUGAUUGUAUACUACAGGUGUUAUUUUUUUUUCCUGUUUGAAGAAAUUUUAUUUUCCAUUUGUACUUAUGUAGACCUUUUAAUCUGCAGUAUGGGAGCUUUUCUGCUGAGUGCAGGGACAAAAGGUAUUCUUUUAACAUGCAAUCAGUGUAUCCAUCCCCCUAUCCCCUCUCUCUUUCUUUGUUGAUGAAUGUCAUUUUCACCUCUCGAAAAUAAGAAAAAUGCUUCUUUCUAACUUUAUAUCCCUUCCUCUUUCACUUCUGAAGGAAAGAGAUACAGCUUGCCAAAUUCAAGGAUAAUGAUUCAUCAACCGCUUGGUGGUGCUCAAGGAGGGCAAACUGACAUAGAUAUUCAGGCAUGGGCCUCAGUUUCCUCCUUUUAUUUUUUAUUGGAUAAAUCUCAUGUUCCCUUCAUAAAAUUUAUAAUUUUAUUUACUUGUAUCAUAGAAAAUUAAAGCCUAUCUUAGGGUAGCACUUAAUUUAAACCUCAUGUUCACUAGUUAAUUUAAACCAAGAUGAAUGCCCUAAUCAUCUAGUGAAUUUCCUAAUAACCUAAAUUUAUGUAUAAAAAUACCCGUAGUGAAUUUGCUAUCCAAAAUUCCAAACAUUAUAUUAUUCCAUACUCUUAAUAUUCCUAUGAUUUAUUUCCUAUAUUAUCCUGCUAUUAUAUUCCAUUCCCUACUACUAUACAUUUGGAUUUAGCCAGCAUUUGGUUAGAUUGGAUCGAGUCAGACAGUCCAAAAGUUUUGAUUACGAACAGCAUUACAAUAAGUGACACCGUCCAUGACCUUACCAAGGGAGACCGAAGGAUUGGUUUAUCACUUUUUUGUACAAGUAUCAUAAAUUCAUAAUUCUGUUAUAAUAGUCCUUGUUCAAGAAAACUGAUUGCACUUCAAAAUUCUCAGGCUAAUGAAAUGCUGCAUCACAAGGCAAAUCUGAAUGGAUAUCUCGCCUAUCAUACCGGCCAAAGUUUAGAUAAGAUCAACCAGGAUACAGACCGUGACUUUUUCAUGAGUGCAAAAGAAGCCAAGGAAUAUGGACUCAUAGAUGGAGUCAUUAUGAAUCCUCUCAAAGCUCUCCAGCCAUUAGAGGCUGCAGCAGAAGGUAAAGAUCGGGCUAGUGUUUGAGCAUAAGAUUGUUGCACUUGAAUUUCCAAGGUAUAAAAAGUCAGUAUUAGACUGUAAAAUGUUUUUGGUUGCUGAGUCCAACUGAUUUUUUUUUACGGAUGUUGAUAUCUGUGUCCAUGUACCAAAAAUGAGGCGAAAUUGAUACUAUUUAUUUACUGCUUUAGAGUUUAUACUGACAGAAGGUUCUUUAAUGGAUCCUGCAUUUGCUUUUUCCUUCUAGCAUUCUUUUUACAAAUGGGACAAUAGUGUUAACUGUUGAAAAAGAAAUGUUUGCUUUACACAAGGUAGUGAAAAUGGUACGAACCAACAAUGAUUAGUUACAUGUACUCACUGUUUUGUUUAAAUAACGAAACUAUAGGCCGCAUUUCUUGUUAACUUUACGAUACUAAUAUCAGAUAGUGUUAGCAUUGACUUUGAAUUUUAGCUAGUAGUGAUUUAUUGAUAUAUUAUUUGUUGGAACUAGGAAUAUAUCGUGUCAAAUAGUGUGAAUCAAAUUUUGUACACUUUUUGAACUUUUGAUUUUAUCGAAGUGCAGAAUUUUCUCAAUUCCAAGUGCUUGUAUUGUGUUGAUUCAUUUUGAGCCGAAAAAGAAAUCUUAAUACCGGGUUUCACAUAAAUUGGACAUAUCCACUGCACGUGACAAUUGGAGUUUUAGCAAAAUCAUUGAACUAAGAAAUAUUUGUGACCGAAAAGAAACGCGGUGUCCACCCCAAGAUAUCGAGAAGAACUUUCCACCUUUGCUUCUUUCUCACUAUCAACAUUCUUCUUUGAAAUCUGUAUUAAUCAUUGGUAGUUGAGACUUCAAAAAAAGUCACCUACUGCUGACAGACACUCUCCAUCGUCAAGUUUCAUCAGUUACAAUUGCAUGCACGAUAAGCGUUAAAAAUAACAUUUAUUAUUGAUCUUAAUCACAUCAAUACCAUUAUUAAUAUCUUUUAAAGUCUUAAGAUUCUAAAUAUUUUUUAAUUUUAGAAUAAAAAUAUUUGUACUUAUUUUUUUAUUUAGCUAUACAACUUAUGAUCUUUUUUUUUUAUUUUCUUAGUUGUGCUUAAGUACUUUAAAACUAAAUUUCCUUUCAUUUUAUUUGUUUACCAAUAACUUAUCGGUCCGAAUGGUCUGGGCUGGCUUAAUUAUAAUUUAAUUUGAUCUUUUUUUCUUUGAUAUUAUGAUACUUUUUAAAUAUUUUUGUGCGACACUAUCAUUCUUCAUAAAAUUAAGAAUGAGUUUAUUCUGAAAUCAUUUUUCACUAAUUAUUCUGGAACCAUACACGAGCUUAUGCAAAUUUAUCAGGGCCUGCCCUUCGUCUAGAACAAUCAAGCAUCAAUGUGUGUGUGUGUGUAUAUAUAUAUAUAUAUAUAUCUCCUCAUUGUUGAAUAAUGAUUCACGAAUCGUUUAUGCACGUAUGUUACGCGCACCUACCAGCUACCACAUGUAAUAAUUCCCCUUAUCGAAUUAUAGGAAAUUUUUUCAAGCCAGUACUUGUAAUAUAUAUUUCUUUCUUUUAAGUAGCACGAACCAUCUUUGUAAGUCUAUUUUUUAUGAUUUCAAAAUAUUAUUGAAUUAAAACAACAAAGAAAUUACCAAAGGAAGAAAGUCAACGGCAAGAUAGUAGACAUUUAUUGUAAGUUGAGUCACUGAGGUAUAUCUAUAAUUUUAUAUAUAAGGAGAACCCUAAUCGUGUCUAAGGUAUACACGAUUCUUUAUGCUGAUUAUUUUUUUUAAUCAAUCGACACUCUUAUAUACUAAGACUUAGUAUUUUUUGUUUAAUACUUUUCAAGGAUAAUAGUCAAUCGUCUACAUUAGAGAAGUGAGUUCUUGUAAGCAUCUUUAUCUAUAGAACCCAAUGGUGAUGUGCUGUGUGUACUGCCUUAGGUGGAGCAUGAAGCUUGUUUGCAAAUUGCUAACAAGCAUCGCAACACUUUAACAAACUUAGUGUAAUGUAGUUGACCUAUAAAGUGCAUGUUUGGUUGUGGUGGAUGAAGCUUGAAAAAGUAUGCUUGUAAAAGUCACCCCUUCAUUACCUUUUUAUCUCAUCGUGCUUUUAGGAGGUCUGGAUCCGCACUGACGCCCACAUAUUCUCAAACGCAUUUUCUUUCUUGAUUAGUUUAUCAACCUUGUCCAUUAUUUGAUGAACCCCUAUCUUUUUAUAGGAAAAUAGAAGUAGUACAUAAAUACAUUAAUUGAUAUUUUUUUCAUAAUUUUAUUUAACUAUGGAAAAUUGAAGGAAAAAAAAAAGACACUUUUCUGAUGAUACCACCAAUUGUCCAACAAGUUUCGUGAAUUAGGUAAUAAAUCUUUCGAGUUAUUAUUUGGCAUUACAGGGAUGUUGGGACGCAUAGCAUAGAAUCUAAGUCAGUUCAGAUGAGAUGAGAGAAUGUGUUUCUUAUCUACUGUGGCCCAGAUCACCCAACCUAACACUAACAGGAUAGCCUUAUUUGAUUUCCUUUUAUAUUUUUAUUAAACAAUAAUAAGCACUUUCUUGAGUUUUGCUUUCAUGUGUAAACCCUUCUCAUAUUUUUAUACAAAUAAGUUGUUCACACAUUGAUUGGAGUUGUCAUAAUUUUUUUAAGAAAAAUAGUCUAUAUACUCUUAUGUUAAAUCUGUAUUGUGAUAACAAAGUUUGAGCAAAUAUCACUUUUCAUAGGGAGUCUUGUGGAAUUAGAGUUUCACCGAAAUUAAGAUUUGUAGUUAUUAGUGGACCAUUUUGUUGUUUGUUUUGUUAUUCAAAGAUAUUUCAUUUAACUUACUUAUCAAAUGUUAAUUGCCAGAAAAUGUCAAACCAACUAUAAGCAGCAGAGGAAAAUAAAAAAUCCAUACGAAUCUCCUUAUUGUUAGUUUACUUAUAAAUUUUAAACUCUCUGGAUUGCGACAACCAUUAUUGUGGAGACAAAGCCCUUUUCAACUUAGCAAAGCGGGUGAAAAUAUAACGCCCUCAGCAGCGUUGAUGAAUUGAUCAGACUACAUUAGCUGGUUUAGUUUCACUUUAACAGCAGAAGAACGUAUAGUUCAGUUGGUUAAAUAAAGAUGUGUGAGUUGUUAUAAACCUCCUUAUAUUAUUUUGAUCUUUAAUGAUAAAAAGAAAUUUUUGUUUUAAGUUUUAAAACGUCAAGAAAUAGCUUAGUUUGGUCGAGUUAGGAUGCGUAUGUUAUUAUAAAUUUUUUAAUAUUAUUUCUAAUUCUCAAAAAUAAAAAUAAAAAUUUGUUUUAAAAAAUCACUAAUUCAAUUUGACGGUAGUUUGAAAAGGUUAUAUUUAGAUUGAGUCAAAUUGUAUUAUUGAUUUUUUUUUUUAUCUUUAUGUUCUAACUUUCAUAAUCCAUCAAGUUGGUACAAGUACAUAUUUACAAUAUUUUUUUAAUUCGCCAGAUUUGCGUAUUUUAUUCGGAUGGGUGAGAUCCUUAUUUUAUUACAGGAUUUUUCCUUUUAAAAAAUUAAUGGCGAUCAAAAUCAGUUGAUCUAUAUCGAUUCCUAAUUUAUACAAUCUGAGUAUUAUUUUGAAGUAUUGUAAAUCUUUUUCCUUUACGAAAUAUUAAAUGGAAUAUAACCAACUGCAAUUAUUAUAAUAAACUAUUAACAUAAAAAGAUUGGUAUUUAUUUACAUAAAGUUUGAUUUAUAGGUAACCUUUUUUGUUUGGUGAAAUGUAAAGGAGAAAGGAGUUGAGUUGGAUUUGGCGUAGCUCAGUACUUAAAUAUUUGACUCUGUUUACCGAACGGCCUAAACUGUGUCACUGAGUAUAGAUCCCUACUUCCAACUAAAUAUGUAAAUGAGAUACUAUUCCGAAUCCCAUUAGACUUAGCAACUUCAACUACAACUAUCUAAUUCAAGCCAAAAGAAAUAGAAUUUGGUUCUUAAUUAAUGUUUAUGGUAACUUCAGGUACGGUUCAAUAUGACGACAGCCAUCAUUUUCAGAUAAACUCGAGACUACAAGAUACCGCAUUACUAUCUUCAAUACUAAUAAAGCCAAUAUUAAAAUUUAUGGUAUGACAACAUAAAUAGACAGGAUACAAUUUGUCAUGCAAAUGUACAUAUUGAAUGCCGGAAAAAAGACCUAUAAUUAAUAACAUUAUAGCUAUAUUAUUCUAUUAGUAAAUCUGAGUGAAUCUAAUAACUAUUUAGUAUUACAAAAACAUGCUCAAUAAUACAAUUCCUAUAAAGACACUUCAUUCACACACACACACACAAAAAAACAUGUGCAAUGCCAAAUGGUUAUUUAUGUAACAAAAUUGAUGAAUCAUUCAACCCAACUACGAUAAGGAUAAUAACUUUUGCGGAUGAGUGCUCCCAUCGCAGGGGAUGCUUAUAAGAUUUGGAUAAAUCGAUGGCUCAUUCAUGUGUGUGUUUUUAAGUAAAAGGAUAUAUAAAUGCCAAUCGAACCUUACAUGCCAGAUGGCAGUUUUAUAAUUUGUCCGAUUUGCAUGAUUUUUGCUAAUCAAUGUUUAUCUUGGCAUUACAUGUGAUCUUAGCAAUUCCAAAUACAGAGAAAGGAGUUUAAUUAUGCUUGAUCAUCAAGGAAGAGGAAAGAAAAGCCACGGAAUUGGCCAAGAGGAGUCCUCCAAAAUUCAAAGUGGCUCAACUGGAUGCGUCAAACUUGCAGCCAAACACAACACGAUUAUUCAAAGCAGUAUAAUUCCAUUUGCACCAAACCAAUGCACAAAAGAUAUAAUUCAUGUAGUUAUACAUUUAAUUAAUUAGGCCAAAUAUAUAUGUAGACCAUGUCCUAUAUAUAUAAAAUGUCAAGUAAGUAAAGAAUAUGGACGUGGCAACCACUUAUAAAUUUCACGUCCAGAAAAUGGUUGUUAAGUCACAAACAUAAGAGAACCUUAACGUUGGACUUCCCGUGGCUUGCAAAUAAAGAGGCUAAGAGUGUGUAGUAGUGUUUGUUAUGAUGAUGAUGAUUGGUGGUUGUAAAGAAAUGGGUAAUUGGAAGAAAAAAUGCAGAGAGUUGUUGAGGCCAAGAGAGGUCUUGUACCUCCUCACCAUCACAAUCCUCAGCCUCCUCCUCCCUUUGUCUUUCUUACUCUUAGCCACUCUCUCCGGUGCCCAAUACUACCUUCAAGCCCUCACUUAUUAUUCCUCACAACCCUUUCCCUAUCUUUUCCACCUUGCCCUCAAUAUCAACCCAUGUAUUCUUUAUUUUCUCGUGUCCAUUGUGAGCGUGGGGACCCUGAUCCAGGGGCUGAUGGGUAAAAUCACACUCUUGAGCGAGUUACCCUCCAAGUCCUCGCGUAUCUCCACAGCGUGGAUUUUGCUAUGCGCCUUUCAAGUUUGCGUUGGUUUGGGCAUUGAGGGAAGCAUUGCGGCCGGGCUUUACGACGAUGAUGACGUGUCAAGUUUUGGGGCCGAGAGAAGCCUGUUGAGCAGGAUGAUAUUUCUGUUGGGCCUGCACGAGACGACCCACGUUUGGUGUAGGAUGGUGGUGAGGCCCGUGGUGGAUGACACGGUGUUCGGUGGUGCCCGAAGGGAGAGGUGGGUCGAGAGAGUGGGCCAGGCUGCGGGCCUGGGCACGCUGUGGUGGUGGAGGCUGAGGGAGGAGGUGGAGACUUUGGUGGUUGUGGCCCAAGUGAAGAGUGAGCAACUAAUGGAUGUGGGCCUUGGUGACUUUGUUGGAUGGUGGUUGUAUUACCUCAUUGUCACUAUUGGGAUGGUCAGGAUCGUGAAGGGUCUCAUGUGGAUUUUCAUGAUUUCUCUAUGUAGAACAAGGCCAACAAUAGAGGUUGAAUCGAGUCAGAACGAUGACAAGGUGUAAUUAGAGUUCACCCAUUCUCUACUUUCCUUCUUUUUUUUGGUUUUCUAAUUCAGCUCCCUUUCUCCCCUCAUUUUGUUAUUUCGAUUUUCUUUGGUCAGAGACAUUAUUACAAUAUUGUAUUGAUGGUAUUAUUGCUCAACAUGUCUAUAAUUACUUCUUUAAUUCCAAUGCGUGUUAUUGGAUGGCAUGACUUCCGACAGAUCAAUAUGAUAUUGUUAAUUAAGUUAUAAGCGCGCCGAAUUAUGCAUCCAAACCGGCUAAUAAAAAUUAUUUUCAGAAGUCCAAAAUGUUGCCAUUUCCUAGUGGUAAGGGUAAAGUACAAACUCUCCAUAAUUAGAAUUGGACAUAUUUACAAAACUCCGGAUUAUUACUCUCUCUAUACGUUUAGGCUAUGUUUAUUUCCGUUUAAGGUGUUUCAUACGAGUAAUUCAGUUUCGGUGAUAUAUUUAGUUAUCUUAAAAAUAUAUUUAUGCAUUAACGUUUGGCCUAAAAGCUAAUUGUGUAAAAGUAAAACUUGUAUUGUUUUUACAAAUUUUUAUCUAAAUAUGCAGAAGUUAACCGUUGUUGAUUUUACUUGUCACUUGAUGUUUUAGUCCUAAUAUUUUUUUCAUAAUUUGAUUUAUAGUUAUGUUAUUACUAUCAUUAUUAUCGUUAACAUCGAUGUCAACAUCACCAUUAACAUUAUUGGUCAUCGUUACUUAAUUUGUAUCAAAUAUAAGACAUGAUAAUAUAAUAUAUUAUCCGGUGAGUAACAAAUAUUAAAUAAAAUUAAAAUUUAUCCUAUUUUUAUGUUUUUCAAGUUCUUCUUUAUCUGAUGCACAUCAAAUAUUAAAUAAGACUAAAAUUACUAAAAGGCCGUUAACCGGAAAUACAAGAGAUUUUAUUUUAUUAUAUAUUUUGGAGAGAAAUUUUAAUUUGAGCGCAGUUAGCUUCACGAAAUAUAUUGUAGUUUUUUUGGAGGGGAUAUAUUAAUUGAUGGGCUCGGUACAAAGGUGGGACCGAGAUUCAACAAAUUUAGUGAUGGGUGUUUUUUUUCUAAAGAUGGAAAAACAGAUAUUAUAUGUGCACUAUGCUAUUCCCACUCAAUUCUUUUACUUUUUUCACCCAUAUAUUUUUUUUAUUUUUCUUUCCCAAAAAACUCCUAGCUGAACUGUGUUUGCAUUGUACAAUGUACUCAAUAGAAAUAUAUUUCCAUUAUGUAUUAUGUACAAUGAAAAAAUGUUUUUGUUAUAUCUAGAGGACGCAACUCCUAAUAUAAUGAAAACAUGUUUAUGUUAAGUAUUGAAAUUCAUUAAAAUAAAAGUUUAAAUACUUUUUUAGUCUUUGGAAUAUUUUUUUUUUGUUUUUCAUCUCGUAAAAUUACUUUUUUUUUUGUUUUUAAUCUUUGUAAAUUAUGUUUGUUUUAUUUUUCGUUCUUAAAAUACUUUGAAUAACACUUUGAACAAUGAAAAAACUUUAUCUAAUGUGUUUUAAAGAUGAAAAACAAAAUAAACAUAAUUUGCAAGGAUUAUAAAUAAAUAAUAAUAAUUUUACAACGACAAAAAUAAAAAAAAUUAUAUUGCAAUGACUAAAAAGAUAUUUAAAACAAAAUAAAAACAUAUUUUUGUUGUGUAUUGUUCUAAGAUUUAGAACAGAAAUAUGUUUAUGUUGUAUAUUGACGAGAAAGAGAAAAUCAAGGUGAGGAUGAAAUAGUAAUUUGGUAUAAUUUUUAUAAAAAUAAUGGGUGAAAAGAGAAAAAAAAGUGCGAGAAUAGCAGCCCCAUUACAUUCCAUGUUAGUUCUUGUUUUGUUCUUUGUCAUUCCAAUAGAAAAAUCUUCUCUUUUAAAAAGUGUCAUUUUCUCUUUUAUUUGUUAACUUUUUUAUGAAGUGUAAUUUUUCUAUUAGAGUAAAAAAAAAAAAAAAGUGGAACAAAUACUGUUGUUUUCAUAUAAAGACAGCAAAGGAGACACAUAAAAGGAAUAGAUGAAUUCCAUCCUUCAAAAAGGUGCCAACACUAUUGGAUUCAUACAAAACAAUCACACGUCUAAUGUAACUAUUUUUCAUAUUUAUUGUCACCGUUUUGUUUAAUUUUUUGUCAUUGUCAUUGGCUCUCCUAGACAUAAUUCUAUAUUGCGGAGAGGUAAAUUUCCUUGUUAUUUUUUUUCUUUUCUAAUUUGCCUUCAAUUUAAAUGUUGUUUGGGUAGAAUACAAUCAAAUUUGUAAAGUAUUCAUUCACUUACCCACUUUCUAUUUACACCUAAUUUAAACAUCUUUUCUAAGUAGGCUAGCAGGUUAAAUAUAUUGGCAAUAGCAUAUUCCUCAUAUUUUCUGCAAGAUAAAGUCAGUUUGGCACCGUGGGACUUCUCCAGGAAACCGCCAAUCCCUUAUUAAAAAAACUCCAUCCAUCAUUUUCCCUCAACUCUUUCGUCACGUUGGCUGAACUUCUUCGGAACAUUAAUGGAUUAAAAACUUGAGCUAUUAUUCCAUAGGAACACGCAUGGGAUUAAAAACUUGAGCUAAUACUGCAUAGUUUGUAUUGAUCCUUAUAUUUGUUUCAAUAAUGACAAACCAAUUGUGGCUGACGGCUGCACUUGAUGAAAACAUCGAAAUAUCACCAUCAAAGUUGCAUGAUUCCUUUCAUGUUCUAGAUAACGUAGUUAAUUUCUUUAAGCAUUUAUACGUUUAAAUAUCCCUUUUGGACCAUGAAUAAGGACAAUGCAAACACACCAAUGUCGAUAUUUAUCUAAAGAAGCUCAUUGCCUCGAGGGUAAAAUUGUUGAUACCCUCCUAGAUUUCUGCUGCAACACGACAUGGGAAGUGAUCCUUUUUCCUCCACGCCUUUCAAUUUCAACGAAUUCCAGGGCGGUUAUGGCUCUAUACAAAGAGAGGAUGUUGUACUCCAAGGGGAACACGGUUUCUCUUCAACAAUGGAGUCACUAAGAGGGAGAAAUAAUUUACCUACAACUUCAGAGCAAAACCAGAAGCAGCAACAUGAUCUCAAUUUUGAUCCCUUGAUGAUCGAGGAGUUCAACUUUGAACCUAUUCAACAACCAAAGCAGCCUCUUCAAGAAACUAAGGAACCAAAGAAGAAUAAACAGGUUCUGCCAUCUUCUUUAGCAUCACUGGAGCUCUUGAGCAAUUAUGGAAGCAGGUUCAAGAGGCUAGGGAAGCAAAACAUCAGCGAUAGUUCUGUUCAAACUUGUGUGGGUCCUCAGAAGUUGUCAACUGAAGAAAUAAUGAGAUUGGCUGGAGCAAGGUACAUUCAGCACUCUACACAAUUGUGUGAUGAUGUUUGCAUCCCCGUGCACCCUUAUGGAUUUGGUCUUGGAGUUUUAUCCCAGGAAGAAAAUAGAGACAUAGAACUCGCUCAGUUUCUUCUAGCAGCUGCUGAGAGGGUAGGGUGCCAACAAUUUGAACGUGCCAGCAUUUUACUCUCCUCCCAUUUUCAGUGGAACUCUUCAGGUGAUGGUGCCGUUCAGAGAGUUGUCUUUCAUUUCGCUCAAGCAUUACUAGAGAGAAUCAGAAGAGAAACUGGAGGAAAGGUGACACUGAACAAGUGUGAGAAAAAUUGUGAAAGGGAAAUGUUUGAGAAGUUAAGAUCGGAUACUAACAUGGCUGUUACAUGCCAUCAAAAAAUUCCUUUCAAUCAAGAGAUGCAGUUUUCUGGGGUACAAGCUAUAGUGGAAAAUGUAACAUCAAAAACCAAAGUUCAUCUCAUAAACUUUGAUAUUGGAUGUGGGGUGCAAUGCACGGCUUUGAUGCAAGCACUGGCUGAGAGACAGGAAAAGCAAGUUGAACUUCUGAAGGUAACUGCCAUUGGACUUCAAGGCAAGACCGAGCUAGAAGAGACAGGGAAAGGGUUAGUAAAUUUUGCUGAAUCCUUAAACUUUCCCUUUUAAUAUAAGGUAGUUUUUGUCACAAGCAUCAUAGAGAUCAAGGUAGAGCAAUUUGGCAUUGAAGAUAAUGAAGCUGUAGCUGUAUAUUCUCCUUAUAUGCUGAGGACUAUGGUGUCGGAUUCUGAUUCCUUGGAACACUUGAUGCGGGUGAUGAGAAAAAUCAGACCAAGUAUAAUGGUAGUUCUUGAGGUGGAAGCAAUGCAUAAUUCACCCUCCUGUGUGAAUCGCUUCAUUGAGGCAUUGUUCUUCUACGCAGCAUUUUUUGACUGCAUUGGGACCUGCAUGAAGCAGGAUCAUGAAUGCAGAAUCAGAAUUGAGGGAAUAUUAUCUGAAGGGAUACGAAACAUUGUUGCAAUGGAAGAUGGAGAAAGGAAGGUUAGGAAUGUGAAGAUAGAUGUUUGGAGAAGGUUCUUUGCAAGGUAUAGAAUGGUGGAGACUACAUUUAGCGAGUCAUCUUUGUACCAAGCUAACUUGGUUGCCAAAAAGUUUGCGUGUGGGAAUUUCUGUACUGUGGAUAGAAACGGGAAGUGUCUAAUAGUUGGAUGGAAGGGGACCCCAAUUCAUUCAAUUUCAGUUUGGAAGUUUCUUUGAUGAGAGAAAACCAUAUUCAGUUGUGAUUUAUUCCCUUAAAAUUCCCCUUCAUGGCUUGUUUAUGUAUUCUGAAUAUCAAGGAAAUUGAUAUAGCUUGAGUUAGUUGGAUUGAAAUUUAUAGUUUCAUGUUCAUCUUAAAAAAAAAAUUAAUAAUGAGAUUAAAAUUAAUUGCACGAUUUGAAUGCAGUUGCAGAGUAACAGUUCUUAAUAGGCAUUGUUAGUCUCUGACACAGCUGCUCUUUCUUUGCUUUUGUAGUCUUUUGGCCUGCCUUGACUUUUUGUUUGGUCCUUCAAAAUUAGAAUGGAGAAAAUUCUUUUACAAAAAAGUGUGUUUGGUUUAAAAAAGAAACCAGUGAAUAACUUUUUUACAAGUUUUGUGCCUUAUAUCACUACAAUCACAUAAUCACCACAAAAGUUAAACAAGUUUAAGUGUGCCAUAAACAAGUUUUGUUCCUUAUAGCACUACAACCCAUAAUCACCACCAAAGUUAAACAAGUUUAAGUGUGUCAUCAUAUAAAAUAAAUAUUCCAAAGUGUGAGACAAUUACUUUCUAAGUUGACCACAACUAAACAUAUAAAAUAAAAUAAAAAAGACAAGGGUUAGGUCUCGACCCAAGUCCACUAAAGAUCUCUCACUAUUGGGUCAUCAUUGAAGUAAGGCUCGUAUCAUCUAAGAGUUACAUGCUCCUCAGGAACAUUUCUGUCGCUUGCCCCUAUGCGUAACAACAUAAUCAUCACAAUCACACAAAAACACGAGUAAGUUCAUUUAAAUAGAACAAAGCAUAUAAUUACAAGAUUGUGAAUUAAAAGUUGACAAGAUAAAACAAAUCAAAACACAUUAGAGAUUGAAACAUUUUUCAAAAUAAUUGCUAACUAAAGUCAAAGCACAUAUCACCAUGCAUAUAUAUAUAUAUAUAUAUAUAUAUAUAUAUAUAUAUAUAUAUAUAUAUAUAUAUAUAUAUAUUUACACACACAUACAUUUAUAUAUAUAAUGCAUAAUACUAUGCAGACUCUUACUCAAGGAAAUUUUUAACUUUGAACGAUCAACUAAGCAUGUUCCUUAACAUAAAAUAAUAUCCAUCCAUUUGGGGAGACUAUGAUUGAUCCUCCAGAUGAAUGAUUUUAUUGGAAUAAAAUGGUCGUGGGUAUUAGCUUAUAGCUUAUCAUGGUAAGGCAUGCAUUAAUCCUAAUUUUUAGUGAGAUUCACCCGCUCAGAAUAUUCCCUAGGUCUAAAAAACAUUAUGAUGACUCUUCGACACUGUUGAGAUCCCACUAGACAACCCCAACUUAUAUCCCUAUUCUUAUGAAACUAAACAAGUAUGCUCAUCCAAUCAUCACCUUAUAAUAAUUUUUAGUUACAACAUAUUAAACCUAUCAAUAAAUAUCUCAGAAUUUAGGCCCGUCAUACGACCUUUAACAACUAGGAAUCUCAAUCACAAACUCCAUUGUACAUAUUUACAUAUAUCACAACAACUCAUCAAUACAUUCUCAUUAUACAAUAAUAAACAUUUGAAAAACACUUAGAAUAUCAAAAUGAGAAGGUGGUGUUAGAAAAAAUUUGCCCAAUGAAUCCUAGGUUUGCUCGACAAAAUUGAGGCUGUAAACACACCAAUUCUCAAGGGUAAAUCCGCCCAGCUAAAUUGAAGUUCACCCAAUAAAUUUGAAAUAUCUAUGGGGUAAAUUCGCUUGGCAAAACUGAAGUUCACCCAACACAUCCAAAUUUUAGCCCAACGAAUUUAUGAUUAAAAAAAUGCUUACUCUUUGUUGCAAUUAUUCCCAACGGACACAAUUUCGACCAGUGAAUUUGUGACAAAAAGCACUUAACUUUCUGUUGCAAAUCUGCUCAACGAUUUCCAUAUUCACUCAGUGUUAUUUGUAAAACCAGUAUGCAAACAGGUUCCUCUCCUUCCCAAAGUUUCAAAGUUUUAAAAACUUUGGAAACCAAGUCAUCUCUCAAAUAAUCCCAAAUGGAUUUCAUCAUUUUCAACACACAAACAACCACAAAACAUUAGUAAGAAAUUUUGGCGAAUUUUAUCUCAAACAAAUUAAUUUAACGUAUUUAUUUUCAACUUUUAACAAACUUAAAGGAUUUUAUCCCUUAUAAUUUUACUUCCAACAUAAUUAUAAUUUUUACCCCAAUUUUUAUAUUUUUUUUGAUAAAUUUUAUCCCUAACUUUUUUUUGGUAAAUUUUACCCCUAAUUUUUUAUUAAUUUUUUGGCAAACUUAACUCCCAAUUUUUAUGCUUAUUAAUAGAUAAAUGACUUGGGAUAAAAUUCGUGUGUGUUUGAUAAAGAGAAAAUAAUUAACAUUGUUGAGAAAUUUGUAUUUUUUUUUUUGCGACUCACAUUUUACACUCUACUUUAAUUAAAAAAAAAUUCUUAUAUUUUUAUCUUUUAAAUCAAGCACAUCCUAAAAGUUAAAAUAUGUCAAAUUAAAAAGUUGAGAUAACAAAUGAAAUUAAGUCUGUUUAAUAAGAACAAAUGCAAAUCUUAUUAAUAAUCUAACAAACUUAAUGCUUAUUAAUGAGAUCGACGCUUUCGGAUCGUGUAAUUAAAAAAACACUGCGCGGCGUACGGUUUAAAUCCCACGGAUACUAGUUUCUAAAUUAAUAUUUUAACGGUUAAUAUUAACCGCGACAUAAUAAAUGUAGGACAGGGUAGGGUAAAUUAAUUACAUUGUCAUACAGCACUAAACCAUUCUCCUUGCCGCAAAAUUUACCAAAGGGGGUUAGUUUUACAAACUAAUUCCCCAUCUGGGUCUAUUUGCAAAAUAUUUUCUUAGGGGUCACUUUUUGACGUAACAUGAACGUAUAUCGCCAGGCUGAAUAGCGAUAUACGCCUAGGGUGCUUGUCCGGCCAGGACGAAUGGUGAAAUAGCUGGUACAAUGGUUUCGCUAUUUUGACCAGCGAUUUAGGUGCAUAGGGCUGGUCAGAGUAAAAGGUGUAGAGGGUCAAAGCAGGCUAGAGUUUUUUCGCAGAAAGGGCUGGCCGAAUAGGCUUUGCAUGCAUUUCGCAGGAGCCUUUGACGAAAUAGGUUGUGCAUAUUUCGCAAAUUCCAUUAGCAAAAUAGCCUUCCUUUAAAUACCCAUUCAUUUCAUGAUCCAUUUGGAAUUUCUAAGCUUUCAAUUUAGGGUUUAUUUCCUUUCAAAAUUUUCCAACUACUGUGUUUAAACAACAGCCAUCCUUUCGUGUGCAUUUGGAAAUUCUUGAGCUCUUAAAAUUUUUUGAGUACAGUCUAUAAAAUUUCUGAGCCUUUCCACUACGUUUGUCAAUCUUUCGCAUGAUAUUAUUUAUUUGAAGUAAUAAUUUUGAAUGGGUAAGAGCAACACCAGCACUAUAAAACGCGUGAGAGCAGCACCAACACUUUCUCUAUAAUUAUAUUAUCAACCAUUAGCACUUUCAUUAUUUUAUGUACAUAUACAACUUGCACGACAAAUAUGAAUCAGCUAUCAUGCAUAAUAAAUAUAUAUACAUGUCUAUAAUAAAAAAAUUUAAAUAACUCGUACAAGUAUUUAACCAGCACAAGAAUGACCUCCAGCAGCCUAAGGAGGAAGCUGAAAAAUAUUUUUAAAGAUUUCACAAUCAGCUUUGGCAAAACAAGCAACAAGCAACAAGAGGCAAAGCGGGGGAGGGAGCUCACAAGAAUUUUCAGCACCCAACAACAUCAAAACAAGGCGCUAAAUAACCCCAACACAGGGUGUUUCGCCAGUGGGAAUGACAACACCUACAUGCAACCUGUUUCGCUGACCAGGCUGGCGAUACAUACUUGCACCUGCCACUUGAAAAGCGCGCCUACCCCCUGCCACCUGAGGCCUAGCCUAGUGCCCCUGUGUGUCACCAAGUUGACUGGUGAAAUCCAAAGUCAUUCCGCAAAUACCAAUGGUGAAAUGGAUGUCACGCGUCGUUCCCAUGCAUGUUUCGCCAGCAUGCAUGGUGAUAUGCAUUUAAAAAAUGACCCCCCCCCCCUCCCAUGAAAAUACUUUGCAAACAGAUUCAGAUACGAAAUUAGUUUGUAAAACUAACCCCCUCUGAUAAAUUUGCCUUCCCCUUGCACCCUUCCACCUUUAUGUUUAUUUUUCAGUUCAAACCACAACACGUACAUUAUCGUUAGAGUAGAAGCAACAAAUUGUUGUUAGUCACAAAAAGGAGCAUUAGAAUUAGUGCACCCCUUUUCAAAGUGUCCACACACACCCUCUUGUUUGUUUCGUCAGGUUAAGGCUCAGUGAAUACUUGCAAUGAUACAUAGUCGAAUUUGUAUCAACACAAAUGGCCUUACCAAAUCUUUUGUUUUCUAUUUUUUACCCGUACAGUUAAAAGAACUAGACGAAUAAAACGUUUUGUAAAAAAAGGUGUGAGGACAAGUCCAAAAUAGAGGUAAAAUUACUAAUUAACUCCCACAAGAAAAUAGUGGCGGUGGAUAGUGCGUACAAAUACUACUUUAUUAGAUGGCAACACCAAAAAUAACGUUGCGUUUGUAUCCGGGGUAGGCCAUGUCACCAAACGUAUCAAAACCCGGAAGCAGUUACUUUCUUUCUCUUCGUUCUUACACACGCCAGAGUGAGUGAGUGAGUGUGUGUGCGUUUCUUUCUUUCUCUCUCGCUCUUCUUCUUCUUCUUCCUCCUUUGAUCAACUCCCCACACCGCACGGCCCAACAACGAUGGUGUCCAAACCUACCGACUCGGCUUCCAAACCUCGAGUCAGUUUCUCUCUCUUUCUUCAAUUCAACAAUAACUAUGAAUGACUCGUUGUUUAGAUGCUUCAAUUCCUCUUUUCCUUUUCUGAUUCAUCGGAAUCGGUUUCGUAACUAUGUUUCAGAAUUUGAUUAUUCAUACCUAGAAUUUUGAAUUUGAUCUGAUAAUCACGAGCGGACAUCAUUUAAGAGCUCUCUGUUCCUCUGUCUCCCUGUAAUUGAAUGCUACAGCAAUUGAGUUCGCGAGUAGGGAUUUAGGAUUGCGCUUAAUCUGAAUUAUGGUUUCUGUUUUGCUGUUGGCGCUUUCAUCGAAAAACUAUGCUUAUUAAAUGGUCCCUGUUCUGUAUAGCGUGAGAAUUGAAAUUUUACCAGUGCUGCAUACACAGGAUUUUGUUUUUGGACUUCCUGUUUUUUGUAUUUUGAACAUGCUAAUAAUUUGUUCUGUAAUGUUGAUAGAAACAACUUGGAGAGCCAGCAAAUGAUGGUAUUGGAAGCUUGUCCCUCGAGUUAAAUCAGUUAAAAAAGCAAAUCCAGGCGGAGAGAAUUGUGUGCAUUAAAGUAAGAUUGAUAUCGGGUUUCUUUUCGCUCCCGUAGCUUCAUUCUUCUUGGAAAGGGUCCUGAUUUUUGUAGUUUUUUAGCUGACCUGAUAACUUCUUUCUUCCUAUUAAUUGAGAAAAAUGGCAUUAACCUCUUACUGGUAACAUUUCUACGGAGAGGUAAUUUUUUCUAAUUUUGUUUGGCUAAACUGGUGGCAAACCUUUGUUUGAGUUUCCAGCAGUUUUUCUUUGCAUGUUUCUGGGUACAACUUUAUGUUAUGAUUGCUAAUUUGAACUUGAGUUCAUUUAAUUGAAAAUUUCAAUGUUAAGAUGGCUUCUUUUUGUACUCCUUGCAAGUCAGCUUGCAAUCAACCUUAGUUAUAUUUCUGCAGGAAAAAAUUCGGAGCAAUGAGAAGAAGCUACAGUGUCAUAUGUCAGGAGUCCUGUCAGAAACAUCAACAAGGGGUUCUUCACAGACAGAGGAAAAUAGGAAAAAUCCAAUUCUUUCUUCAAGAAUUGACCAUCCUUUAUGUAAAUUCAGUGGUUUCUCUCCAGUCUGGGGAGACAAGGACCACAACAAUCAAGAUGUAUUAUCUGCUACAAGUAUCAAAAUGCCUUAUAUUGAAACACUACCACCAUAUACCUCUUGGAUAUUUCUGGACAGGUGUUUUACUUGCAAAGAUUUAACUUUCUGUCCUGACCUGUUGUGCAAUUUUUUUUUUCAAAAUUGAAACUACCUUUUUCUUUCCAUUUUAAAAUAGAUACUGAUAUUUUGAAACUUAUUGAUCAGUUAGUUUUUAGAUUAUAUUAUUAUUUUUUAUCUUUCACACACAUCAGAAAUCAGAGGAUGGCGGAAGAUCAGUCAGUGGUUGGAAGAAGACGCAUAUACUAUGAUCAACAUGGAAGUGAAGCACUGAUAUGUAGCGACAGUGAGGAGGAGUUAACAGAACCUGAGGAAGAAAAACAUGAAUUUUCUGAGGCUGAAGAUCGUGUCAUAUGGUAAGUUAAAAUGAAUAAGAUAGAGAUGUUUUUUAAGAAGGUCCAUAUAUUUGUGAAGAUUCAAUGAAACAAUAACAAUCUUGAUUGUAACAUUUAUCAUUAGCUAUAUGAAUAAAAUUUAAUUAACAUGUAAGGUUCAUGCUUUGUUGGAGCUCAAAUGGUUGUUUUAAAUGUUCAGAAAAUAAUGCUUUUAUUGUAAUCCCGAAAGAACUUUAAUACCACUUUUAAACUCAUAGCCUAUAAUUUCCAUAUUUAUUCAAAUGUUCAAAGUUUUUCCUUUCUAGAAUUAAUGUCUUGAUUACUGAAUUUACUAGGAUGGCAUUUGAGGAAUAUGGGUUAAACAAGGAGGUACCAAAUAUUGUUAGUGAAUUUGUUGGGGGCACCAGUUUAGAAAUUCAGGUAAUCUUGAAUAACCUGUGGGCAUGAGUAUAUGCUUCAUGAUUGUUAAUCUUAAUUAUAGAAAAAAAUAUAUAUUGCACUGAGUGGAUUUAUAGUGAGAAGCCACUUUUAUUUCUGGGAGUUUUUUUUUUUUUUUUGGAAAUAUGUAGGAGAGGUACAAAACUAUCAAGGAAAAGAACAUUGGAAGGUUGGACCAGCCUUCUCAAAACUCAGGAGAAUAUGAAUCUACUAUUGGCAUAUGUCUAGAGAAAAGCCUGAGUGCUGCAUUAGAUUCUUUUGAUAAUCUUUUUUGUCGCCGUUGCCUGGUACGUACUAAAGCAUAAUCUUUUCAGCAUUCUUAUUGUGGUCACAGUAAGUGCAUCUAUACUUUUCUGCUUUCAUACUGCAGAUUUUUGACUGUCGUCUGCAUGGCUGUUCUCAACCUUUAAUAUAUCAUGUAAGUAACAAUGCCCUAUGUUGUUUUCAACUUAAUCCAUAGUUACUUCAUCCAUAAAGCUAAUUUGGUGGUUUACUUCAGAGUGAAAAGCAGACAGUUUGGUCUGAUCCUGAAGGAGACAGGAAACCUUGCAGUGAUCAGUGUUACCUUCAGGUAUUCUUCUUUCUAUGAGAUUUAAGUGUUUGUGAAAUUUUCAUGCAGAUAAGUAAACAGAAAUUUUAAUUGUUUUCAAUUCUCAAAGAGAUGAAAUUAGUCAAUCUUUUUCCUCUGUUGGUAUUUUGUUUAGCAUGUUUUCAUUGUCUGUCAAAUCAUUAUACAAUAAAUAUGGUGGCAUGUCUAUGUUCUGUUGAUUUAUAUUGGAUUUUGGAAGUAAUUUUAGUCAAAAAAAUUUGUAUGAGGCAUGCAGCCUUAACAAGAAAAAUGCAAUCUCACGCAACCAUGAGCCAGGGAAAACAUAAAGGUGGAAUUAAUUAUAAGUAUUUGGAUUUCCAAUUGCAAACUUCUUUUGUGCCAAUUUCAAUUUGAUUGCGGCCAUGGCCAACACACACCUCCUUCCUCCUUGUUUAUUUAUUCUUUAUUUCUAUUAUAUAGUAUAUACCUAUAUAAAUAAAGGAAAAGCUUAAUGCCAGUUCUACUCCGGGUUUUUAAUUUGGAGUGCAAGAAUUAGCUAGCACAUUCACGACAAUACACACAGUAUACUGGAAAUUUAAUAUUGUGACAGCAUGGCAUAUAUUAUAUAUAAAUAAGGUAAUUCAAUAUUUAAAAUUUAUAUCCAGUACACACAAACAUAAAAACAAUAUUCAACCAUAAUACCUAUAACACUGCUAAUCUCAAAUUCUUUAUACCAAGAACACAAAAACACAUCUUUCAACAAUUAUACCAUGGAGGUCUUGAAAUUAUGUUUUACUCACCUCUUAAAGUAGAGUAAUUCACGCUUUUCAUUUACUUUUUCCUCUUCAUAUUGACUGUGUCAACAGGAUUCUAUUUGUUUCUUCCUUCUCCUCAAUCCUGAGUAGUCUACUACUAAUUUCCCAUUUACUAAGAGAGAGAUUGUCUAUAGAAUUCUAGGACAAGGAAUCUGACUAUCCUUAUAUAAGUGCAGUUGUAUGUGAUUUAAGAUUGGAUUGCAUAAGAUUUGUUUUAUCAUAUUUGCUUGUUAAAUCCUUUGUUAUCUUUUCUUUUUUAAACGUAGAUCCCCAACUACUUUAUUAUCUAAAUUUAUCUAACUAUUUAUUAUUUUAUCUUUUCCAUUUUAAAUAAUUCAAUUGCUUCAAUUAAAUUUAAUAUAUAUCAUAACUAUUUUAAUUCAAAUAAAUUCUUAUUAAGGCUUGCUUUGCACUUAGUAUAUGGUGAAUGAUUCUAUGUGUGUGUCAGUAUAUCUAUGUGUGCCAGCUUUUGCACCCUGCUAAAAUGUCAACUCAUCUGUGUUUUUUGUAUUUGAUUGCCAUUUCAAUUGUCAUUAGUAUAAGGUGAAUAAUUCUAUGUGUGUGUCUGUGUAUCUAUCUGUGCCAGCUUUUGCUCCCUGUUACAAUGUCAACUCAUCAGUGUUUUUUGUAUUUGAUUGCCAUUUCAAUUGCCUGCAGUUAAAGGUAGUAAAAAAUGUGACAGAAGAUUCAACUUCUGGGUCUGAUCAGAAUAAGAGAACUACAAUUACAGAAGAGGCAGAUGUGAUAUUGGCUCCCUCCAUUAUAGAGGAACCUAGUAAUCAGAGUAUAAUACCUUUUCAAACAGAAGUUGAUUGUCAUGGAUCUCUCAAUUUAAAUGUUCCUAUCUCAGUGAGUGUGGAAAAACGGAAAGUCCUAAAUCAGUCAGACAUGUCACCCCGUGACUCAACACUCCAUCCCAAUGAUUGUCAGAAUUCUUAUAAAAAGCUGAAGGCAAUCUCUGAUGCUGUAGUUACUGUAAAUAGUGAUUCUAGCAAGAAAAUAAGUUUGGGUGCAUGUGGUGAAAGUAUACAUACAAUUACUAGUGCAAUUUUGGACAAAUCUGUUAAAGAUAACUCAAUUAAAUUAAUAGAUUCUUCUAGCACUUGCCCUAGUGAUGAGCAGGACAAAAGUAUUGGUGAUGGACCAAAAGAUCCUACAAAUGAGACAGAAUUUAAGAUGUCCAAUUCAAUGGAGGGGAUAGUUGAUGGGAUGCUAAGUCUCUCAGAUUGGAAACCUCUGGAGAAAGAACUAUACUUAAAGGGAGUAGAACUGUUUGGCAGAAACAGGUACGGAGCUUUCUGUGUUUCACCUCACAUCAUUAUGUUGAGAAAUACAAGGAUGGCACCAAAUUUAAUUGUGCAUUUCACCUCACAAAUUAUCCAUUAAGCUUUCUCAUGUCUAGUGCAUAUGUUAUAUCCAUAUAUCAUAUCAUAUUUUUCCUCACCAAGUGGGAUAAGGCUUUGUUAUUAUUGUUUCAUACAUGUUUUUGUUAGUUCUUUUGUGAAAUAUUCUUAUUUCUUGUGUCAAUGUUGAGCUCCAUUGCUGCAGCCCUUUUCAUUAUAUUAUGCAAUUAAUAAUAAUUAAUAACUAUUGAAGUUUGAAUGCACAUUUAGCAAUUGAUUUUCUCUAAACUGCAACUAAUAAAAUGCAUGAAUUUGAAACCUCUGUAGGCAACUUCCCCAAUUGUGGCUAAUGGUUCAUAAGUAAUUAGUAAAUGAAACUAAUGCAUAGUGCAUGUCAUAAAUAUCUACUUCAUGUAGUGGUCUAAUUUUAUUCUGUGCUCAUGUCAAGUGUAACUUAUACUCUGCAGUUGCCUCAUAGCAAGGAACUUACUUCCUGGUCUGAAGACUUGUAUGGAAAUAGCUAGUUACAUGCAUUCUGGAGGAGUGUCAAUGCCCCACGGAUCUAUUGUUGCUCCUAGUUCAAUCAUGGAAGAAAAGGGAAAAUUUGAUGCUGACUGCACAGUGAGAAUUACAACCUCUUCUGUUUCCAUCUUCUUUAUCCUACAUUCUUGUGUCUUGACGUCUUUCUGUUAUUUUCUUUUUGGAGGUGAGGGGAGGAUUGGUAAAGCUAAAAUAAAAUUUUCCAUAUGUAAUAUACCAGAUGGCCCCACCUGUUUGGAUAAGUUGUGAUUUUGUAUUAUCUCAAUAGGUUAUGACCAAUUUUUUAUUUUUAAGAAAUUAUAUAACCAACAUCAUUAUAUUCUGAAGAAUUGAUAUUUCUAUAGUCUAGUUGGGCAUCAAACUUAAUUAAAAUAUUAAUAAUCUUUAAUUAUAGGAAAUUUUCUAGCUUUUUUAUUUGGCUGCCUAAUAAAUAGGACGUUUCUGGGUUGAACAUGUAAAGAGAUUGAGUUACUCUUGAGUUGAUAAAUGUUCUUUUCUUCUUUAUUACCUCCGUCAUGAUACUCUGUUUUGUAUGAGUUCUUCAUUUUAUUUUAACAAGAAAACAUCAUUUUGAAUUUUAAGCUAGCUGCACUCAAAUUUAUUAUCAAAUCUUUGUUCCGACAACUUCUACCAACCUUUAUGAGUACCCCCUACUUUAGAAGCAAAAAAAAUUCCUUUCCAUCUGGGUUUUCAUUUUAGGACCAGGAGAUGCCAUCUAGGUCACGGUUGCUGAGGAAAAGGGGCAAAACAAGGAAGUUUAAAUAUUCUUGGAAAUCUGCUGGCCACCCAUCAAUAUGGAAAAGAAUUGCUGAUGGGAAAAACCAAUCUUGCAAGCAGUAUACACCAUGUGGAUGUCAGUCAAUGUGUGGAAAGGAAUGUACUUGUAUUAAUGGUGGAACUUGCUGUGAGAAAUAUUGCGGGUAUGUCACUUUUCAUUUAAUUAUGUAGCUGAAUAUAAUGGAAGAGAAAAUUGCAGGAUAACUUAUAUUUCUUGUGGCCAUGUGUUAUGUGUUGGACUUGGACUAUUUGAAUUAUUCUGUUAGCAAUCACGGGGUUAUGAUCAUAACAUAACGAGGGUAAUCUAGAUUGAUGGUCAAAUAUGGUUUCACUUGGUUAGCAAGCUUUUGAACACAAAACAAGAGCCGGUCAUUUACUUAAGAGGAGCAAGAGAUGUAAAACUGUCCAUAUGAAGCUAUUUCUUCGAAACUCAUCUUUUCACUGUUUUGCUAGGUUCCUAUAAAAUGCAUUUUCAACUUAAUUUGUGAACUAUCAGACCUGACAAAUGUAAUUGUUAGCAAAAUUAUAAUUUAAUGUAAUAAAUUGGCUCUUCUACCUUCAGUUGUUCAAAAAGCUGCAAAAAUCGGUUCAGAGGAUGCCAUUGUGCCAAGAGUCAGUGUAGAAGUCGACAAUGCCCAUGUUUUGCUGCAGGACGGGAAUGUGAUCCAGAUGUCUGUCGGAAUUGCUGGGUUAGGUAAUAUGCCAAAUAUUUUUUUGCUGUGAACUUGAUUUUAUGACUUCUAGGCUUUUGAAUGAACAUGUCUCGAAUCUAUUGCUUCACCUGAUCAAGAAAGUCAUUGAUUCACAAAACCACAGUAAUAUUUUGUACCCCAAUAAUCCAGUAUUUCAGUGGUACGAUGCAAACCUUUGUAAAGUCAUAUAUUUCGACUGACUUGAGAAAAUGUUACCUUCCGCUACUUCCACUUCUCUGGCGUCAGACCUGGGAAGAUGCAAUGUGUCUUUUACAUCAACGAGUUAAUAUAGUUGUGCUGAAAUAUUCAUUUUAUGUUCUAUAAUUUAUUUCCUUAUUUAGUUAGGAUUAUUACCAAAAAUAAGGGCGAGUACUCUAGGUUUUAUCAUCACAUUACAUUACAUCUUAUUGUAAUACAAUCACAUUUCUCGAGUAACUAAAUAUCAUUCAAAGUUUCUUUUUCUCUCUAUUUCCUCCUUCAAUGUCUAAUAAAUGUUAUAAAGCUAAAAGCUUCCUUUCAACUGUUCUUGAAACUGCCUAAAUUCCUUUAAAUUUUUAUUGAACUAUAUUGAUUGUAAUCAUUGACUUCUUAGAACUUUAUGUAGAAUUGAUCCUUCUUCAAACAUGUAAAUCCUAAACAGAUAAUUUUGCUAGUAAAUUAUUCAUCCCCGAAUUUCACGUCCUCCACAACCCACACCCUACCCCCUCCAAAAAAAAGGGGAGAAACUUUAGAAACCAUGAAUUGAUAACUCUUUACUUCACCUAGAUCUUCUAGUUUGACACCACUGUAAUUCCCUUUAAUGCUGUAUCAGUUAAAAUCUUCUCACCUGUUUCCCUUUUAUGUGUUCUUUGGACUCUGGAAUGCCCCUUCCACAUCAAAUCAUUGUGAAUACUUUUUUAUAAGUUAUGUUCUUAACUUCUUAUGUUCUUUAUACAGUUGUGGGGAUGGUUCGUUAGGGGAGCCACCUCGGCGUGGAGAAGGGCAAUGUGGAAAUAUGAGGCUUCUAUUGAGACAACAACAAAGGGUUAGUAAUUCUGAGCUUAGGUGUUUAAAAUUAUCUGCAUUUCAUUCACGUGAAUCUUAAUCAUGGAUGCAUAUAACAUGCAUUUGGGUCUCACAUUGCUUCUUAUUUGUGUCUGUCAGAUUCUCUUGGCAAAGUCUGAUGUUGCAGGAUGGGGAGCCUUCUUGAAGGUUAUAAAUUAAUAGAUUUGUUUUGUUUUAAAAAUUCUUACAACAUUAGCUUCUUCUCACUAAUUGACGAUGAUAUUUCAGAACCCGGUUAACAAAAAUGAUUACUUAGGAGAGUACACAGGAGAACUGAUCUCCCACCGAGAAGCCGAUAAGCGUGGGAAAAUAUACGAUCGCGCCAACUCAUCUUUUCUUUUUGACUUGAAUGAUCAGGCAAGUGUCUCACAUCAUCUACAUUUUCUCGUGUCUUGUGCUGCUCUAGCUCUAGCUCUUUUCUCAUUGAUUUGAGAGUUUCCUUUAUUUUGUAAGAGGUCCAGUCAUAUAUUAUUUUUAUUAUAUUUGGUUAGCUUUUGGCAACCAAGUAUUUUUCGUCACAUUUCUUUCAUCGCAAGCUAUAACAAUAUGAGACUGCAAAGUGAUUAUUUUAGACCUUAAAACUGCUGUAUAUUUUAACAGUACGUUCUUGAUGCUUAUCGCAAAGGAGACAAGUUGAAAUUUGCAAACCACUCAUCAAACCCCAAUUGCUAUGCAAAGGUAAGUCCAAAAACUCAAGUUUUGGGGAGCUUUAAAGUUAUAACCUUUUGGCUCAGUUUCUUGAACUUGAUCUUUGAAUUGCUACAAUUAUUGGCCACUUGUACUUGUGGCAUAGGUGAUGCUGGUUGCUGGAGAUCACCGAGUAGGCAUAUUUGCCAAGGAACACAUCGAUGCUAGUGAGGAGCUCUUCUAUGAUUAUCGUUAUGGUCCCGAUCAAGCACCACCAUGGGCACGUAAACCUGAGGGUUCUAAGAGAGACGAAUCAACAGCUCCUCAAGGCAGGGCUAAGAAACACCAGUCUCAUUGAUGAGCCUGGGCCAAAGUCUAGCGCAUACAAAUUUUUGGCUUCUACAUUAUAUAUCCUAUGCAUAAACAAAUUUGUGAUAUCCCAUGGGAUAGAUUCAAGAUCAACGGUCACAAAAGGAGAUAAUUAGUGGUUUGCUGAUGCUAAUGUGCCUUUAAAUAGGCAAGAGAAGCAGGCAUGAAGCAAAUUAAUGUUAGCGGCAACAAGCUAGUAGAAACAAACCUAGCAGUUCGUUUCGGAUGCUAGGCGUGACAUUUCGGCGAACUUGUUCUGUUCAAACUUGGUUUUGCUCUUCAUUAUGUGAUUGUGAGACAUCCAAGUUAUUAUUAAAUGGCUUGGUAUUCAAUUUGGUUUCUUAGUUUAAUUUAAAUACUUAAUUAAGUUCCUUGGUUUUUGAAUAUGCAAUUAGGUUAUUUUGUUUUCUAAUUUUAUCCAAUUAGAUCAUUUUCGUCAAAUUUAGUGAAUAUCUGUGAGGUGAUAAAUUUGGUGGUCAUUAAUUACGAAUAAUAAUGGUUUCGGACUAUCACUAUAUUUAUUAUUAUUUUAAAAUUAACAAAAUCAAAUAAAUAUAAUUUUAAAAGCAGUGAACGAAAUUCUCUCUACUCUCUCUCACUCUUCUUUCAUUCAUCAUCAUAAUGAUCCCAAGCAGCAACAAGAACAACACUACUCUCCGGCGGGGAAGGCUUUCUCUGUUGCAUUUUAACGAACGCCUCGCAAGCCUUUUGCUAGAACGCUGUAACCAAACCGAGCGCAGAUCUAAUUCCCGUGCCUCCAACAGACCGGAACACCGCUUAUUCCCACAUCGCCGCCGGCAAGAGUCGCGUGUGCGCCGUCAAGGGAUCUGCGAUUCCAACACCGUUGAUUGCAGGGAAAUCACAAAAACCACCAACAAUACGUUGACAGCAAAAGAGAGUGACUUGUUCAGCAACCAAUUUGUGUCGAAUUUAGAGGUGAAGAGGGUUGUUUUUGGUGAAGGGUUCACCUGCGGCGAGGUAAAUGACGUCCACGGUGGACUAAUCUGCUGGGGACCCACUACUGAAAAUUUGGGAAACAUUUCCAAUGUUUCCGACACUUUCGGGGGCUAUGGUGACGGGUCUGAGCGUCGUUUGCGGCGUUUUCAACUUUUUCGACCCGAAUUCAUUUUCGGAUCCUCCGUUAGAUUCGGUUCGAUUAGUCUCUCUAUCCGCAGGGGCUAACCCUUUCUGCGGCGUGAGAAUGGAUAACCACGAAGUUGAAUGCUGGGGUGAUUUGAAUUCCUAUGUGAUUCCAAAAUAAGGGAAGAUGAUCUUCUCCUGGAUUGUUAUUUUCUCAAUUUAAAAAUAAUAAUAAAUAUAAUGUGGAUUUGAAACGGUGACAAAUCCUAAUUGAGGAAAAAGAUUCAAUUGACUAAAAUUAAAAAACAAAAGAAACCAUUUGCAUAUUUAAAAAUUAAAGACCUUAAUUGAAGCUUAAAAUAAAUUAAGAAAUCAAAUUGAGUAUUACGUCUUAUUAAAUAGAAUAAAAUGUUAUGAUUUGUGAAAUGAAAAAGAAAUUUAUUAAGAUUUUAAGCUGUAUUAGAUGUGGAAUAUACUUUAGUCAUAUGAUAGAAGGUUACUAUCGUCGUUGUCAAUCAUAUAAAUUUUAUAUAAUUUAAAAUUUAUUUAGUUUCAUGUUAACGUUUACUUUUUAAAUAUGAAUAAAUAUUACUUCUAAGAGGAUAUAUAAUUUACUUAAAUAAUGUUCCUAGAUAUAAUAUUUUUAAAUAAUUUACAACUUCAAGAAAGUUAGUUAAUUUAGUAAGUAGCAUUAAAUUUAUUAUUAAUUUAUAUUAUUUUUUAAAAUUAUUGAGAAUCUUCAUUUUACUUUUUUCACUUGAUUAUUUUUUAUCUAAUUGUAUGUUAGUUAUCUUUUUCGAUCCUCACAGAAGAGAAUGAAUUUUUUUAAUUAAUUUAUAACAUUUAUUGUAAAGUAAAUAAGGGUAUUUUGGUAUAUAAAAAUUAACAAAAAAGGCAAUUUAAAAGAUGAAUUUUAUAUUUAGGGAGGAAUGUACUAUAAUAUAACGGUAUAAUUUGUUAACUUCAAGGUAAUGAGUCUCUACUUAUUUACUCCAUUCGUUUUAUAAUAUAAAACACUUGGUAAAUUUCAAAGAAAAUAUUUGGUGAAUUAUUCUUCUUAUUACUCCCACUAAGUAUUUAUUAAGGGUAUCUUUGAAAAAAAAUAUUUAAUUUAAUAUUAAUUUUGUAAAACUGUCGUUUAUUUUGAAACCAUUUUUUUUCUAUAAAAUGUCAUAUUCGGAUACGAGGAGGAUAUAUUAUUAUGCAUCUUCCAAAGAACCUCAAAUACAAGGUUGUAGGACUAAAUGGCUACUAUUAUUUUUGGGUUAUUGUAUUUUUGAAUCAUUUUUAAUGGGUUUAAACUCAAGAGAUUGUUUAAGAAAAUUGAGAACAAUUCUACUCAAACCAAUUACCAAUUGGUUACAAAAUGAUAAUUCAUGUAUUUAAUCUUUAUAUUAUACUUCAUAAAAUCAAAAGUAUAUUUAAAUCAACUCACUUUUUUAAAAGAAAGCAUUACUGGUCUCUUUAUAACACUUUGAUUAUAAGAUUUCUAAAUGAAUAUGACAUAGAUUAAAUAUGUAAAAUCAUUGAUUAAGUUAUAACAAUUUCACAGCAAUUUAUUUAUGCACUUGGUAGUGUAUUAAAUAUUUGUAUAUUAAAAUAAAAUAGAAUAUAAUCAAUUGGUCCUUAUCAGUGUAAGUUAGUCUCUCAGUGUUAAUAAACUAAAAAAAAAGUCUCUAAUAGUUUUUAAUUCCUCUCCUUUUGUUAAAUCAAUCUUGAACAAACCGCCACUUGAAGUGUGAAUCACUAUCAGAAAUAGCGAUUAAAUAGUUGUAUAUCAAAAUAAAAUAAAAAUUAAUAAUUUAAAAUAAACUUGUUAUAUAUAUGAUGUGCUUCUCAUGCCUUGUAUCAACUGAUCCAGCAUCAUGCGAUCACCGAACAAAAGAAAAUCUUUGGAUGUAUCCAACACAACGAGGAAUUAUUAAAUAGUUUAGGACUACAAUCAAUCUUCAUACUUCAUAUGAUAUGUAAAAAGUGUUAUUAACUAUCUUUCUUAAAUUGAAAAACUUAAAUGUAUAUCAAAUAGAGAUUAAUCUCGAAACUCUAGAUACUUCAUAAUUCGGAAUUACCUAUAAUUUUUCCAAGACAAAAGGGUAAUUAACUUACUCGAUCGAGCAUCUUAUGUUAGGUUGAGAUUCAAGGGAAAAGCAUUGAGGUCUGAGGCCAAGUAAUGCAACAAAACCAAACAUAAAUAAGCAAAGGUACACCAAAUUUCAACUAAACGUCCUGUAAAUGUAUGAUCCCCACAUUCCCAGUUCCCCAAUGUUUAGAUUUCUAGAAAGUAUGCGUUAAAAAACUGCCUCAACAAUUGCAUGCUUCUUUUUUGGGUAUCCAAUUCCAACCAUAUGGUUCAGAUACACCUUCCCGUCCUUCACAGUUGCUGCUGUGGCCAAGCGAUGCUUAGGCCCUGAGAAUGUUCCCACAACAGAAGCUGUGUUCCACCCAUCAGUGCUCUCCACUAAUCUUCCAGAAGGAUUUCCAGCAACUACAAGCUUAGUGGGAGACAACAGUUCUAAACCAUCUCCAAAAGAAAGGGUCCCUUCCUUUAACUUUAUUAUCUUCACUUCCUCUCCUUUUGUUAAAUCAAUCUUAAACAAAUUGCCGCUGAAAGUGUGAAUCACAAUCAGGAACCCAUCUGGGUGAUAAACUAUUCCAUUUAGCCCAACCAAGUUCUUAUACCACUCUUUUGAAGUAAACAGUGGGUUUCUAAUGAUUGAUAUAAGCUUCCCUUCCACCCCAACUUUCCAGAUUUUAUUGCCUUUUGCAUCUGUAACAUAGGCAUUGCCUUCUGCAUCAACUGCAACAUCAUCUGCGAAUGAUUUCUCAUCACCUGCAUCCAAUGGAAAAUUGAUAUUGUCACAAAAGGCCCACCAGUUGUAUGUCUAAGCUAACACAAUUUGAAAAGCUAUACCCCAUGUUAUGAGCCAACGAGAUAAUAGGACAUGCAAUUAAUAGAGUUACUGACGUAGGUAGGCCAUUUCCCUUUGUUUAUUAUUGACAUGCAUAGUUCAUAACUAAUACAUUGGGAUUUGGGGUCACGGUGCAAUUGACAACCAUUCAUAUGUUUUUUUCUUUCUUACAUCCUUCUUGCACACAUGAAUAACACGUGCAUGUGCAGACAAGUUUUGUGGCGUUGAUAUGAAUAUCAGAUAGUGAACUGAACGAACAAACUAAUUUGGUGGUAUAGAUCGAAUGUUGAAAGAUUUGGGUAAAAAAACUCAAAUUUAUUAUCACAAAUUCAUAAUUAUAUCCGUCUUACCGUCCAUUAGUAGUAAUGAUAUAUAAACACUUCAUUAAUACUUAUUAUGUCUUUUUAACACCCAACUCUAUUAUAUCAGCUAUUAUACUUAUGUUUCUUUCUUUUUCUCACUUUAGGUGUCACGUAACACCCAAUCCUCCAUGGAUUAUUUUAAUAUCGUUUAACUGUCGUACCUACCAAGUACCAACUAUGACACAUUAUUUUCCACGGGGAUUCCCAAUUACUUUGUUUAGGUAUGCUCAUACACAGAUUUUUAACAGCUUUAUGAUAGAAGAAAAAAUCAUACUCGAUCAAUAGAAUUUUAGUUUUUCUCUCUUAUAUAAUAGUAGAAGAGUAAAACUUUUACCUUUUAUCUAGGUUCAAAAACAACUUAUUCUACAAAUAGUUUCCUGAUAUUAAAAUAUUUGGAAGAAAUUUUUUUUAUAAAAACUCAAAAGGUUAGCAUUUAUUUCAAUCAUCCACAUCUAGAAUCUAGAUAGAGGAUUCCGUGCAGUUCAAAAUUAAAUGCACGGUAUGCAGCCAUAAAUACUUUAACAGAUUAAGAUCUAUUCACAUGAAAAGGUAACUGUAAAAGAUGUUGAUAGUACAUGUUGCGUGUCUAACUUAAAAAAAAUCUACAUGUGCGUGAAGUGCAGAUAUAUAUGAUUGAAUAAAAAAAGUAAAUAAAGACAUAACACGAAUUCUCAUGGAAUUGGCCCUUACAAACGAGAAUCUGAUACCGUUCAGUUUCAUCAUGCAACAAUCCAAACCAUAUAUUUUUUAUUAAAUUCCAAACGACAUUAAAAAAUAGUAUGAAGCAGAAACUACUUGUGGGCAAGAGCGUGCUUUGUGCUUUUGUUAUAGAAAAACAAUUGCUUAUUUAUAUUUUAUCAACCUUUUUGAAAAAAAGUAUAAACAAAAAGCAAUUAUUUAUUUUAAGAAAAUAAUGCAAACAUGCAUUUAUUUUUUUGAUCCAAGAAAACUAAUAAUUACUCGUUUUGGGCAUAAUAUCUGUCGCAAAUUAAAGAGUUUAAUUACUUGUGUGGGGUAAUUGCCCUCAUUACCCUGAUGGAGAUCACUGCUCAUGAUGUCAAUGAUUAUUAGCGAUAUCAUUUUAAUCACAAUCUAUCCAUCUUCAAUAACUUUUUUUUUUAUAAUCCUUCUUCGGGUUUAUAAGAGAAAAGAAAUUUUAACUAAUUUAACAGAAAAAAUAAAUAAAAACUGAUCUAAAAUUAUUUUUUUCAAGAUCAAAUCCUUUUAAUACUCAAUUAUUCAACCUUCAACUUUAAUACAUUAAUCAUUUCUAACAUUCAGGUGGUUAUUCGUUAGACUUUUAUAUCUAAUAAGCCAUUGAUUUUUCUAUAACAUAGGACAUGUAAAUUAAACUUUAUAUGAAGAAAAAAAAAACUAUGAAAAUAUUUAGUUAAAGGUAAAGAGAUAGAAGCUUACUGGGAGCGCUAAGUUGGGUUAAAAAGAGGCGAUUCCAGGUGGAGAGAUCAUAUGCUGCAAGCGCGCCGUAUCGAUUACCGAUCACGUCAGCGUUAACGACGAGGACUCGAUUUCUAGGUGCGUCAAUGGCGAUGCCCAAGGAGGCAUUUCCGGCCAAGUGGGUCUCUUUGACCACCGUGACUUCCUCCAACGGCGGCGAUGACUCAUAAUCCUUCUCCGGCAGCAAAACCUGACCAAGACCACCUUCGAAGAAGGAAACAAUGAAGCGGCGGUUAUGAGAAUCCCACUUGGCGCAUUCUCGGAACCAGCCGUUACUGUGGUAGUGGUAGACGUGGGUGGCGGGUUUGGCUCGCUCUAGAGUGACGAUGAUUCCGAUGGGUAUGGCAGAGAGUAGGAGGAGGAGGCUGAGGAAUUUUGGAGAACAGAAAGCCAUGUCAGUGAGAAAGAGUUUCGUUUGGUGUUUUCUCGUUGGGAGCGGUAUUGUAUAGUAUAUGCGGAAAAAUUAAUUUUAAAUGCAAUUGAUUUUUUAAAAUUGAGUUUAAUUUUAAAUUAAUAUGAUUUAUAUUUAGAUGUUUUUAUUGUAGAAUUAAAUUAGGAAACAACUUAAUAAAAAAAUUAAUUCAACAUAAAAAAUUAUUCAAAAUUAUUUUAAUUUAAAAUUAAUUUUGAAAGAAAAUCAAUUCUACAUGGUGAAACCAAAUUCGCACUCCUGAGAUUUGAACAGGAACAGUAGCACAACACGACAACGGAACCGAGCCAAAGUGCAACUACGAAAGUUUGAUAGCAAUUAGGUAUGGGUUGGUGAUAAAUCAAAAAUGCAAAUUUACUAUUAUUAUUCACUAAACAAGUACUACUAACUCUCUUAAAAAACACAAAUACUACUAAGUAUACUAACUACUAUAGGUACGAGAUUUCUCUUCCAAGAGGGGGUGGAACGUUAUAGGAUUUAUACCAAUUUUAUUAUUUUGAAUAUUAAAUAAUUAAUAUCAUCCAGUCAAAAAAAUAAAAUUAGUAUCAUAUAUAAUAUGCGUUUUCAUACACUGUAUAUGUAAAGAUAUUUAUUCUAUUAAUUAAUUUUAAAUUAGUUAAUACAUAAGUUAAUAAUUUUAUCAAAUAUACAGUAAAUUUAUGAUUCUAAUGUAAAAAAAUUGCAUUGUGAGUGUAUUUAAACAAAAUCCAUAUAAUUAUUUUUCUUGUUUAUUUUUUAUCCUUUAUAUCAAAAUUAUAUUCUAUAAUUAUAAAACAUUUUAAAAUCUAUAGGUACGACUUUGGGUGUGUUCUCUCUUCUAUGAUUAGAGUAUGGUUGGUGAGCUAGAAAGGAAAAGAAAUAGAAAAAAAGAUUAAAAGCUGAAUUGAAAAAAAAAGUGAAAGAAAAGAAAAAUUCACUUAUUAAGUGAAUUCUAAACUUAUAUUGAGAUAUUAGUGUAUAAUAUAAUUUCCGCACUCUCUUUUAAAUUAAUAAUACAAGAUUUAGAAAAAAUGAACUUUAAUUUUGAGAUAUUAGUGUGUAAUUCUCAGUAGAGAAUUUCCUAAGUUCACCCAAAAGUAUAUCAUUUUCCUCUUAAGAAAAUACAAACACUACCUAAUUUUAUCCCCUAUAAAUAUCUAAAAAUUUGCAUCUCAUAAAAUUUACCAAUUAUUUAUUUUUUAAGAUAUUUUACUAAUUAUCUAUAACUAUUAAUAAUCAAAAUUAUUUCAUUGAUGUACAUAUUUCAAUAGAUAAUUUACCCCUUAAUCACUUAAUAAAUUUUAAAUUUUCAUUAUUUUUAUAUAAUUUAUAGUCUUUUUUAUUAACUAUAUUUAAAUUUUAUUUUUUAUUAUUAAAAAAAUUUAGAGAGACACAUUUUUCCCUAAUUAGUCAUAUAUAAGAAAAAUAACAUUUGGGUAAAAUGUGAGAGCCCAAACGCAAUUCGUGUUGGGCCUAAAGGGCCCACGAAGUAGAUACUAAAGGAUGCCCUCAUCGAUGAAUGCUUUUGCCCGAACUCCUUCGACGACCGUCUUCCCCAAUCGCCUGCGUCUCUCUCUGGUGAGUUCUCUCCUUUCUCUGUUCUUCUUAUUAUAGAUCUUCAAAUCCUAGCUUCAUAUCUUUUGAUUCUUCAUCUUUUUAACGGUAAUCAUUUACCCCACUCACUGCGAUGAGCUCCGAGAAAAUAUGCUUGUCUAUUCUGUUGACUUUUUUAUAUUUACAAGAAAAAAAAAUUGGGGGAAAAGACAGUAAUUCGGUUCAGAUUGAAAUUUUAGUUGUGAAACAUCGAAACAUUUUAUCAGAUAAAAGUAUUGGUGUUUAUCGGGAUCGAAUCUGGUGAGAGAGAAGUUAUAGAAAUAUUUUUUUUUUCUUUCUAGUUUUUAGUGAAAUUAUUUAUAUACCGAUGUUUGGGUUGUGUGGGUUGCGCCUUAUGGGAUUUUCUGUGACACGUGAAUUGAUUUCACAGGAAGGUUUCUGAACCAAACAAAGUUGUACCGAGUUGAUACUUUGGUGUAUAUGAACAAGUGUAUUAGGUUUAAAUAGUGCUUUCUUUUUCGUUCUAAUGGUCGAUGUAGUCAUUGUAGAGAAUUGUUUGCUUUCGUUGAGAAUACAACUGUCAGGAUUUGUGAUUUGUUUUGUGGGCUACAGUUUGGUACAUCCUGAUAAAACAAGAGUGAAAAUUUAGGGGUCAUUCCCAUAAUUUUUCACCCCCAGUUUUAAAUUUAAUGGUGCACCAAACUAUCUUGGGGAUAUAAUAUAUGAGGGGCAAUGACUCCUGGGUUCCUCUUAUGAUUAAAGAGAAAGCUCCAAGAAGUCAAUGACAUGUCUUGGUGUCUCUUCUAUUCUACUUCUCUUUGCUUUGUUUUUCCUCCAUUCUCUUGAAUAAAAACAUACGAUCGUAUUGGUUAAGAUUAAUUGGCCUGUUUUGAACUGUAUCCAAGUUUAAUAGUUAUAUAUUUAUAACACAAUGUUUUGUAACUUCUGUAGAAUUGACAAGCUUAAAGACAAAGUCUUAAAUGGCUGGUCCAAGGAUUGCCCAUGCUACCUUGAAAGGUCCGAGUGUGGUUAAGGAGAUAAUAAUUGGAAUAACACUUGGCUUAGCUGCUGGUAGCGUGUGGAAGAUGCACCACUGGAAUGAACAGAGGAAAACCAGGACCUUCUACGAUUUACUGGAAAAGGGUGAGAUCAGUGUUGUUGCAGAGGAACAGUGAAAAUGUUCUUGUUUUGUUGCCUAUGCUCUCCAUUUAUAGGCUUUUUUUCCCAUGCUAUAUUCAAUUGGCUCUUCAACUGUAAAUGAGCCAACUUACUAUUAGAUUGAAAAGAAUAAGUUUCUUACACUGAUUGAGUACUAUGUUGGCUUGGAAAAGUUUCAUGCAGUUAUGUUUUUAUUUUGUGCUUGGCUUAUUUUCUUCUUGUUGCACAGGUGUAUAUGUUUUUUUUUUAAUCUGCAGAUUUUUUCACUUGUUUUAAUAGCUAAAUCAAUUCCUUUUGGAAGUUGCUAGAUGUAAUAUUUUAUUUUGUUAUUGGGUUGUGCUUGUGCUAGUUGGAUUGCACUUUGGCUCAACAUAGAACAUUAGUAUAAAUAACAGUAUUAGGUCAGUGUUUUCUCUGUUUUCCUUUCCAUCUAAUCCCUAAAUAUCAACACCAUAGUGCCAUUAUGUAUAUAGGCAUAACUUCAUCCUGGAUAUAAAUUCCUUCCCAUAUGUGGUAUAUUCCAAUGCAGGACUAUAAGCUGUAAAUUUUUCUGUAUAAUGUAUGGCUUCAAGGGGUGAGCCCUGGUGCAACAGUAAGGCUCUGUUGCCUUAUGACUUGGAGGUUGUGGGUUUAAAUCUUGGUAACAACCUCUCUCCUUGCUGGAGUAAGACUGUAUAUUUAUUGACCCUCACCAAAUCACAACUCUCGGUGGGAGCCUCAUACACUAGGCUGCCCUUUUUAAUAUAUGGCUUCAAGUUUAUCUUGUUUGCGCAAAAUGGAAGGUAAUAGGCGUGUAGCAUUAGCUGUUAGGGAAUUGAGAUAGAAGCUACUACCUAAAUUGCUGUGGUGUUCGUUCAGCUUCUUUCGGGAAAACAAUUCAAUGUUCGUUCAGCUACUUUUGGGAAAACAUUUCGAUGUUCCAAUUUUGUUAUCUAGUGAUAUUAGACAUGUAAUUUUAUUCAGAAAGCCUUCACCUAACAGCUUAGGCUUUCAAUGAGAGUUGGAAUCUGACAUGGUACUGGAGUUUCCAUGAUUGAGUGAUCAAAUGUUCUUCCUUGGUAUCACCAUUCUUAAUAUAUAGUUGAAUUUCAACACGACGUAGAGUGGGUUUGUGCAUUGUUCAUGUUUCCAGCCCAAGGGAUCUUGUAUUGUGUAAGGGCUUGUAUUGGGAAUAUAAUAAUUUUGUUAAUAAAUUUUACCAAAUACUUUAAUGAGUUGGUUGUUAAUGAGAACAUAAAGUUUACCAAAACUUUAAGGAGUCGGUCGUUAAUAAGAACAUAAAUUUUACCAAAACUAGGCUUCAAAGGGAUUAGGACAUAAAAUUGCAUAAAAAGUUCUUGGCUCUUGGAGCCUUAGAUAUUUUGUAGUCUUUGAUGUGAUUUCUGAAGAGGAACGAGCACUAUUGCAUUAUGAAUGUUUUCAAAUUUUAAUCGUUUUUUUCUUUGAAUGUGUUUGAAAGUUGUUAAAAGAUUUGUCUGCCCUGCACAACCAAUGUCCAAUGAGCCAGGAGAUCUGUCUUCCAUUAUUGGAAUUGGAAAAUGAUCACCAUGACAAAUAUAAAUGUAAAAUUUAGUUAAGUAAUUAAACAUGAGUUUUUUUAUUAAAAUAUAUUACUCCCUUUGGAUUUAAAUAUUAACAAAAAAGUUAUCUUAUAAGUUGGACUUAAAUAUAAGUAAAUUUAAUUCUAAUUAAUGAUUUGUUUCCUUAAAACAUUAUUCAUUUAGUUACAAUUCAUUAUUUAAAGAUUUUUUUAUUCAUAGUAUUAAGUUCCAAGGAAAGAUAUUAUAGGAAUUAUUUUUAUUUUUUAUUUGAGAUUAGUAAAAUUAAAUGAUGUAAAUUAAUUUUUUUAAUUAAUAUAAAAUUAGUUCAUUUUGUUUAUAUAUGAGUUUGAAGAAAGUAUUAACAUGUUUUUGUUGUAAGUUUUCGUUUAUUUUCAACAUAAUGUUAAUAAAAGAAAUUGCAAUGACUUGGUCAGCAAGAUCCAAUACAUUCUAACACUUUUUUAAACAUGUUACUCUUAUGUUAUUAUUGAUUAAAAAUUUAUUAAAAAUUAUAAAAUUAUUAGUUAUUUAAUAAAAUGUGAGACUCAUUAUUUUUUGUAACUGUAAAGAAAUUUUAUGCAUAAGAAAAAUGUUUAAAAGUGUCAGAGAUUGCUGAAUUAGUUUACUACUCCUUAAGCUUUGACAAGGUGUUCAUCAGCGUCAUUAAUUGAGUUAGGUUAGUUUACCUUGUUACGGCACAGGUAACAACUUCCGACAUGAUGAAAACUCUCUCGUGACGGGUGGUGUGUAGUGUACAAGGUUUGUGACGAAUUUUCUUCCAUGUCGACGAGUGACGUGAUUAUUAGACAUUUCGGUUAGUUUAAGAAAUAAAUUAAGCUCAAUUUUUAAGUUAAUUAGUUUAAAUACUUUAGAGUAUAGUUUUCCAACUCAAAAAUAACUUGAAAGUUAUUUAUCUCUAUCCCUGAAGACAAUUUCAAUGAUUAUUAUCUGAAUAAAAAGUCGUUGACACAAGUAAUUUAUAGUACUGCUUGAAAUCAUUAAUGAAGAUUUGAGAUUAGAUCUCCCGAUUGGACAUGAAAUCAAAUGAUGAUCAUCUCUUGCACCAAAAGUUAUUGGCACAGUAAUUUAGUAUCUGGGUUCUUUAAUCAAUCUUGGAUUUCCUGCUAGGACAUUUUCGGGGAUUAUGGUUCGUAUUUUUGCUGUAAGUGUCCAAAAAAAAAAAGAGUUUACAUUUUAAACAAACACGCAACAGAUAUAGAUUAUAGAGUACGUUUUCUAACUAUUUUGUGUGUAAUAUUUUACGGCAAACAUGAGAACAUCUGGUUGGCUAAAAUACGAGACCGUGUCAAUGAACGACUGAUAUUUUCGCCUCCAAACAAUCCUCUGACUUCAAUUCUAAGAGCUCGAAAAUAUCAAGAUUUUAACGAUUAUUCCAAAAUUGUAGAACCUCCUUAUAUAUGAAGGGACGAUGAAACCAAACCCAAGUUCCAUGAACCUAUAAAAACAGUGUGUGUUCUCUAACAAAAUGUAAUAUCUCUAGUACUAAAAAACAAAAAACUCGUCAAGUGGUUGUGACAAGAUAAGUAAUAUGCGUACACAAAUAUUCACCGGCAUUGCUUAUAUAUCCCUCCCACAAAUUAAACCUCUCUAUUCUAAUACUGAAAGAGUUAAUAAAGAAUGGCAACAAUAGCUACUAGUGGUGUGAGUCUUUCAAGCCCUAGCACAGUACUUGCUAUGAAAUCAGACUCAGCACAAAAGGCCCAGGCCAUGAGCUUCCCAGCUCUGUUCAGGCCCAUUCAAAAGUGGCCCGGUUUGGUGAAGGCCCGGCCCGUUUGGGCCACGCCGGAGAAGAUAUCGGAGAAGGUGGAGGAGAGCAUCAAGAGCGCGGAGGAGGCGUGCUCGGGAGCUGGCGGCGACGCAGAGUGCGCGGCGGCGUGGGACGAGGUGGAGGAGCUGAGCGCGGCGGCGAGCCACGCCAGGGAGAAGCAGAAGCAAUCUGACCCGCUCGAGAACUACUGCAAGGACAACCCGGAGACCGAUGAGUGCCGCACCUAUGAUAACUGAACUCAUGCAUUUCAACGUUUCAAUGUAUAUCUAUUAUUCUACCUUCUGUUACAUCAGAGACACCAUGUAUUAUUAUUAUUAAUUAAUUCUUAUUCAUAGUAAGAAUAUAUAAUUCAAAAACUGAAUCACUCGUACGAUGACGCUGUUUUAUUCGUGUAAUUCAUUCAAAAUAUCAAAAAGAUAAAAAUAUAAAAUUUAAUUCUUGAAAAUAUAAAAAUUUGACUAUUUUUUUAAAAAAAAAUAUUGAUAAAUGUUAGUUUUUAGAAUUGAUGACAAAUCAGCACUAAUUUAAAUCAAAUACGUACUAAUGAUUGCGUGUAUUCCCUAAUUGCCUGUCGGGUUCAAAUAAUAAUUAAUGCAUCCUAUACAUAUUGUCACAAAAAAGGGUUUUGUUUUGAAAACACAUUAUAAAGAAAAUAAUUAACUAAAAAUUAUCAGCCUUAUUACCUUUACCCGUAGAAAAAGGAGUUUCAACAACGGUGGAUAAACAGAAAUAAUGAUAGUGAUUGAUCGUUUCUAGAAAAGUUAACCCUUCGAAGAUGAUACUGACAUUAACACCAUUUUUUAAUAUUGUUUUUCUAUAUCGUUAUUGAUCUCAGCACAUUCUUAGAAAGAUAUUUAAAUUAGAUAAAAGUAAAUUUAUAUAUAUAUAUAUAUAUAUAUAUAUAUAUAUAUAUAUAAAUGUAACAUAAAUCUAUGGUCAAUUACAAUAUUUAAUUAAAUAAAAUAGAAAUAUAAACACCACUUUAAUUUGACUCGGAUACAUGCAUCCAUAAAGACUACAAAAGGCAAAAAGAGAAGGAAAUGAGAUACGAAUAUAUGUCAUAAGUAUAUAUAGGUGACAAGGGCAAAUUAAAUAGGUUGGUAUUUAAAUGCAAAAUCCUAUGUUUGAUAAAGAAUGGUAUGAAAAACAGGCAAAGUUAAUUGCAAUUCAAAGGUGAACAAAGCAUUUCUUUGUCUACACUAAUGGCAUGUCUAAGUAAAUUAUUAGUCUUGUAUCUAUAUGUCCACAAGUUAUUAAUUAGUCUUAUACUAUCAAAAACAAGUUAAGUUGCAAAUCAAACAUGAACAAAGCAUUUGUGUUGUAACCUACGAAAAAAUACCCUAACAUACUGAUACGAAUAAUGUGGCCUAAAUUGAUCGUUUACCAAAUUACGGUGCUGGAAAAAAAAAUUGCUCCUUUACCAACAAAAUUAAGAACUGAUACAUCUUGUUUUUUGUCACUGAAGAUAAACACGUGAUCUUUGGCAAAACAUAAAGGCCAACAAAACAAACUUGUCUCAUCCCUGAAUGAUUCGAAUGCCAUCGUAUGCGUGUCACAAAGUGGAAUACAGCAAUGAACAAAUGCUAUCCUCUUGAGAAAAGUGAAUGCAGCAGCAGCAGCAGACUAGAGUGCUACAAAUGCUUAUCCUCUUGAGAAAAGUGAAUGCAGCGGCAGCAGACCUGAGUGCUAUAUACAAUUAGACACAGGGUCUAUUAAUUGAAAUUGUCUUAUUAUUAAAUAUUUCGUUUUAUAUUAAUUUUUUAAAUUUUAAUUAAAUUUAUAUAUAUUAUAUUUAAGACAGAUAUAUUUAUUUGUGAUUAUAAAUGUGUCACUUUUUCUUUUAGUCCAUGUAUUCUUCUAUUUUUUCAAUUUAACUUUUUAUUUUUAUUUUUAAGUCACUCUUGAUCAAGAAAACAUUGUUGACAUAAAACUAUUAACAUAAAAUUAUGUUAACAUGUGAUAACAUCAUAUUUUACUAAUAUAACGUCGCAUUUUAACGUUUUUUUAACAAAUAUCGACUGUAAGAGUAAAAAUGAAAUGUUUGAAAAGGUUAAUUGCAUACUAACUAUUUUUUUUCCUAUAAGUAAUCUUUUUUGGGAUCAAUUGUAUAUCAUUGAGAUACGAUAUUAAAUAUGGGUACCUUUUCACAAAACCUAACCCUUGUUAGUCAAACCACACAUAAGAGAGGAUGGAUUUAAACCAGUCAGCACCGUAAGUAUAUAGUGAAGAAGGCUGAUAACACACUCUAUUAUUGUUAGUACGUACGUAUUUCCUUUUUUGUUUAGUUUUUGAAUUUAAUUAAUUAAAAUAUAUAUGCUAACAACAUUAAAUUUUAAAUUUACGUCUAAUUAUAUAUUGUGAUGUAUAAUAAAUUGUCAACCUUUAAAAAUUAUAAAAGAAAUAUUAAUUUUGAUAAACAACUUUUGAAAAGUACCCAAUAAUGCUAGUAUAAAUAGGGGCAUGACUCCCCAUGCAUCACAGUGCAAUUUAGCUGAAGCAAAGCAAUGGCUACUUCAAAGUUGAAAACCCAGAAUGUGGUUGUAUCUCUCUCCCUAACCUUAACCUUGGUACUGGUGCUACUGACCAGCAAGGCAAACUCAGCGGAAACUGUUUCUUUCAGCUGGAACAAGUUCGUGCCGAAGCAACCAAACAUGAUCCUCCAAGGAGACGCUAUUGUGACCUCCUCGGGAAAGUUACAACUCAAUAAGGUUGACGAAAACGGCACCCCAAAACCCUCGUCUCUUGGUCGCGCCCUCUACUCCACCCCCAUCCACAUUUGGGACAAAGAAACCGGUAGCGUUGCCAGCUUCGCCGCUUCCUUCAACUUCACCUUCUAUGCCCCUGACACAAAAAGGCUUGCAGAUGGGCUUGCCUUCUUUCUCGCACCAAUUGACACUAAGCCACAAACACAUGCAGGUUAUCUUGGUCUUUUCAACGAAAACGAGUCUGGUGAUCAAGUCGUCGCUGUUGAGUUUGACACUUUCCGGAACUCUUGGGAUCCACCAAAUCCACACAUCGGAAUUAACGUCAAUUCUAUCAGAUCCAUCAAAACGACGUCUUGGGAUUUGGCCAACAAUAAAGUAGCCAAGGUUCUCAUUACCUAUGAUGCCUCCACCAGCCUCUUGGUUGCUUCUUUGGUCUACCCUUCACAGAGAACCAGCAAUAUCCUCUCCGAUGUGGUCGAUUUGAAGACUUCUCUUCCCGAGUGGGUGAGGAUAGGGUUCUCUGCUGCCACGGGACUCGACAUACCUGGGGAAUCGCAUGACGUGCUUUCUUGGUCUUUUGCUUCCAAUUUGCCACACGCUAGCAGUAACAUUGAUCCUUUGGAUCUUACAAGCUUUGUGUUGCAUGAGGCCAUCUAAAUGUGACAGAUCGAAGGAAGAAAGUGUAAUAAGACGACUCUCACUACUCGAUCGCUAGUGAUUGUCAUUGUUAUAUAUAAUAAUGUUAUCUUUCACAACUUAUCGUAAUGCAUGUGAAACUAUAACACAUUAAUCCUACUUGUCAUAUGAUAACACUCUCCCCAUUUAAAACUCUUGUCAAUUUAAAGAUAUAAGAUUCUUUAAAUGAUUAAAAAAAAUAUAUUAUAAAUUCAAUCACUCCUACUAAUAAAUUAUUAAUUAAUAUUUAUUGAUUAAAAAAAUACUUAUACUAAUUUAGUCUGAAUAGAAUAAUUAGAUUCUAGAAAGUUAUAAAUAACAAUUAUUAAUUUUAGAAAAUCAUAUCUGAAAUGUGAAACCAAUGACUUUACUAGUUGUUACUGUUAUGAAAGUAACGCAGAGCAAACAAGAACAGCAGCAACAGAUGAAUAAUAUGUCAUACGUAGAAUUAGCAGUAAAAUGAAAGAGAGAAAGAAAAGAAAGAACACACAAAAUUUUACGUGGUUCACCCUUGUGUAGGCUACAUCCCUGAGAGGGGUAGAGAGAUUUUAUUACUGAUGCAAUUCAAAGGAAAGUACUAUCCAAUACAAAACAACCUUUCCUUAUAUAAGAAAGGAUUAGAAAAAAAAAUAACAGAAUUAACUGCCAUAUGAAUUUUAGUUAUAACCCAACAAUUCACCACCUUGAACUAACAUCUUAUAAAACACAAACUGCACCCUCCAAAUACACAUUGAACUUAACUCCAACAAUCAACAUUGAGCAAGCUUAAAUAGUGAUCAAACUUGCUCUUUGGAACUGACUUUGUGAACAUAUCAGCAGGAUUGUGCAAAGUACUGAUCUUAUGAACUUUAAUUCUUUUUUCUGACCGGAUGAAGUGAUAUUUAACAUCUAUAUGCUUGGUUCUAUCAUGAUGAACCUGAAUCCUUGGCCAAACAUAUAACACUAAGGCUAUCAUAGUAGAUGUUAGCAUAUUCUUGAUUAAUUCUUAGAUCAUUUAUAAGACCUCUCAGCCAAAUCUCUUCCUUUGUUGCUUCAGUAAGAGCCAUAUAUUCAGCCUGAGUAGUUAAGAGGGCAACAAAAUGUUGAAGUGUUGUCUUCCAACUCACCAAACAGCCACCAAGAGUGUAAGCAUACCUAAUUAGGGACCUUCUCUUGAUAAGAUUAGCAGCAAAGUCAAUAUUAGAAUAGCCAAUGAGACAUCAAUCCGAGUUAGAUCCAUAGAUCAAACCUACAUUUGUAGUCCCUUUAAGAUAUCUGAAAAUCCUCUUUACAGCCUUCCAAUGUUCCUUCUGAGGUUGGUUUAAGAACCUACUAACCAUGCUAACAGCAUAAUCAAGGUCAGGUUUGGUGCACACCAUGGCAUACAUGAGACUGCCAACAACACUUGAGUAUGGAACCUUUGACAUAUAGUCUUGAUCAGCCUGAGUUUGAACAUUUAUUAUAGCAUACAACUUCUCUCUUUCCAAAAGGGGAGUACUGAUAGGUUUAGAAUUAGCCAUUCCAAACCUCACAAGUAUCUUCUGAAUGUAAUCCUUUUGAGACAAAAAUAACCUUUUCUGAGUUUUGUACCUAAAGAUUUCCAUUCCUAAGAUUUUCUUUACAGACCCUAGAUCUUUCAUAUAAAACUCACCACUCAAGUUGUAUAUCACACAUGCUUUUAGUUGUAAUAAGCAUGUCAUCUACAUAGAGUAAAAGAUAGAUAAUUGAUCCAUCCUCCACCUUGUUAUGAUAAACACAACAAUCAUAGGGACUUCUCUUGAAUCCUUAGCUGGUGAUAAAGCUGUCAAACCUCAUGUACCAUUGCCUUGGAGAUUGUUUUAAUCCAUACAAUGACCUCUGUAGUUGACAAACAUACAUUUCUUUUCUUUGAACUUCAAAUCCUUCAGGUUGUUUCAUUAGAAUAUUUUCUUCUAAUCUUCCAUGGAGAAAAGCAGUCUUGACAUCAAGUUGUUCAAGUUCCAAAACUUGGUUUUCCAUUAUAGCAAGCAAAACCCUGAUGGAUGUAUGUCUAACAAUAGGUGAAAAGAUUUCGUUGAAAUCUACUCCUUAUUUCUGGCUGAAUCCUUUGGCAACUAACCUAGCCUUGUAUCUUAUCCGUUCCUUUUCUGAAAGACCAGGUUUCCUUUUGAAUAUCCACUUGCAACCUACCACAUGUAUUCCUUUAGGUAAUUCAACAAGUUUCCAAGUUUGAUUCUUAUAUAGAGAUUCCAUUUCCUCUUUCGUAGCUAACAACCAAUUUUCAACUUCAGGAUGAUUAAUAGCUUCCUUGUAGGUGGCAGGUUCAUUUGAAUCUAUUUCUUUAGCUGCAUGUAAUGCAUAGGUAGCCAUGUCUUCAAAACCAUAUCUCUGAGGAGGCUUGAUGACCCUCUUAGGUCUCUGACUGAUUCCAGGAUUGAUUUGAGUAGAAUCAGGUUCAACAUUUUGAUAAAACUCAUUUACACUGGAAUCUUCUGAUUGCUCACCUUCUUGAAGAAGCACGGGAGAUGUAUCUGUAUGACUUCCUUUUUAUGAGUCUUUGGUUAUAGAUUCUACAUUUUCUUCUUGGGGAGAGUGACAACUCUGUGUUUUAGUAAUUGGAACCUCAAGUUUUGGAUGAAACAUAUGUGAUUCAUCAAAAAUUACAUCUCUGCUAAGAAGAACUUUCCUUUCAAAAGGUGACCAGAUCCUAUAACCUUUCACCCCAUCACCAUAAGCCAUUAACAGACCCUUUCUUGAUUUAGGUACCAACUUUCCUUCAUUGACAUGAUAAUUUGCAUUACAGCCAAAUACUCUUAGGUUUGAGUAGUUUGUUGUUUUGUCAUUCCUGAUUUCAAUAGGAGUUUUUAAGUCCUAUAGGAGUAGAGGGUGUUCUAUUGAUCAGAAAAUAAGUUGUAUUGAUAGCUUCUCCCCAAAAACUUCUAUUGAGACCAACAUUAGAUAAUAGGCAUCUUGUUCUUUCUAGAAGUUUUUUGUUCAUUCGUUCAACAACUUCAUUUUGUUGAAGAGUGUUCCUAACAGUAAAUUGUCUAGCAAUUCCUUCAUCCUUGCAGAAUUUAUUAAAUUUCGUUGAGCAAAACUCUAGGUCAUUAUCAAUCCCAAGUCUUUUAACUUUCCUUUCAGUUUGUUUUUCAAUCAGUGUCUUCCAUUCUUUGAAGCAUUUGAAAGCUUGACUCUUCUGACUCAUGAUGUAGAUCCAUGUCAUUCUUGAGUAGUCAUCAAUUAUGGAAAAGAAAUACCUUCCACCACCUAGUGAAGGUACUGUUGCAGGUCCUAACAGUCAGCAUGAAUGUAAUCAAGAGUUCCUUUGGUGGUGUGAAUUGCUUUAGGAAAUUUAAUCCUAUGUUGCUUGCCAAAAAUACAAUGUUCACAGAAUUUAAGUUCAUCCAAUUUUUGAUUUCUCAAUAGAUGUUGUUUUUGAAGUAUCAUCAUACGUUUUUCACUCAUAUGACCAAGCCUCAUGUGCCACAAUUGAGUUAAGUCAGGUAUGCUCUUAUUGAAUUUUGAUGCAACAACUACUAGACCAUCAUCAAUAUAUGUUGUACCUUGAAGUAUAUAGAGAUUACCCCUCUUUAUACCCUUCAUCACCAUUGUAGAGCCUUUCUGAAUUUUCAUGACCCCAUUUUUAGUAUUGCAUUUGAACCCCUUUUCCAUCCGUAAUACCUAUAGAGAGUAGAUUCUUCUUCAGCUCUGGAACAAUGGUGCAAAAGUUGGCCCCUAUCCAUUGCAUGCUACGCCUGCAACCUAGACCCUACGCUGCACAUUGUUUUGCCAGUUUGGAGUUUGGACGGUGAAAUGUUUCUGUUUCACAAUGUUUCGCCAAUUUGGCAAGCGAAACAUUCCUGUUUCGCCAGUACGGAUGGCGAAAUCCGUAGCACAUGUCAUCCUAUUGAUAUUUCAAUCCUGGCAAAGACGAAAUGCGUGUAGAAACCAAUCCCCCAAAAAUAACUUUUAAAACAGACCCUAUUAGAUAAUAAAUUUCUAAAUAAAAUCCUGAUGUCAAUUUACCCAUACAUGCGGGUUAGCCUAUCUGAACCGGCAUAUCCCCUUUUUCGAUAAAUUAUUUGGUAAAUUCAUUUUGACAUCUUUAUGAAUAUUCCAAUAUUUAAUCACGACAACUAAACGCACAAUACUUUUAGUCCAUUUACAAAAGAGACUUUACAUGCUGCCACAAUAAUUUUGAAAGUUUUGAUGCGUUACUUUUUUAAUCAAUUAUAUGUCAUUUUUUAUCAACUAUUUUUUUCAAAUUAAUCCUUCACUAUUAUUUUUAAAUUUUUAAAAUUUUAAUUUUUUAAAAUUAAAAAAUAUGAAGAUAGCUUAAAGUCUAAAUCCUAAAAUCUUUUUAAUAUAAACAUCUUUAAAAUUAAAGAAAAGAACAAAGAAGAGUACUCAUCUGAAUAUUCCGGUAUUAUAUUUUUUUAAAAUGUUAAAAUAACUAAAAAUAUUUUAGUAUUCAAAUUUCUAAAAUUAUCUUUAAUCAUAUUUCUUAAUUUAAAAAAUAAUAACCAAGAAUUAAUUUUUUAAAAAAUGACAUAUAAUUCAAAUUGAUUAAAAAACUAACAAUAUCAAAAUCCCUUAAAUUAUCAAAGCCACUGUAGAAACACUCUUUACAGAGUUGAUGAUAUGAAGAUGCCCAAUCAUUCUCACCUUGUUAUGUUUUUUGUCACAUAAAGUUAAAAAAAAAAAUGAAAGCGUUGCCUUACUUUAAAACUAAAGUAUGCCAUAAGUAUGAUAUUUAAUCAUAUAUUUGUUAACCCAGACGCACCGAGGGCGAUAUUCUUCUUCGCAAGCCAACAAAGGAAAAAUUUGACAGGUCAAUUUCGCCAACCAUGGAAAGUGAAAAUAUCAAUUAGGAAAUGGAAAGUGGUUGGUAGUGGUGGCAUGUUUUUAAAAUUAAAACGACACCUCACUUAGGCAAUAUCUUCGAAUUACGACAUCUCGGACCACUUGAUAAAUCACACGAGAAUCUUCCAGGUUAUUACCAAGCUAACAUGAGCAAGGGAAUAAUCGGAGACAACUCAGAAGAUGCCCCAGCCGCCAAUAAAUAAAGCAAGAAAUCACGAAUAUUCCACGACUUUUUACUAAAAUGUUAGACUUAUCCGUCGUGAAUUAGGAAAAAAAUGUAUAAAAAAAUUAAGAUGCCACUUUUUUUUUUCAAUUUUAUUUUAGUUUUGUGAAUGGUUUUGGAAAGUCUGAUGUGAGUUUUAGAGUUUUUUAUUAACACAAAAUAUCUUUAAGGAUAUUUUAACCAACCAGGCCACGGUUGUUUACUAUGUUUGAUGUUUGAUGUAAUAGUAUUUUUUUUAAUCACUUUAAUUAUAAGAUGCUUCUACCGGAAAAUGAGUUUAUGAUGGAGUGUCUGCUGAAUCAGAAUCGUGAGUUUGUGUUCAACCAAAAUUGUUAUCGUUCAUUCGUGUGCACAACUGAUAUUUUAGCAUUCUGGUAAUUUUGGUUGGUGUGAUUGUUUACAUUUGGUAAAUUUGUGCAAAUCCUUGUUGACAUUAUAUGAUCUCAUAGUUGGACAGAGGCUGUGUUUGAGAUGUUCACUGAGGUUAAGAGGUUAAAGUGAUGUUGUGUGAACCAACCAACCUAUAUUAUUUUGUUUUAAAUUUAGCCAUGUUCAGACGCAUACGAAAUCAUUAUAUUAUAUUGAUCAACUUCAUAUCCGUCAGAUAUACACCUUCAACAUCUAACUAUCUUUAUUUCUCACGCACGUGCAAGACCUAAUCCUAAUUAUUAUUAACAAUUCCCAGUGUGUUUGAUUUACCGUACGCAGCCUUGUCUUAAAAAAACGACGCAGAGGCCAUAAUGCAUUCGAAAAAAAGUGAAUCCGCUUGAUGCAAUACCAAUAUUCACAUUAUAAAUUCAAUAAAUUUUUAAAAAACUUGCCAUCGUCUAAAAGAACUAAUAAUACAACACGACUUUACUAUUCUGAAUGAAUAGUUGUGGAAGCAUUGUCUAAAUGUAAAAUUAACUUUUCCCCUUAGUGCUUCUGCAACUCUUUUACGGAUUCUUAUAAGAGGAAUAUGCUUUUCCGAAAGAAACAAAAAAAAAACACUUCUAUUUAUUAAGUUCAAGACGAAGUAAUUAUUUUCCAAAAAUUAAAAUUAAAACAUCUCUUUUCAGACCAAAAAGUCACAGAGGGAGGCCAUAUUGCUAAACGAAUUUGCGACAACCCCGAUCCAUCGCAUAUACUUCGUCCAAAUUCCAAACAAACUAUAUAUCGUCGUCUACCACAAAACUCAAAAAGACCUGGAUUCGGCUUACUCCAAUUUGUAAUUUUAACCGGAAACACAAUUUAUAUCGAUUCACAAGACAAAGUGCUUAUUUGAUUUGAUUUGAUUGGGAAAUUUUUGAUACAUUUUUACUGUCACAGAUGCAUUCACAAUUGACUAUUAAUCUAAAAUUGAUAUUGAUUUCGGAUUGAAAUUUGAAAAGUUUCUUUGAUUUUAUAAUAAAAUAUCUAAGCAUAAUUCCCUUCCCUUCAAAAUCAAUUUUAGACUUUCAUACAAACAACCGCAACUUGCAACACCACAAUACCAGUCACUGUAACAAAGCAGAUACGUUCAACCAUGUAACGAUACUGCAUACACAAAACAUAGUCACGGAUCUAAAACACACACACACAAAAAGCACACCAACACGCGAUAUGACUCAUUAAUUAACACCAUACACCACCAUUCCCUUUCUUUAUUCACCAACAACACUAGGGAACGAACAUCAACAAUAAACCUAAUUAGAAGUACUAUCAAGCAAACAGGCCUUCAUUUCCAUGGAAGAACAUGUCAGGCGGCGUUGCCAUCAUAGGGUGGGGGAUCUGCCAGGGCAUGAAGAGAGGGUCCGGAAUCUGCGGAAUCUCGAAGGAUUCGCCGCCGACCUCAUCGGCGAUCUCAAUAAUGGAGUUCAGAAACCUUAACCGGUCGGCGAGUUCCAUGGUCUGUGCUCUGAGGAUGUCGUUGGCGGCCUCCAUCUCAACGUACGCUUCCUCCUUCACUUUUAUGCUCGGCGCCAAACGCGCGUUCUCGCCUUCCAAUCGGCUCACUUCGUCGGUUAGGUCUUCGAGCUGCUUCUGCUUCUUCAUCCGCGAUCGCCGGGCGGACUCGCGGUUCGACUCCAUACGCUUCCUCUUCCUCUCGUACAUCACCGGAUCUCCUCCCUCCGACGAUCCCGAACUCGCCGGGCGUUGAAUCGAAGCCAUUGGAUUUGGGGGUUUCGUUAGGGUUAGGGAAAUUAGGGUUUUGCAGAUCUGAUUAAUUAGAAAAAGGGGGAAAUGUUGGAGAAAUUAGGGGAUUGAGAGGGGGUUAGUUCAUGAGAAGACGUAGAACCAGUAGAGGAAGACGACGGAAAAGGAGUGGAGGAGACGGAUUCGUCGCAUGGGGUUGCGAAUCGUCAUAGAAAUUCUUCCUUAAACAUUUGAUUUCGUUAAGCCAGGAACCCUAGAUUGAAGAGAGGAUCUGAAUUAUGAAGACACAAAACGAAGAAGGGGGAAAUCGGGGAUUGAAAAAGAGAAAUGAAGAAAAACAAUACAGAAGGGGAAAUUGGGGAAUGAUGUUGAGAAACAAAGGGGAAGGUGAAAAAAGGUUUAUCGGGAGAAGGUUCUCUUAGAGUGUUUAGGUUGGAUUUUAUAGAGAAAAAAAAAAGUGAGGUUAGUGGGGGAUGGAAAACGUGCUUGGGUGCAUUGGACUGGGAAUAAUUAAUUACACCUCGUCGUAGCUGGCGGCAACGUGACGACACCGAGACAGCUGUUUUCCUCACGCAACUCUACCCUUUCUACUCAUCAUUUCUUUUUUUUCUUCUUCUUCUUUAUCCCAAGUAAUUAAAAGGUAGCUUCUUAAAUUACAUAUCUUGUAUGACGAAGACUAGACUAUGAAGAUGAAACUUUUUUCGCAUCUAAUAUAAAUUUAAAAAAAAGUUAGAAUCAAUUAUAUCCGUCUGAUUUACCAAUAAAAAAAUUAAAUGGAUGAGAUUUUUUUAUGGCAAUCGAAUGAAUAUGUAACAGGAGAGAAGGACAACAAAAUCUUGCAGGUUGUUAAAGUUGACAUAAUCAUAACUGAGCGAUCUCCUACUGUCAAGUCCCUACAAAUCCUAACGGAUACGACUUGCCCCAAUUGGUUGAACAAAUCAUACAGUUGGGCGUCCGUGACGUUCGGGUCGAGAUCUCCAACGUAUAGCGACGUCGUCACGAACUGAUUUCUAACAGUACCACCACCGUUGCGAACGAGAAUCGCAUUAUGAGGCGGAACGUGAACCUGGGCCAUCUCAACCAAAACAACUACAACAACAACUUAAAUUUCUAUUUUUUUCCUAAAAAAAUAUCCCUAAUUUUUCCUUGUGUUUUUUCUUCUUUUUGUUUGUUUCUCUUCCCCCUCCUCUUGUUAUUGGACACAAUAAAAACACUCUAGGAAGAACAGAAAACCUAACUUAGAACGAUAAUGAUAACACGGUCUUUAGAGAAAAUUUUAAUUUUUUUAGAAAAAAGCGAGGAGAGGGAAGCGGGAUGAAUGCGUGGCGGAUAGGGAGUGGCCGCCGGCGAAAACCACGCCGGUGCGUGAGGGAGAAGGGAAUUUGAGAGAAAGAGAGAGAGCAAUGGAAAUAAGAGAGAACCCUUCUCUCCUGUUACAUAUUCAUCCGGUUGUCUUGAAGAAAUCUCGUCCAUUUAAUUUUUUUAUUGUUAAAUCAGACGGAUACGAUUGAUUCUAACUUUUUUUCGGAACUUAUAUUGGAUGCGAAAGGAGUUUCACCUUCACACCCUAGUCUUCGUCAUCUUGUAUACUCUUGAUUAAUUACGACACGUAAAUUUCAUUUCAAAUAUAUGGUGUAUUUUUAGAUUAUAAAACGUUUUUUUUAUUAGCAAACAGUUAUGCAUUACUCAAUAAAAUUUAAUUCAAUUAAUUAAAUAAGAUCCGUUAAUUAUUAUAAUUUUUUUCACAUUAUUUUGAUUCUCACAAAUAAAAAUUAAAAAAUAUUAAAAGUGUGAUUUUUAAUAUUAUUGUUGUAUUUUAUCAAUUUUUUAACACGAAUUACUUUUCUAUUAUAAACAAAUUAGAUACGAAACACUCCUUAUUCUCAAUAUUUUUUUUUUCAUGUGUUUGUUGGAAAAACUCUCAGAAUUAGCCAAGAAAUUACUCUUUCAGUUAUUGCAUUUCUAUUUGUAUGUCAUUUUUAAAGUUUAAAGUCAUUAAUUGUUUUUUUGUUAAUUAUACUCUUACCCAUUAAUUAUUUUACACAAUUUAAGUAAAUAAUUGAAUCUUUCAAAGAUAAAAUAGUUACUUAUUGGUCAGUAAUUUGAUGGAUAGAAAUAUAAAUAAAACUAUAAGUGAAGAGAGAAACAAGUGUAUUCGAAAAGUGAAUUCGGAAGGGAUAUAAUAAGAAAAGGAUGUCAUCUAAAUAAAAAAAAAAAAUAGUUUUCUUAAUUUGCACAAACAAACCUUAAUCGACGUAUAUUUAAAGACUGAGGAAGUAUCAAACUAUAGUAUAUAUUUUUUUGUCAAACUUAUAAUUGGUUCGAGUGGCAGUGUAUUUAAAUUUCUUAAAUAAAAUCGGAAGUUCGUAUCUUUUAUAUGAAAAAAAAAAACACUAUCAAAGGUAUUUAGUCGGAUUCAUUGAUAGAUAUUAGUUAUUAAUAAAGUUGGUGAUUAAUGUCAUGAUAACCCAAAAUUUUAUAUUUUCUUAAUCUUGGUAAUCUCUAUCAAUUUACUUUCUUUUAUUUUAUUAUAUGAGUUUAAAUUUAAUUAUAGUUUAAAAAAUAUUACCAAUGAUUCAAAUUAAAUACAUAAAUAAAGAUAAAAUAGUAAUUUGAUAGGAUAGAAAGUGAAUUUUAAUUUUUAUUAAUUAUAAAAAAGUGUACAAAAUACACAUCUAAACAAAGAAAGAGAGUAUAGAAACUCGUCAAAAAGAUAGCAUGGAAAGUGUCUAAUUAAGAAAAUAAAAAUAAAGCAUUUAGUCUUUAAAUUAAAUAUUUAGAAUAAAAAAUAAAUUAAUAUUAUUUCCUUCAAAUAAUUUAUGCACAAAUUAAUUGUAUUUCCUCCCAUUGUGGCUGACGUAACAAAGUUUAAUAUUAUUGUGUCAAUCUUAUGUGUAGAGGUAUAUAUACGUCAACAAACAUUGCAUAAAUAAAAGUAAGAUUUUACUAAUUUGUUAUAGUUGAUUCGGUCAAACAUAUUAUAAUAACAACUAUAUUCUAAGCUGAUUUUAACUGUCACAAAUAUGUUUUUUCCUAAGCCUCCAUUUAUAGCUUAAUAAAUAAAUAAGCUUAAAAUAAUUUACAUGAAUUUGAAAAGUUACUUUGAUAACUUUAUUCAAGUAGUACUAAAAGGUAAGGGUGGGAGAUGGGUUAUGUUCAUUAGCUUUAGUCCGUUUAUAAGGAUAAGUAAAUUAGGCCAGGCCAGUCGUUGGAAUUUGGGCUUAUUUUUUAGUCAGCCCAACAACUAGAGCUGUGGGCUAGGGGCCUGGUAGGCCCGUUUUCAUAUCAGACUGGUAAGUAAGUUGCAAGUUGCAACGAACAAACAUCACAGACACGGUUUCUUUUUCAUUUCACAGAUCAGAGAGGGAGGAGCGAGUUGAGCAGAGGAAGAACAAAGGAGAAGAGAAAAAAUGGUGGGUAAUGAAAUAGUAGUACCAAUGGACGACAAAGCGAAGAGGAUGCGAGAUCUGCUAUCCAGUUUCUACUCCCUAGACCCUUCCAUCUCCAACACCACCUCCAAACACGCUUCUCUCGACGACAUCAAUUCCACCUCCUUCGAUCCCGAUCAGUACAUGAACAUUCUGGUGAAUUCUUCUUCCCCUCCUCUCUCAAUUAAUCACUCUCGUCGUUUUCGUCGUCGUCGUCGUCGUCGAAGAUGAACUUCAAUUUGGAGCAUGAAUGAAUGAAUGAAUUAUGCAGGCACACAAGUCCAAUUUGGAAGGCCUUCUACAACGCCACGUUGCAAUGGCUGCUGAAAUCAAGAAUCUCGACACCGACUUGCAAAUGCUAGUUUACGAGAAUUACAACAAGUUCAUCAGUGCCACAGACACUAUAAAGAGGUGCGUAUGCUUAUAAGUUAUAGCCAUUUCUCUCUUCUCUUGCUCUAUCGUGUCUACAUUGUUUGCAUCUAAUAUUUGCUUCUCAAACAGGAUGAAAAGUAACAUUUCGGGGAUGGAGACGAAUAUGGAGCAGCUUCUUGAGAAGGUAACCGUAGCGUACUGACUAUAUUGAAAUGAUUAGAAUCAAAAUGAAAAUAGGAUGAAAGGGACUUUGAUAGGAAUUCACAUUUUUCUCCAAUGCAGAUAAUGUCUGUGCAGUCGAGAAGUGACAGUGUCAACACUUCUCUAUUUGACAAAAGGGAGCAUAUUGAGAAACUGCAUCGGACUUGUAAUCUUCUUCGUAAAGUUCAGGUAUUAGAGCAAUCAUGCAUGUUUCUUUAUUCUGGCCCAUCAUCAUUUCAAUAUUGUGUUCCCGCAUUGGUGAUAUGAGUUGUGAGUCUUCUGUGGAAGUGGUAUAUGACUGACAUACUUUUUACCUUUGUCGAAGAGUAGUUCAUAUAUGAUCUCCCCGAUAGACUAGGCAAGUGCAUCAAGUCGGAGGCCUAUGCAGAUGCAGUCAGGUUUUACAUUGGAGCAAUGCCAAUUUUUAAGGUUGUGGUUGGCUUAUAUGGUUUCUGAUUCCAUCCCUUGAUUACUUUUAAACACAACAUACUAAUCCAGGUCUCAGAUGAAAUAUCUUGUUUUCCCCUCUCUUUACUAGGCAUAUGGAGAUUCAUCAUUCCGGGAGUGUAAGCAAGCUUCUGAAGAAGCGAUAGCUAUUGUAGUAAAAAACUUGCAGGUAUAGUUCUUUUACCUGCGUCAGAUUUUUUGGACAUGAACCAUAAGCCAAAAUGCAAGUAAGGGGACACUGUGGAUUUCUUUAUCUAAUCCUUUUUUGAAAUUAUUUUGGGCAUGUAAAAUAAACUACGGCUUAUUUAAUUUUUUAAGUUGUUAUUUUGCUGUAUCCUACCUCCCCUGUAAAACAGCAAUAUCAGCUUACAUGGUAUGAGGCUGUUGGCAGAUAUCUAGAUGCUAUCUUUUUUAGUUACUGAAUUCAUAGUAAAAUUGGAUAGGAUUAGCUCACCCUGUCCAGCAUUUCUAUUCUUUCAAACAUGGGUAAAACUUUAAAAAGUUAAUAGAUCACUGUUAACAUACAUCUCUAAUAUUUUGCUGAAUAAUAGCUGAUGCUCAAUUGUUUUUAACAGAAGCUUGUUAUCAUGAUUUGACAUUUUUCUGUCUAACCAGGGGAAGCUAUUUUCAGAUUCUGAAUCAAUACAAGUGAGAGCUGAUGCAGCAGUGCUUCUUAAGCAGUUGGAUUUUCCGGUUUGUAAUUCUUUUUUUUAAAUAGAAGAGUGGCAUUUUGCGUACUUGUUGAGAUAUGAUGGGAUUUUAUCAGCUAGUAAUUAUUUUCUGAAUGUUUAAUAUUGAAGAACCGGCCUUAUGAUGAUUUUUUUUUGGCAUUGCAUGGAGAGCUUUUGGCAUCCACCUUGUCCUCUUUCCCUCCCUUUAGAGAGAAAUAACAUUAUAUUUUCUUGGCUGUUAUUAAUAAAUGUUAUAUGAUGCUAGGUUUUCUAUUUAUUGGCAGGUGAACAAUUUGAAGGCAAAGUUAUUCGAAAAGUUAGAACAAUCUAUUUCAGACAUUCAACUGAACCCUGAAGAAAUAAAUAAAGCUUCAGGGGAACAUUCUGCUCAUGAGGUAACUAGUGCUAGAGUAGUAUCAUUUUGUUUAAUGUCCUCCUCUUUCACCCCUUGAUAUCUGGCUUAACAUUUUACUAUCGUAUCUUGGUUACUUAAUAUGUUAAUGAUGAACAACAUUGAAGUUAUGCGUGUAUCCUAGAGCACCAAUUUAAGCGAGAUGUAGAUGUAGAUGUUUCUGUGAAGCAAUGUAUAACACUGAUCAGGACUGUAUGAUAUGUGUUACGUACCAGAAAUGCAGAAAACAGGAAACACAGAAAAAUGGGUAGUAAUAAGGGAUGAAAGCUUUAUUAAUUCUAAUCAGUUGAAAGCAAAUACAGAAGAGGGAAUAACAAUCCCCAGAUCUGACACAGAGCUAGGCUCCUAAUAGGAAGCUAGAGUCUCCUAUACAUUCUAGAAUAUUCCUCCAAUUUCCCAGCUGCCCCCUUUUUCCCCUCCCACUACAUCCUUAAAACGAAGAAAAAUCAGAUCCUCUCUCUUUCAUUCCUGGACACGUCAUCCACUAGUAACAAACUAGCCACUAUUUCCCUUUUUGCCCUUUCUGACAUACACCUUCCAAACCUUGGGCCCAUUUGACUCAUGAUGAAUCAACUGCUCAUGUGGCAUUCCUGCAGCUGGCUGGGUCCUAUCAAUACCCCCUUCUUCUGUUGUGGCCUUGUCCUCAAGGCCAAACUUUGGAAAUUGGCUUCUGAUCAUAAUCUCAUCUUCCCAUGUUGCUUCCUCCACAGUUUUGCCCUUCCAAUGAAUUAGAACCUGUUUGACUUCUUCCCCUUGCUGUUUCACUUUCCUGGCUGCCAACACUGCCUCCGGUUCAUACAUCUCAAUGUGUUCUUCCAACAGGUCCGGUAGUUCUUCUUUCUCCUCAUAUCUCCCAACAGCCUUCUUCAACAAAGACACAUGGAAAACAGGGUGCACUCUGGACCCCUCUGGUAAUUUUAGCCUGUAUGCAACUGCUCCUAUCUUCUCUAUAAUAGGGUAUGGGCCAUAAUAUCUAGCAGCUAACUUGGCAUUAAUUCUGGACACCACAGACUUUUGUCUAUGUGCUCUAAGCUUGACAAACACCCAUUCUCCACACACAAAACUCCUAUCCACACGCCUUUUAUCAGCUUGAUUCCUCAUUCUGUCUUGCGCUCUUAACAGUUGACUCUUCAACUGUCUCAGAGCCUCGUCCCUGUCCAGCAAAUCCCUCUGCACAGCUUCCACUCUAGUUUCACCCUGCAGCCAUCUGGUCAACACCGGUGGGGGCCUCCCAUAUACUAUCUCGAAAGGUGUCUUCUCUGUGGCGGCGUGGAAUGUGGUGUUAAACCAAUACUCAGCCCAAUGUACCCAUGACAUCCAAGUCUUAGGCUGGUCUGAAAUGAAACACCUUAAAUAGGUUUCUAGGCACCUAUUUACUACCUCUGUCUGCCCAUCAGAUUCAGGGUGAUAUGCAGUACUCAUUUUGAGCUUUGUCCCCUGCAUUUUGAACAAUUCCUUCCAAAAACUACUCAUAAAUAUGGGGUCUCGAUCACUCACUAUAGACAGUGGUACUCCAUGAAGCCUAAUUAUCUCUUUACAAAACACAUCAGCAACGCUCCUUGCAGUAUAAGGAUGCCUAAGUGGUAUAAAAUGGGAAUAUUUAGAUAACCUGUCUACCACUACCAGGAUAGCUUCAUACCCCUUUGAUUUGGGCAAGCCUGUAAUGAAGUCUAUAGAGAUAUCCUCCCAUACUUGUGCAGGAAUUGGUAAAGGCUGGAGUAGACCCCCUGGGGAUGAUGCCAUAUAUUUCUGCCUCUGACAGGUGUCACAGCCCUUCACAAACUCUUGAAUGGUCCUUUUCAUGCCCACCCAGUAUACAUUCGCGGCAAGCCUUCUGUAGGUUUUGUAAAACCCAGAGUGUCCUCCAUGUGGGGAAGAAUGAAAUUCUUCUAACAGUGUAGGAAUUAAUUCAGACUUGUUUGAAAUUACCAACCUGCCUUCAUAUAGUAAUACACCCUGUCUAUACUCAUAUCCAGGCCACAGAGUGGGAUCUUCCUGCACUUCCUUCGUUAUUCUCUGUAACUUCUCAUCUUGCUUAUUUUCUGCCCGCACUUGUUCUUCUUGCAUCCAUUUCACAUAAGAAUUAAUAGUGUUUAACUCCAGCCCCUUGUUAAUUCUGGACAGCGCGUCUGCCCCCCUGUUCAAUCUCCCUUGUUUAUACACAAUCUCAAAAUCAUACCCCAACAACUUGGAAGCCCAGUUUUGCUGAUCAGCAUUAACCACCCUCUGUUGCAACAGUUGUUUCAGACUCUUUUGGUCAGUGGAUACUACAAACUUCCUCCCCAAAAGAUAGGGUCUCCAGUGUUGUAUGGCUAGCACAACCGCCAUCAACUCCUUUUCAUAAGUAGAUUUAACCAAAUUCCGUGUUCCCAGGGCCUUGCUAAAAUAGGCUAUGGGUCUCUUUGCAUCAGUAUCGCUCCUACACCUCCUCCCGACGCAUCACAUUCAAUCACAAAAUUUUUAGAAAAAUCAGGCAGAGCAAGAACAGGUGCUGUAGUGAGUUUUUCCUUCAAAGCUUCAAAAGAUUGUUGAGCUUCCUCUCCCCAUUUAAAAUUGUCCUUCUUGGUAAGCUCAGUUAGCGGUCUCGCAACUUUCCCAUAAUCUUUUAUGAAUCUUCUAUAGUAUCCUGUGAGGCCCAAGAAUCCUCUAACCCCCUUGACAUUCUUAGGCUGUGGCCACUUAAUCACACUGGCCACUUUACUAGGGUCUACAGCAACUCCCUCUUCUGUUAUUAAAUGCCCCAAAUACUCUACUGCCCUUUGAGCAAAGUGACACUUCUUUCUAUUGGCGACUAGACUGUGGGAGGACAGUAGACUCAACACCUCUUCCAAGUGCAACAAAUGAGUUUUCCAAUCCUUACUGUAGACGAGUAUAUCAUCAAAAAAAACCAAAACAUGUUUUCUCAAUAGGGGCCGAAAAACAUGGUUCAUCAGACUUUGGAAAGUUGAAGGGGCAUUCAUGAGUCCAAAGGGCAUCACAAGAAACUCAUAAUGUCCCUCAUGCGUCCUAAAUGCUGUCUUAUGGACAUCAGAUUCCUUUACUCUAACUUGGUGGUAACCAGACUUUAAAUCCAGUUUGGAAUAAAACUUAGCUCCAUUCAACUCAUCUAAUAGCUCCUCGAUAACCGGAAUGGGAAAUUUGUUACGUACCAGAAAUGCAGAAAACAGGAAACACAGAAAAAUGGGUAGUAAUAAGGAAUGAAAGCUUUAUUAAUUCUAAUAAGUUGAAAGCAAAUACAAAAGAGGGAAUAACAAUCCUCAGAUCUGACACAGAGCUAGGCUCCUAAUAGGAAGCUAGAGCCUCCUAUACAUUCUAGAAUAUUCCUCCAAUUUCCCAGCUGCCCCCUUUUUCCCCUCCCACUUCAUCCUUAAAACGAAGAAAAAUCAGAUCCUCUCUCUUUCAUUCCUGGACACGUCAUCCACUAGUAACAAACUAGCCACUAUUUCCCUUUUUGCCCUUUCUGACAUACACCUUCCAAACCUUGGGCCCAUUUGACUCAUGAUGAAUCAACUGCUCAUGUGGCAUUCCUGCAGCUGGCUGGGUCCUAUCAAUAUGCCUAAAAAUGUUGCAGAAGAUGGACAACAUUUGAGGAAAUGAAUUUAUAUAAGUAGUUCUAAAAUGUUGAUAUUCAUGUGCUGGAAAAGGAUGUUGAUGAGCUGGCCAAUAACAGGAAAUGAAAAAGAAAGUAGUGCUUAAACUGAUGAUUGCUUCAAUGUCCAUGAAUUAUUGUAUCAAAUAAUCUGCCAAGAGAAUUGAUGAAUGGAAUAUUACUACUGUUCCGAUCCAAUUCAAUUUUAUUUUCUUCUAUUUAGCCUAAUUUACUUCCAUUAGUAUGUAUGUUUUCUCCUGUAACUGCAGUUACAAGACUGAUGAAUUAGAGUCUAUUGUUGCUCUCAUUUCCUAAUGUAGGCAGCUAUACAUGAAUUUGUGGAGGCAGUUCGUGCAUUUCGAGUAAUAUUUCCUGAUUCUGAAGAACAGUUGGUUAAACUUGCUCAAGAUUUGGUUACCAAGUUUGUAUCAUUAUUUACCGUAGGAAACAUUUUUAUUUACAGUAAAUUAAAUUCGUAUAACAUGCACACUUUUUAAUGUUUGCUAGGAACUUUGUAAUUACCGAGGAAUAUGUAAAGACACGGAUUUCCCCAGAAGAACUACUUGGUGUUCUUCGUAAGUUGUAUGACCACUAGUAAUUUAGUAUUUUUUUUUUGUGUUAUAUUUGUAAUUUCUGGGCAUAUGCUUGAUUUCUAAAGCUAGAUGGCUUUUUACUUUGAGUCCACAUUAGACAUAAGAGCUAAUGACCUUUUGACUCAUAUGCCUGUUAUACGAUAUUUAAUUUUUUUGAACAAAAUAGCAUGUUUUUUGGUCCAAUUUCAUUUUUUAUAUGCAUGGAUUUUUUUUCUCUCUCUGGGCAAUCCAAUUCUAUUUCUCAUAGGCAUGAGGAUGUGUUUAGAAGAGCUUAUCAAUAUGAUGUGACAUAAGCACUUGUAUAAGUGUUUGGGAGAACUUAUGAAAAUAGUUUGUGAUAUGUCCAUAAGUUGUUUUCAGCUUAUUUCAAUAAGCUUUCCAGGAUAACUUAUGAAAAUAAAAUUAUAUGAAAACAAUUUACGAUAUUUCUUCUUCAAUUCUAGAAACAACUUAUACAUUAAUGCUUACUUGAUAAGCAUUUAAUUAAGUUGUUUAUCCAAACCCAUCCUAAAUAUAUUGAAAUGGUCUAUAAAUAACCCAUCCUCCCCUCUUUGAAACUUUGAAACAAGGGCGCUUCCGGUUCUGUCGGUGCUUGAAACAAUUUUGUCUUCUCCAUAUUACUAUAUCUCGAGAGUCAAUAAUUUUAUCUAUUUUUCUUUUACCAUUUAUCCAUGUGGAAAUUUUCAAUAUAUCUGUGUGUCCAAGCCAUUUUUUCUUCUCUUAAACUUGUCACUUUUCCAUAAGUAUAUUAUUUUAAUUGUUAAACCAGUAUUCCCUCUUCCUAACCUUACAUUUCUUUAAUGUUGUAAUCACAGGAGCUAUCUGGAAUGACGUGCUCCUGAUAGAUGAAGUCUUACAGGAAGCAGCUCUCUCUAACCAUUCUCUUGAGGUUAUCCAUUAAUCUUGUUGGCUCAAAUGUGAUUGACCUAAACUGUAGCUAUUCAAUGCUCCCUUUCCCCUAUUUUCAGAAUGUAAUAAUUACGAAGUUAAUGUUUUAAGAAUUAAUUUCAAUCAACUAACCCUAAAUAUUUCCAGGCUGCAAAGGUUGCUGUCACGUCGUUUGUUAGAAGUACAUUUUCUCAUCUUCUGCAAGACAUCUCAGGUUAGUUCUUUCACAGUUUGACUUGUAUUCAGAAGGCUUCUGAUAUUAGGUUUCAGCUUAAUAUUCAAAUAUUUAUGCUACCACAAAAUAGGAGAAUCAAAAAAUUAAAAAUCUUUGUUGAUUUGCACCAAUGUGGCUGGUUGUUUUUUUUUAUAAAAAUGAUCAGAAGCGUAGAAUGCUAUAAAUUAUGUUGUUUCCGAUUAUCACUUUUCAAAAUAGCUCUAUUAUAUAUUUACAUGGUUUUAGCUACGGGAAAAUUUUUAGAAAGUUGUUUGCAUAACUGUGCUGAGUUAGCAUCUGUUUGGUAGAUUCCCUCUUACAAAUCCUGAAAAAGGAUGGAGCAGAACAGUGCACUCUUGAUGUUGUUCUUGAUGCAAGUACAAAAGCAGUUCUCCAAGGAGGACUGAAUGUGUUGCUGGUAAGCAUGUUUGUAUGCUUAGAUUCAUCUAUACAAGGUUAUAUGCAAUUAUGUGUGCAUGUAUUGCUAUUGUUAAGAUUUUCUGUUAUUUGUGUUUUUUGUCAUUUCAUUUACAUUUAAUCUCUCUCCUUCAGGACUUCCGCAAAGUUUUAGAUGAUGACUCUGGGAUCCUAGUUAGAUUAAGAGAGUUAAUUACUGAUUGGGUUCAAGAAGGACUUCAAGACUUUUUUAGGCAACUUGAGGAUCAGUUCCUUCUGUUUUCGGGAAGAAAUAAUUCAUCUAUUCAAGUACACGCUUUGGCAGAGGGAGCUCAAGGUUAUAAAGCUUUUGCUGGCCUUGUCCUAGUGCUGGCACAAUUGUCUGUUUUCAUUGAACAAACUGUCAUCCCAAAAGUCACUGAGGCAAGGGUUCAUUUGAUAGAGUUUGACUCCUGAAAUUUCAAUUUCUGUUGUUAAUUUCUCUUCCAUAUCCAAUGGGAAUACCUUAAACUUUUCCUUGGAAUCUUCAGGAAAUAGCUGCUUCCUUUUCUGGUGGUAGUGUUAGAGGCUAUGAAUCUGGGCCUGCCUUUGUUCCUGGAGAAAUAUGUCGAAAAUUUCGGUCAGCUGGUGAAAAAUUCUUGCACCUGGUAUAUUUUUAAGUUCAUAUUUUCUUUUCAAUGGAACUGCAACUCGUAUGACACUCUGUAUAUUGUUGUCCUUGUCUGUAUGUCGCUCCCUCAUUCUUAUUCAUCUAUUCCUUAGUUAAUGCCUAAAGCCUGCUUGGUGUUUUAGCUUGAUUUUAAUAUUUUCCCAGAGAAUAUUUGUGCUUCCAAGGAAAAGAGGGGUUUCAAUUUGAUUGGCCAUUUUGACCUUUAGACAGUGCCUGUUUGUGUGUGAAGUACAAUCCCAUUUAAAACAUGUGAAUGAUGUUGGACAAAAUUUCAGUCAUUGAAUGGUGUAGUUGUUACACUAUGGAUUGUCGGUUUUCUCUCAUGAACUGACUAGUUUGUAUGCCUGUUUAGUUUUACACUGUCUGGUUGAUUUUACCUGGAGCAAUUUGUUGAGAUUUUGGAGAAUGUUGGCAUACUGUGAGUUUUGAGCAGUUCUUGUUGAUUUCUUCAAUGGCUUGCUUUUAUGGGAACAAGUGGUGGAAGACUUUAUGUUCCUAUGGGUUUUUUGAGAAUAUUAUGUAGUCGUUUGAGUUUAUUUGGGAUGGAUAGUUCAUAUGGCUUUGCUUUGAUGUUCUGGGAUGGUUUCUUUUGAGGGACUCUUGUCUGAUUCGCAAACGAACUAGCAAGCUUUACUUUGCAUUGUAGUGCCCUUUCUUGAGUGCUUUGGUUUUGGAGGAUAUUUAAUCUCCAUUUAUCCAUACCUGUUCUGUCCUUAGUCCUCUAUUUUUGUUUUCAUUAUUUAAGAAAUAUCUUCUGGUUAAGCAGCAUUUACAUAUAUACUGUUUGAUUCUUUUCAGUACGUUAAUAUGAGAACUCAGAGGGUAUCACUUCUCCUGAAGAAGAGGUUUACCACCCCUAAUUGGGUUAAGGUCAGUCUGUUAUAUACCAUUUUUUCAAACGUAUAAGACUGGUGGUUGGUUAUCUUUGAAAGAGCUUGAAUCUGAAGUUUUUCCUUUGCUUUACACAGCAUAAGGAGCCAAGAGAUGUUCAUAUGUUUGUUGAUCUAUUUCUUCAAGAGGUUGGUGUAUUCAAUCAUUCUUUUCUGUGUCUUUUCAGUUGCAUGAAUGGUUUAAGCAUUGUGAUUGAAUAUUAGUCUUACUAAAUUUUGCUUACCUAGAAUAUAAUUAUUCAUAUUUGAUGAAAAUAUAUGUUAAUUGAUUAAAGCAACAACAACAAUAAAAACCUUAUCCCACUAAGUGGGGUUGUGUUGACUAUAUGAAUCACCUGACACCAUUUAGAUCUGUUAAAAGCCAAAUUUUAAAUGAAGCAAACUGGAGGAUAAUUUUAAUUUCCUUUAUUUUUUUUCCAGCUUGAAGUUAUAGUUAACGAAGUGAAGCAGACUUUGCCUCAAGGUAGACGUAAGCACCACAGGACUGAUAGUAAUGGAAGUAGUGUUUCAUCAAGGAGUAAUCCCUUGCGGGAGGAGAAACUGGGUAGGUCAAAUACUCAAAGGGCAAGGAGCCAGCUUUUCGAAACGCAUCUAGCAAAAUUGUUUAAGCAGAAAGUUGAAAUUUUCACAAAAGUAGAAUAUACACAGGUAUUGUGUGAUUAUUAUAUUGGUGAUUUGAAUUUAAAUAAUUCGUUGGGAGCCAUGAUAUCGUUUCCUUACAAAUCGCAGGAGUCUGUUGUUACAACUAUAGUUAAAUUGGGCCUUAAAAGUUUACAAGAAUUUGUCCGACUCCAGACUUUUAACCGAAGUGGAUUCCAGCAAAUUCAAUUGGAUAUCCAGUUCCUAAGAAUCCCUUUAAGGGAAAUAGUUGAAGAUGAAGCUGCAAUCGACUUCUUGCUAGAUGAGGUUGGAAAAAUUCUCCUAAGUAUAUAAUUCUUCAUAGAGAUGCCAUGCAUUUUUUCCAAUGAGAAUUACCUUUAGUUUUGCUGUUAUUUUUUUCCUGUUCUAAACUCAUGCGUGGGUUAUAGCUUCUUAAAUCUUAUGUAUCUAUCGUGCAUAUUUUAUUUUUUGUAUGUUUUGGGCAUAGGUGAUUGUUGCUACUGCAGAACGGUGUCUAGAUCCGAUUCCAUUGGAGCCUCCCAUAUUGGACAAACUUAUACGAGCAAAGUUGGCUAAAACCGAGGAGCUAAACACAAUUUCUUCAUAAACAUUCUUUUUGGAAGCAAAGGAUAUAUAUAAAACGUGUUUCCCAUCUCGUAGAAUUUGUUAUGGUUUUGGCCGUUGAAAAGUAACUUGGUUCAUUUUCUGUUCAUUUUGUAAAUCUCGUAAGUUAUAGUAGCAUUUGUCAUAUUGCAAUGCUGUUAUUUGUGGAAACAUUGAAACAUGAGAAAGUUAUAUCCAUUUUUGACUCGAGAGCUGAGUUAUAUCCAUGUGAAUAUGUGAUAAUUCCAGGACCAGCUCACGCGGUACAUAACUGUUCAAAAGGGUAAGCCGAUAUUAGUGAAAGUCAGAUCUUUAAUAUUGAGCAAAAGUUGCUCGUUUUUUUAAAAAAAAAAUUUCACUAGAGAUGCUUAGGAACAUCUAUAUUGGUGAAAAUAACCUAAGUUGCAUAAGUUUUUAUUUUAUAAUUUUUUGAGGCAUACCAUGGCACGUUUAUUUAUUUUAUAUAAUUUAAGCAACUUUCUUUUCAAUACUACGACUCUACAAAAUUCACUAAGUGUGACUCCAAGACUACCAAAUAUUUUAAAUUUGAAAUAUUCGUUUCUCAAUAUUUUAAAUAUAUUCAAACAAAGUAGUAAUAUUCUAAUAUUUUAAAUUUGAAAAAUAUUCUUUUUACUUUCUAUCAAUUUAAUUAAUGAUAACAAAUAAUAAAUAAUAUUUUGAUCAAAAUAAAUUUAAAGUCAAACCAUAUGAAUUUAUACUCAAAGGUGAAAACAUCAUGCUCAAAUUACAAUUUUAUGUAAAUAAAAUUAAAAGUCAGCAAUAAAAUAAAAAUAACAAUUCAUUUUGAAAAACAAAAAAAAUAGUAUUUACUAUUUCCAAUCAAGUUUAAAUUUAAACUAACUUCAAUAAUACAAAAUUAAUUAACAUUAAAUUAGAACAAUUUGGUCAAAUGUAUAACAUAAUAGUGUAUUAUGGUAUAUAUCACAUUUAUUCAAAUUUUAAGAUACAAAUCACCUUUUUAUUGUGUUAGUGCAUUAGUUGUUGAAUAAUCAUGUGAUUUACGAAAGAAAAAAGAGUAAAAAAAACACGGCUGUAUUUUUUCUCUUCCUCUUGAUCUUGGGUGAUGUUACUAUGUUAGUAAGUCACAUGCCACACAAGCGAAACAGGAACAACGUUGAGAUGACAUGGAACUAAAUACAGAUUCGCCCGGCUGCCCGGAAAGACAAUUUAACCUAUCUUUUUUUGUUUUUUGGAAACAAACAAAUUUAACCUAUCAAAAUACGAGAGUAAAAUAUAACGGAAAAUAUUGAAGAUAAUAUAUACCCUAUUUUUUACGCGAAUAAAGAAAGAAAUAGAUAAAAAAAUUGAAAAAAAAUCAUAUCAAAUGACAUUAAAAAAUAAAUAAUAAAAUAGAAAAAAAUAGAUAUGUCAUAUAACAAAAAAAUUUAGAAUUUUGUAUGGACUUAUCGUUGAAAGAAAUUAAAUAUCAUUUUCAUUUUUUUUAUUAUAUGUUAAUAAUCAUGGAAAGAACAACUGAAAUAAAGUAAAAUACUAAAUUAUAUCAAUAUUUUUUUUUUGUGAAUGAUUAUAAAUAUAAUAUAGAUUACAUCAAUUAAGUACACGGAAUUAUAAAAAGUGGUCCCAAAAAAAUUACUCUAAAAUAUAAGUACGCAACUUUGAAAAAUAUUACUUUUUCACGAUAAUUUGUUAUUUUUUUUAAAAAAUAAUUAUUCUUUGAAAACAAAUCAAAACAAACAAGACUUAGGAGUGUAUUGGUCAUUUCGAGUAUAAGAUCCCAGAGGAGCACCCAAUCCGAAAUCUCGAAAUCUUAUUAGCUGCCCCAAACGCCAGAUUUUUGUAACCUUUGCAGUCUUUGGCAAUUUUUACUUUUCUAGCAUAGUUAAACGUAUUUUGACAAAAUAAUAUUUAUAAAAUCCUUAAAAUAUAAGUCCCUUGAAAUUGAUCCAGCUCCCUCCCCUCCCUCCCCGGCUCCGUGGCGGAGAUAUACCGCAAAAGAAGUGCAAGACCUAAUAAAUCCACUUGCACCAGAUCCAUGGCAACACAAAAGGUCAGUGAUUAAAUUUCUCGCCGUUUUUGGAUUCAUUCAUUCCUUACCCCCUAAACCCCUUUUCUCGAGAACAGUGCUGAAUUUCACAGCGUAAAUAAAUAUAACGCCUUUCGGUUUCAGAUUCUGUCCUCAUUCUUCAUGCGCCUUUGAAGUGCAACCCCCCUCCUUUCAGCUGCUGCAACCUCAACCGUUUUCGAGGUCCUUCUUUCGUUUUUUCACUUACUUUUCUUUGUUUUAUUCACUUAACUGUUGCUCGCUUUGUUUUAUGAUUAUUAUUCCUCCAAAGCGUCGUCGUCUUGCAACUUGCAAAUUGCCAGUAACAUUUUAAUCUUAGCUUCCACUGAUUGUUCAAUUCGGAACUGACCUAUCCUCGUUUAGGUUUUCCCUCAUUCAAUUAAUUAAUAACUCUCUCUAUUGCCAUGCACUUGUUUAGGUUUUGAUUUUCAUUCAAUUUAGAUUUAGAUUGGUAAUGGACCAUAUUUAUUGUUAAUCGAAGGUUUGUGUUUUAUGAUGUGAUGAUGUCAUGUUGUUAAUCUAAAGCUUGUUGUAUGCUGUGGUGCUGUCAUAAUGCACACUAUAUGUUUGUUGCUGAUUUUCAAGGAUUGAUUUUGAAAAUUUUGGCAUAAUAAUAAUUAGGACAAUUUAUGCACUGUAGUUUGUUUCUUUGUUGCAGGGUGUUUUCAGAACAUGGAUUCGAGGAAGGGCAAAGCUUCUGUUUCUGCAUCUUCACUGAGUGCUGCACCUUUGAGUGUUUCAAAUAAGGUGGAUCAGAUGGUGUCGCCCCCUAGGGAUGUGAGAGCUGUUGAGACUGAUGUGGAUAUAGACCUUAGGGAAAUUUACUUUUUAAUCAUGCACUUUUUGUCUGUCGGGCCAUGCCAUAGGACUUUUCUAAAUUUCAAGGAGGAACUUUUAGAGCAUCAGCUUCUACCUAGAAGAUAUCAUGCUUGGUUUUCAAGAAGUGGUGAACCCAGUGGGGAUGAUGCGGAUGAAGAUGAUGAUGGCAUCUCUUUACCUUUAGAUUACAGCAAUCUAGUGGGCAGGUAUUUUUGCUUUAUAUAUGCCCUCUGAUUUGGUUUUGUACUAAUUAUUACUAUAUGUAAGGUUGGAGUUUUAUGCUUAACUUUUCAAUCAGCAUUUAUUAUAUCUGAGUGGUUGACAGUUGACGACUACUCUCAAUCAGAUGGGCUAUCAACGCCCUUGGCCUUUAAGUGCAUGUAACUGACUUAACAUUUAAAAAAGGGUAGCUGUACUCCAUGCUCAAUGCUAAUAUACUUAAAUAUUUAUUGUUAUUAAUAUUUAUUUGGAGUUUAGUGUAGGGAAUGCUUUUUUUAAAUAAAAAAUAAAAAAGGAAAAUAAUUUAUGAUGGAAGUGUAUGAUUAACUUUGGUAGAGAUAUCUUGACUAUCUUCAUUUAAAGAUUACUUGCAAAUAGCUGAUGCUUCAUAUUUUAAUCCAAAUAUUUAUUGUUAUCUGGUUUGAAACACUUCUCUCUUAAGUUAGUAAUAACUGUUUUUUUGAUAUUAUCUGUAAAGGCUUAAUUAUUGUUCAUUUUGUGUAACUACAAGGUAUCCUCACAUAACUAAGGAUCAUUUGGUGAAGCUUCUGAAGCAAUUGAUGCUGAGUACGGUCAAUCCUUUGCAUGGAAAACUUGAAGGAAGUAGUCCUAAUGCAGCUGAUGUUCCUACUUUACUUGGAUAUGGUUCAUUUUCGCUUCUUAAUGGUACGUGAUAAGCUAUAAUAAUCUUUUUUUCUUGAUGAUCAUUCAAGCUAAGAUCACAAGUUAUUAACUCAAACUGAAAAAAUGUUUAUAAUCUUAGGCUAUUAUAUGAAUUUAAUGAAUUAGCAAUCUGUAAAUAUCUAUUAAAGAUUUUCUUUUCUUAGUUUUGUGGUAUAUUCUCAAAGGGAUGAUUAACAUGUCAGGGCUUGCUUUAAGUUACUAGGUUUAGAACGGUUAUAUAUAAAACCUUGUUUUAGUUUAUGCUUUGUUAGAAUUGGUAAUUGGAUAUAUGAACCUCCCAAAAUUAUAUUUUCUUCUAUAAGUACACAGUUUACAGUUGUUAUCAUUGGUCUGUUCCAAGACUGGUACUGGCAUAUACAAUGCCAUCAUUGUGUGGAAGGUAGUAAUGAGCAUGUGUAAAAAGGGGUCCAAGAUUCUAAAUGUUUAAACACUUGAUUAGGUUGUUGUCUUUGGUUUAAAAAUUUUCCUAGUCUUCCCUUUUGACAAAUGUAGUACUUGUCUGAAGCUUCUACUGGCAAAUUUGCAUUUAAAUAUGUCUGGAAGUUGAUAUAGUUGACCAUGCCCCCAACAUUAACCACAAAAGAAUGGGAUAUUUACUCUAUUUUCAUUCCUGUGAAUGCACAGUUGAUAGAAAAACAGCUGACAAACUGGUGAAGCCCCCUCCACUUUACAUGCGUUGGCCACAUAUGAAGGCUAAUCAGGUUCAGGGGCUAAGUUUAAGGGAGAUUGGAGGUGGUUUUACUAAGCACCAUCGUUCUCCAUCCAUUCGCAGUGCAUGUUAUGCAAUCGCCAAACCAUCUACUAUGGUGCAAAAGAUGCAAAAUAUUAAAAAGCUAAGGGGGCACCGUGUGGCUGUCUAUUGUGGUAUGAAUUACUCAUCUUCUAAACUUGCUAUUAAUAUGGUGGCUUUAUGCCAUUCUCUGAGUUCAUGUUCAGUUAUUCUCACAAAAGUCAUUAAUUAGAUGUGAGUCACAUUACACCAAUAAAAGCUGAAUCCAAUGCCUUUUCAUUUUAAGUGUUGCUCUCUCUUCUUAGAGUUUCCUUAUGAAGUGAAAUGUUGAUUUAUUAACAAUUAAUAAUUCCCACUUAGAUGCAUAUAAAUAAUUACUAUAAUAGUUGUACUUAUGGUUGAUAGAUUUAAAAAAAAAUGAUUUUAUCUUGCAGCCAUAUUUGAUGGAUCCGGGAGAUAUGUUAUUAGUGGUUCAGAUGAUCGUCUUGUCAAGAUUUGGUCUAUGGAAACUGCAUUUUGCUUAGCUAGUUGCCGUGGACAUGAAGUGAGUCAAGAAUAUAGUCUAUGGAAGUAACUUUGAUAAGUUUGUUUUCCUUUUAAUAUUAUUUAAUCUUAUGUUGUCAUUAUUAAACUGAAGGGUGAUAUUACUGAUUUGGCUGUAAGCUCAAACAAUGCUUUGGUGGCAUCUGCUUCAAAUGAUUUUGUCAUUCGAGUUGUAAGUAGUAGAGCUUAAUUUUUUGUUCUGUCCUGCAAACCUUGUGCAACUAAGUUGACAUUUGCUUCACAACAGUGGCGCUUACCAGAUGGGAUGCCGAUAUCAGUUUUGCGGGGACAUACUGGAGCAGUUAAUACUAUUACAUUUAGUCCCAGUGUCAUAUACCAGCUACUAUCGUAAGUUUAAGAGUUGUUGUGUCCUAUUGUUGCCUCUGUAUAUGCUUUCCUAGUGAUUCUUGUGACUCACAAGGGAUAAGUCUUGACGCUAAUCUAUUUAUUUCAUUCAUAAUAAUUGAAUUGUAAAAAAUUUGCUUUGCUCAUGACCUGUGUCAUAUAAAAAUCUCAAGUAUUUUUUAUUUGUAAAACCAAGUUUUUUUAUUUGGGUAUACAUACUAUAUCUGUAAAACUAAACUUUAAUAUUGUAAUAAAACUUAUAUUAUGAAUUUAAUAUACUCCGUUGCAUGCCAUUGGAUCACCUUGCACCAUUCCAAUGGCCUACAAAGCACCAGCUAUGUGACAAGCAUAUUUUAUAAUUAUAUUCUUUUGCAAAUUAAUUAUUUAUUUUAAUAUAAAUUCAAAUAUUCUUAGUCCUUUUUUUAGAAUAUAUGGAAAAUAUUCAAUAGCUUAUCACAUUUAAAUCUUCUUAUCUUCUAGGAUCCUUAUUCUUAGGUAAUUUAUCUUAUUUUUUGAGAGUUAUUUGUUCUUUAGGAUUAAGAGUCUAGUAUUACUAUAAAUAAGGGAUGUUCAUUAUCAAAUUUAAACCCAUAACAUAUGAAGAAAAUAUUGUUCUGUCUUUCUUCUCAAUUCAUUUCCUCAAUAUCUAAAACUAAAUCAUUUCAACAUGGUAUCAAAGUGGUACCAUCCUCUGUGACCUAUCUUGUAUUGCUUUGCUGUCAAGUUCUGUAAAAUCAGGAGCUAUACUUUAUUUCCAUGUAUUCUCUUACCAACUAAUCAUCUAUUGUGCUGUAUCCUCAUUCCGGCAAGUUUAGAUCUCCCUUUCUCGUCAUUACUGCUGCUGCUCUGUUUUGGCCUUUGUCUAGAUCUGUGCUCACACCUGCAACUCCAGACCUCUGUUUUUUUUUUUGAAGGGGGGGGGGGGGGGUAUUCUAGUCAGUUGAGUGUAAUCUAUGCCCCAGACCAGAAAAAUAUUAAUUUCUUCAUUCUAUUACACACGUAUACAUCAUUCUAGUGUUCUUAAUCUAACUUUUAUGACUUAUGAAAUAUGUAGGUCAUCAGAUGAUGGAACUUGUAGAAUAUGGGAUGCGAGAAAUUCACACAAUCCACGAAUAUAUGUACCUCGACCUCCAGAUGCUAUAAAUGGUCAGAUAAUUGCUUCUAUUUCUGUUAACAGAUCAGUCCUGGAACUGGUAGUGGUUUGAGUUUGGCAGUUUUACCAUAAUAAAUUUGAUAUGGUGGUACAAUCUAUAUUCAAUUUUUGUGUUGGAUCAAUUAGAUUCUAUUAAAAUCUAAAUCCAAUAUAAAAAUGAAAAAAUCUUUUUACAUUUCAACAUGUUUUUUAAAUGAAUACUACACUUAGAACAAUGAAUGGAGUUAUCAAAUCUAGUUCAAACCAAAACUAUGCAAGUUUGGACAUACAAAUUGAUGACUUGUUACUUAAACAUUCCAAAUCAGAAGUCUUUGACUUGUUGACUGCCAUAAUUACUUUUUUUGUUAUUAGGUUGUUCUUGAUUGAGGAAUUAUAAACUUUUUCAGGGAAGGGCAAUGCUCCACCAGCUAGUUUGCCAUCCUCAAGUAAUGUUCAACAAAGCUAUCAAGUACUUUGUUGUGCAUAUAAUGCAAAUGGAACUGUUUUUGUUACUGGUAGCUCUGAUACUUAUGCCAGGGUAGGUUUUCUGAUGUACUCUUUGCAUAUUUUCUAUUUUCUUCCAUUAAUACAAUUAGUCUUUUCUUAUUUAAAUAUCGCAUCUAUUCAUAUAUGUUGAGAAAAUUACUGCUAUUUGCAGGUGUGGAGUGCUUUGAAGCCCAACACUGAUGACGCAGAACAACCAAUACACGAGAUGGAUUUAUUAUCUGGCCACGAGAAUGAUGUUAAUUAUGUGCAGUUUAGGUUAGCCAUCCUGGUUAGAUCUACACUUAUUUAAUUUUAUUUUGUAAGGAUCCUUAUUGUCUUUUCUACUCUGCAUGCAGCGGUUGCUCUGUGGCUUCAAAAAUUUUGACAUCUGACCCCUGGAAAGAAGAAAAUACUUUGAAGUUCCGAAAUUUCUGGUAUAUCCUAAUGUUUCUUUUCUGUAAUUUUUUCCUACUCUUGUUUAGUUUUAUUAAUGUAACAAGUGUACCCUGCACUCAUUACUAAAUGUGUUGCAUACUGAUGUCAUAUAAUUUGUGUAUUUCAGGUAUUGUCAUGAUAACAUAGUUACCUGCUCUCGUGAUGGUAGUGCAAUUAUAUGGGUUCCCAGAUCACGUAAAUCUCAUGUGAGCUCCUUUAAAUAAGAUUGCCAUUGAACUUUGGUCUAUUUUUAUUCUUGAAGACAUUUUCUUUUCCAUAAUUAUUUUGGGCAUCUUUGUGGCAUGUUCAGUUUCAUUUUUUCCCCAUGCUUACCAUAUGAAAUAUGUUGAAGUUUUCCUCUUCUAUUCCAGGGAAAAGUAGGACGCUGGACUCGUGCAUAUCAUUUAAAAGUGCCACCACCGCCUCUGCCUCCCCAACCUCCACGAGGUGGUCCAAGGCAGAGAUUUCUACCUACACCUCGUGGUGUCAAUAUGAUUAUAUGGAGCCUGGACAAUCGCUUUGUGCUUGCAGCUAUUAUGGGUAAUCUACUUGCUAACCCUUUGUUGUAUGAAAAUAGGGGGAGAGGAAAUAAUGUUGGUAGUUUGGUUGAACGGAAAUAGAGUGGAAAUAGGGUGGGGCCCACUAGUACUUUUCCACUCUAUUGCUCACUUAUUUCCAUUCAUCUUCUAUCUUGUUAUUUCUUCUCUAUUUCUCUUCUACCAAACACCUUUAAAUUACAUUUUAUUCCUCAUCUAUUUCCAUUAACCUUUUCUAUUUCCAUUCACUCUAUUUCUUUCCGCUAUACCAAACGGACCCUAAAGAAAUAAUGGAGCAGGGAAAUUUAUACCAACAUAUUAUACAGAUUUUUGCAUACUUAGUAUAUUAAAUUGAUGGUAUCCAAAUCAGUCAAGGUGGUAUAAAAGUUUUAUUUAUUUAUUAUUAUUACAAUUUGAUUAUCUCUUUUCUCUGACGUUAUUUGUUCCUUAUCCUUUACUGACCUUUCUUAAAGUAAAUCACAAUCACUCAUUAUGUUCCAGAUCUGUUGUAUUAAUUUCUAACUCUUUGAUAUGAUAACUUACUAGAAUGACAUAGUAUAAUUGUUUCGACCUCAAGUUUGCUACAUUGUUAGACUCAUUGCAUCUGAGAUAUUGUCAGCUUUUGCUCACAUUGGCCUCACUAUUUUAUCCUUAAAAGGCGUCUUUGAUGCCCACCAUGGGGCUCAAACCCACAACCACAAGAAACCUGAGGCCUACACAAGAACCAAAUCGGAUAAUAUCUUGAAUAUGGUGAUCCUAAUGAUGCAAUACACCUGAGGUUGGAGCAAUAAUAGAAUGUUCAAAGGAUCCUAUGUGUAUAAUCCAUUGUUUGAAAAUCGAUUUUCCUAUAACUAAAUUUGUCGGGGAGAAUGCAUAAUUUCUACUUGGUACUACCACCUGCUGCUGUUACAUACAUCACUAUUGGCUCAACAUGGGUCCUGGUUUAGUAUGCAAUUUAUAUUUCAUUAUUCUCCAUAUGGAGUAAAGAAUAUUGGUUUAGCAUGCAAUUGAUUUUUUAUUAUCCCCAUAUGGAGUAGAGACUAUGAUUUUUGCUGUUUCAUAUAUCACUAAGUGUUAUAUUGCCUCAACAUGGAUCCUGGUUUAGGACACAAUUGAUAUUUUAUUAUCCCCAUAUGGAGUAGAGAAUAUGUUAGGUGUCUGUUGAAACUUAUGAGCGAAUCUGUUCCUAGUCUUGCAAUUUAGGGAGAGUGGUUAGUUUUUUGUUAUGGGAUUGGGCUUGAGAACAUUAUCUAAAAUGCCUAAGGCAAUUUGAACUUGUGCACCUCUUGCUUAUAUGAUAUCCCCCGUACUUGUCUCAUAUACAACCAAUGCGGGACUUCGUAUUUUCCAAUAUUAUCUCAUGAAUAUUAUAUUGUCAUGAUAAUACAUCUUUAUUCAUUUGACUUUGCAUUCAUUCACCACUUUGUGAUCCAUUCCCUACUCUUCUAUAGGUAAUCAAUUUUAACUGAGUACUUGUCUUUUCAUCUUGAAGAUUGCAGAAUAUGUGUUUGGAAUGCAGUUGAUGGCAGCUUAGUGCACUCUUUGACUGGUCAUACUGAAUCUGUAAGACCUAUCAUCUGUCUUUUACUGGGUUCAGUUCUAGCCUCUUAUUAUUUUUCUAUCUUGAUUUGGAUUUUUACAGUUCUUUCAUGACUAAAUGCUGAGUUUUCAAUGGUUGGCAGUCUUAUGUUUUGGAUGUUCACCCUUUCAACCCUCGAAUAGCUAUGAGUGCUGGGUAUGACGGACGAACCAUUGUGUGGGAUGUAAGCUUCUUUUCUUUUGGGUCCUUAAAUCUUAAUGUUUAAAUGUUCUUCUCAAAACAGAUUAAUUUAUGUCUUUCUGGUAUAUUCUUUUUCCAGAUAUGGGAGGGCAUACCUAUUCGGACAUAUGAAAUUGGACGUUUUAAGUUGGUUGAUGGGAAGUUUUCUCCGUAAGUGUCUCAUAGAAUAAUCGUCUUGAAAGGAUUUUUUUUUUGUUUUGUUUGUUUUUGCGUAGUUUUUCAUUUAAUUUUUCCCAUUGUUACAUUUAUUGUUUUUCCUUCUUUAUAGGUUUUGUUUUGUUCCACACUUUGGUAAUACUUUGUGAAUGUCUUUGGUAAUACUUGUGUUUGGCAAAGAAACUUAUUAGACAUAAAGAGAUUAGGUAGCUACCAACUUUAGAGCUAUGUAAUCCCUUUUAACCGAUAAUAGACUUGAGCGAACAUUUAGAGAAUGUGUAUUGGAUUCUGAAAAAUGAAUUGAGUUACAAUGAGUAUGGGAUCAACUAUUUAUAGCUGUACAGACAAAGAACCUCAAAGCUAACUACUUGUAAUAACUGAGAGGUCGUUACUGAGUACUGCUGUCAAAUAACUAACUGAUAACUACAACAACAAAAUGACACCCAAGUUGGUUACAGAGUAAACUAUACUCUAAUACCCCCACGAGCUCAUGAGGGGUUAGAAACCAGAGAAGAGCCAACCAGUCUGUGCUUUGCCCUUGGAGCAGUAAACCUAGUGGGAGAGAGCCUUUGUUAAAAUAUCUGCACACUGAUCAGAGGCAGGAACAUGCGCAACCUGCAGUUGCUUGCUUAUCACCUAAGAGAUCCAGUUCCAUGUGCUUGGUCCUUCCUAGCAUGUAGAAUUGGGUUGUGAGCAAGAGCUACAUGCUCAUACUGUCGCAUAGAAUCUUAGGAACAGUAUGGGGAACUUGCAGUUUAGAUAUUAAUGUUUGAAUGCUGUUGCAAGAAAUAACCUUCUGAAUUCUGAGCGAGCAGCCACAUUCUGUCUCUUAGACCAUCAAGAGACUAGAUUAGACCCAAGAAAAAUAGAGGCACUAGAAGUAGAUCUCCUAUCAUCAAAGUAAGAAGCCCAACCUGCACCACAGUAGGCUUGAAGAGCCAAAGGAGUGUUAGAUUUUGCAAGAUGUAGGUGAAGGUCCCAGGUCCCAAGAAACAGUACCUUAAAGAUACCUAAGUAUCCUUUUCACUACCGUCCAGUGCUGUUCCAGAGGUUGAGACAUGAGUUGACAUUUUUGUUGACAGAGAAACUGAUCUCAGGCCUAGUAAUGGAUUGGCUAUUGACAGAGAAACUACUGAUAAGGCCUUUUGGUAUGGCACCCACAACAAACUUGUAUAGGCUAGCAUCAAGGAGUGUUGGAUUUUGCAGGAUGUAGGUGAAGUGAAGGCCCCAAGAAACAGUACCUAAGGUACCCAAGUAUUAAACUUAAUUUAUUGUCCACCACUAUGUCACAGUGGCAUUUGCUUUAAAGCGAAACCCAAUGGUAAGGACUUAGGAAUGACAUUAUAUCUAACUUUUUUUAAAAGGCCUGUAAUUGCCUCCUUCCAUUUGGAUAAUUCUGAAUCUUGUCAUAUGGACAAUAGUUCUCUGUUCUAUAUUCAAUCUGACUGACAUAUUUUUACUUUGUUAGUAAUGUAAUUGUCUGAAUCCAUGUCAACACUAAGAUACCAUUGUCAAGUUUGUACAUUAUUCAUUUUAAGCUAUGAGUUUAUGCCUGUUGCUUUGUGUCUUGAUGUGGAACAUCUGUAGGCUGUAUACCUACCUUGCUGAUCAUGAGUGCUCCAUGUCACAUAUGCCUACCUUGGUGAUCAUGAGGGUUCCAUGUCACAUAUGAACUAUGUCAUCUUUUAUCCAUCUUAGAUGAAUCAGGAUCUCUGACGGUGUGUAAUUUGUUAAAAUAUUGUGUGUUCAUUUUAGGGACGGAACAUCAAUUGUGCUUUCAGAUGAUGUUGGCCAAAUAUAUUUUCUGAACACAGGUCAAGGCGAGUCCCAGAAAGAUGCAAAAUAUGAUCAGGUGGUCAAAUAUUUCAAUAUUGAUAUUGAUAUUAACUUCAUAGCAAGUAAAUUUAUAUGUCUAUCUUGUUGAUUUUUCUGGCAGUUUUUUCUUGGUGAUUAUCGACCCCUUAUUCAGGAUACUCAGGGAUAUGUUCUUGAUCAGGUUGUGAGUAGUCAUUGUGCCCCUGUACUUUGUUGAUUGUCAUCUUGAUUGACUUGACAAGAUUGUUGAAUUUUCAAUGUGUUAGCUAACCUAUGUGACAUCUGAUGCAGGAGACUCAACUUCCACCACACCGAAGAAACAUUCAGGAACCUCUAUGUGAUUCUAGUAUGUUAUGGCUCUUAUUCUGAAAUUCUUGUAUUAAUAGGAUGCAAAUUUCUCUUACAAUAAUUAUUUCAUUACCAGGUAUGCUGCCAUAUCCAGAACCUUAUCAGAGUCAAUUUCAGCAACGUCGACUUGGUGCUCUUGGCAUUGAAUGGCGUCCUUCAUUGAUAAAAUAUGCUGUUGGUCCAGAUUUUACUGUUGGUCAGGACUACCCAGUGGUACCUUUGGUAGAUUUGGAAGUAAUGGUUGAGCCACAACCAGAGUUCUUAGAUGCCAUGUUCUGGGAGCCAGAAUAUGACAUUAUUGUAAGCGAUGAUGCUGACUCUGAAUACAAUGCAAAUGAGGAUAGUUCUAGUGCAGCCGGGCAAGGGAGUGUUAUCUCUUCUAGUGAUCUAGAAUAUAGUGAUGACUCUAGUAAUAGGGACGGCCUUCGAAGAUCAAGAAGGAAAAAACAUAAUGUUGGAGUAAGUGUCUUCUUUUUUGUUGAACAAUCGUUAAUUACAAGUUGUUAUCUAACCAUAAUGUGUCUCAGGUUGAGGUAAUGACUUCCUCUGGAAGGCGUGUAAGGAAAAGGAAUUUGGAUGAGUGUAAUGGUAAUACUUCUGGAAGUAACAGACUCCGCAAGAAAUCCAAGGGCAGCUCAAAAGCCUCAAAAAGGAAAUCUUCCAUAGCUAAGACAUUGAGACCCCAGCGAAUUGCUGCACAUAAUGCUCGUAGUAUGUUCUCUCAAAUUGAUGAAACAUCUACUGAUGGGGAAGAUAAUGAUUCUGAUGAAGAAGCAUCAGACAGUUUCCAAGAUCCUGAUGAUCUUAGUGAAUCUGAGAGGGAAAUGGAUAAUAAACAUCUUGAAAUUAAAAAGCCCCUUUUAGAAAAGUUUGCAACUGUGUCCAAGCCUCCUGCAUUCUCUGAGUCCCUGGUAAAUGUUGAAACUAGACCGAGACUGGUUGUUAAGUUUUCACUUCGUGAUUCUAAGAAGAAUGUGCCCACUGAGGACACAAGACUAGCUUGUGAGACUCAGGAUAAUAUGGUAUCCCAGUCUUCUAGACCUCAACCUGAAGAAAGUGAUCAAAAAACUUUUCCAGACACAAAAUCGUUGGACCCUGCAUUAUCUUCUAUGGUUGCAACUAAUGCUGAACUUCCCCAAAGCCUCAACGGAAAUGAAAAUGAUGAUAAAGAACAAACUGAAAAUGCUACAAAUAAUCUGUAUGCAUUCAGAUAUGUUGAGGCAAACACAGAUCAGUGCAGAAAGAUGAAGACACACACACAUGAACUUUCAAGAUCAGGGGAUGCUUUGCUGACUGAUGCUGAAAUUGAUGACCUUCUUGAACACAAUGCUAAUGGGUAUGUAAAGCCUGAGAUGAAUCUCAGAAAAAGGUUUAUGAUACCGCUUCCUUUUAUUUAUCUGGUAAUCUCUUCAGAAUCCAAUGCUUUUUCCUACUAUGUUUUGCAGGAGAUCAGAACAUGUGAUUGGCAAGUUAGAGACUGUCGGGAGUAUGGUUAAUACAGAGCUGACUGAUUUUGAAGAUGCACCUAAAUUUUCAUCGCUUGAACCUUCAUUGUUUGGCAAUCCUCAGCCAAAUGCUGAUGGCUCCUUGACAUCUGGUUAUGAUAAGUUCAAUGAAGGUGAUAAAGGCCAGUCUGGAUCUGACAAAUGUGCAGAGGACACACUAGAAAACAAUGAAGUUGUUCACUCAAGCCAUUGCCAUGACCUCAAAAUGAAAGCACCUGUGAAAUCAACCAAGUUAGUUAUUAAAAAGAAACAAAUUUCAGCAGACACUGAAGGUCCUUGCAAACUGAAAAUUGUUAGUUCUAAGGCAGAUUCAAGCUGUGCUAGAGGUAUUGGGAUAUCUGAAAAUUCCUCCUCUAUGGGGCCUAAUCUAGUCACAGAAGUACCAGAAGGUGAAGAUGACAGAAAAUUUAGUUCUCCACAGCUACUGCAUUCAUAUUCUGACAAGAGAAGUUAUGAUCACUUCCAUAAAAGGGACAAGUCAUAUAAAGGGAAAGUCAAUCAAGAUGGUUUUGAAUCUUUUGAUUGUGAUAUGGGAGAACAUACUUCUGUUUUCAGCAACCAACAUGGUUUAGGAAUUGGUUUGUCUGAUGUUACAAGUGAUCCUAUGCGUCAAACACGGUUUAUAAGGAUGAAGACAACUUCUGAGGAGCCAAGCACUUCAAACAGAAGAAUUAAAAUUCGACAGGGUCAAAGUUCCAGGGGAAAAUCUGAUCGGGAAGACUCUUCUACCAGAAUGUCAGAUCAACUUCAUCGAAGAAUAAGGACAGCCAGACACAGGAAUGGUGAAUAUAUUGCCAAUGAUUCUGGUACUUUAACUCGAAGGGUGUCAAAUCACCAUGUCAAAAAAUUGUCAUGGCUGAUGUUGUCAGAGCCUGAAGAGGGUUACCGAUAUAUUCCUCAACUUGGUGAUGAAGUUGUGUACUUAAGACAGGUAGUAUAUUUUAUGAAUUUUUUUCUUUAUGGUUUGUAAUACUUCAUAGUUUGUUUUGGAAGUCAAGUUUCCCUAAUCUGUAUCCUAGUUUAUGUUCUUAUCCUUAUUUGAUUGUUUGUUUAAUCCGUUUCUAAAUUCAUCUUCUUGAGCUUAUUUGAUUGGCAGGGCCAUCAAGAGUACAUAAAGUCAUAUUCAUUAUCUGAAUCAGGUCCAUGGAGAUCAUUUACAGGGCUAGGUGCUUCUGAAAUUUGCAAGGUUGAAGAACUUGAGUAUGCAGAGCUACCAGGCUCUGGGGAUAGCUGUUGUAAACUUAAACUUAGAUUUCUAGAUCCUUCUUCGUGUGUGCAUGGCAAAUCGUUUAAAUUAACUCUACCUGAAUUGAUUAACUUCACUGAUUUUGUUAUUGAGAAAACAUGGUAUGAUACUGCCAUGAAGAGAAAUUGGUCUUCAAGAGAUAAAUGCAUGGUCUGGUGGAGAAAUGAAGAUGGGAAAGGUGGAAGUUGGUGGGAUGGUCGAAUUAUUCAAGUGCAGGCCAAAUCUGAUGACUUCCCAGAGAGUCCUUGGGAAAGGUAUCGGGUCCAGUACAAGACUGAUCCCACCGAGAAUCAUCUGCAUAGUCCGUGGGAACUAUAUGAUUCUGAGAUGCUAUGGGAGCAUCCCCACAUUGAUCAUGAGAUCAGAGAUAAGCUGCUUUCCUAUUUCACCAAAUUAGACCGCAGGGUAAGUAGAUAUGAAGUUUCAUUAACCUAGUUUGUUCUGUCACUUAAUUAGGCUUAUACUUGCAAGUUGCAAUAUUCUGAUUUGAUUUAAAGGGGGAGAGAUGGAACGUUUCUCAUUGUUUUUAUUUCCCUCAAUCCAGGAGAGGUUUGAUAUCCAAGCACUGAACCAAGUAGCUGAGAAAUUAGAGUUUGCAAACAGGUACUAAAAUGAAAAGCAGAGAGGACUGAUAUGCCUGUGAUUUUUUAUACAGACCUGUUCUAGAAAUUUCCAGUCCUUGAAACUAAGUAAACAAAAUGUAAAAAUGUCAGAGACAGCGACUAGUUAAAUGUGUGACUUUAAUAUCUUUGGAUUUGUAUUACAGGUUUCCUGCCCCAUUCUAUCCUGAACUAAUUCAAUCAAGGUUGAAGAAUGACUACUAUCGGAGUGUGGAAGGUGUCAACCAUGAUAUAAUGAUAAUGUUAUCAAAUGCGGAAGAAUAUUUUAAAAUUACAAAGAAUGUUCAGCUGGUGGGCAAGAUCAGGAGAAUAUCAGAAUGGUUUAGAAGGAAACUUGAAAGGAUAUAGAAAGCUCAAAUUGGAUUUUAUAGGUUUCUUUUAACAUUGUUUUUCAUUCUUUAAUCCAAUUUUGGAGAAUUAGUUGGUGGGUAAUUUGGUUUUAUAAAAUGAAGGUGGUCAUAGGUGGUUGUGGUGGUAAAUAUCAGCUGUCACAUGUGUAUAUAUACAAACUCAUCCUUGUUAAUUCAAUUGUCGUUAUGAGGCAUCUUCAGCUUCUUUAUAUUUGAAUAUUUUGUUGGUUUUGCCUUGGCCUCCACUAAAGCUGAGUUUAAGUUUCAAUAGAAAGUAGUGUAUCGUUUCCUAGAAAGCAAUAAAAUCUUCCAUUCCCUACCUGUCAGUUGUCAGUGUAUUCAGGUUUAUUGUCAGAAAAGAAUUUGUAUUCGAGAACUUUCAUAUUGCAACUUUAAUUGGACACAGGAGCAAUUCAAAUAGGAUAAAGUGCAUCAUUCUACAUGAAUUGGCUUAAUCUGCGCAAAGAACCAUACAAUGACUCACGUGGAUGAGCAACCAAAAGUAGAAGCUGCCCUUGCACAGCAAUUACGAUAUCUCAAUAUCGUUUCCUAGAAAGCUACAGUAGGAACGGGAUUCCCCUGCUGCUAGGGAGUUCUUGCAUUUACUUACGCAUUCAGAUAAUUGAAACAGUUGGAUGAAGAUGAGAUUAUAUAUGUUUGAGAUGUGAAUUGUCUGAUCGUUAUCCAAAUGGUGCUGAUUUAUUGUGUGAAUAUAGGGAAUUUACUUACAUGUGGCAUUGGUUCUGGUGGUUUGGCCAAUAAUAAUGGGUCAAAAAAUAUUGAAUGCAGAUGUAGGGGGAGGGUUCCGAAGAAUAUAAUAACCUCCAAUUUUUUUAGAUUGAGCAUCUUUUAUUUAUGAUUGUUUAGAUUGAGUAUCUAUAAUAACCAUUGAAAUUACAACUAAUUGAACUGCAAUUGAUGUAUUCGUCUUUGCAGCUUUAAUGCCUUUUAGCUUGUUGGUUUCACUAUCACAGAGCUACUCCAUUAUUAGUUUGGUUUCAAAGAUGUAGAAUCUAUAACAUGGCUCCUAGGGUUGGGUCUCUUUCUUGAACAGGAAAUCAAAUACAGGUAUAUUUAUCAAUUAACCAAUUUUUAAAUUUCAUUUAAUAUAAGAAAUAUUGUUGCCUUUGUAGUAGGAUGACAUGUGAAUAAAUUUAUGAUUAAUGAAAAAAAUGAGUUUGAAAUAUUUUUAAAAUAUUAAAUUUUAAUAAUACGAAUUUUCCACAUUCAUAAUUGAGAAUAAAUCAGGAUAAUUAUAAUUUUUUUAACUACUUUCGUAAUUGAUUAUAAAUAAUUAAUUUCUUUUAGGAAUUUUAUUUUUUUUAAUGCGGAAUUUUAUUCUCAAGUAAGAAUAACUCUCAGUAGUUUGGUGCAAAUUAACUACAUCAUGAAUCACACACAAGAAUAAUUCCACAAGACAUUUCAAAUACUUUUUAGUUUUUUUAUUAGCUGGUUUGAUUGUUGGGUAAAUAAUUUUUUUUAAUUUCAAAUACUUUUUAGUUUUUUUUAUUAGUUGGUUUGAUUGUUUGGUAAAUAAUUUUUUUUAAUAGUUUCUUAAUAGUUUUUAAUAUUUCUUUCAAAUGUUACUUGGACUCUAUUUGGUAAAACUAGUUGGAAGCUAGAAAAAUAAGUGGUAACUAAAAUCUUAAAGUUAAAAAAAAACUAGCUAGUUGAAUUAUAAAUAUUUGAUAAAAUUAAUUGUUGAAAUAAAUGAAAAGUGUAAAAUGACAAAAAUAAUAAAAUUAUAAUUUAUUAAAAAAGGUUAACUAGAAAAUUGGAUUAAUAUAUUGAGAAAAAAAUGAAACAAAAUAUUAAAAGUUAGAAGAUGAUAUUUUAAAAAAUAUUAAUUCAAGUCGCAUUUCAAGAAAAUGCUAAAUGUUACUAAAAGUUUGUUUAUUGAAACAAUCAAAUAAAUUUUUCAACUAAAAAAAAGUUAAAAGAUAAUUAAAAUGUCUUAAAAACAACAUUAAAAUAACAUUUUUUAAAAUCUUAAUUUCUGAUUUUUUAUAUUUUUUUCAAUUUUAUUCUUAAUAUAUUUAUUUAAUUUUUUUUAUUUUAAAUAAAUAAUAAUUUUAUUAUUUUUUAUCAUUUUAUAUUUUUCAGUUAUUUUAACAAAGUAAUCUCAUUGAACUAACCUUGAUAAAUUGGUUGAUGAUGAUUUCAUAAGGUGUAACAGUUCGGCUGUGUGAUCAAUUUCUGAUUGCAAUUGGGAAGCCAUGUUUUUUGAGUUCAAAUUCACACGUUUCUCCAUACGUAAGACCAUGACAUACCAACAUGGAGUCAAAAAGAUAAGAAUUAUCAAUGCACCAUAUGCCUACAACAAUGUUUGUUUAAUUAACAGUGUGGGAAUAUACACAUUUUUUUUAAAAAAAAAACAGAUAUUUGUUGUAAUUGGGUUGUGCUUACACUUCUCUAAUCGGAUCAAAUCAACCAAUUUAUUUUACAAAAACACAAAUCAUCUAAUUUAACUAUAAAAAUUCAGUAAUGAUAUAAAAAAACCCUUGUAUACAUUUAAUUGACAUUCUUCAUUUUUACAUCAUAUCACUUAUCACUUCUACAAUCCUCCCACUUUUAUCUUAUUUUAUAUAUCUCUAAAUGUAAAUUAGUGCAAGGUGUCUAUGAACCAAUUUUCAUAAAAAUUACGUGGUCAAGCUCCGUUAUGAAUCGCGUUGCAUUUGUUCCAAAGGAAGUGAAGAAAAAGGAGAGAUUAGGAAUUAUAGAAGGGGAACCUCUCCUUCAUUAGCCACGAGGUUUACGCCAUGAAAACGAUAAGAACAGAACAUAAAAAAAAUAAAAAAAAUGAUAUGAACUAACAAAAAUACCAGUAGGAUCACCAAAGAUGAAAGCCUCAAGGCCAUUGAUAAAUGAAGAUUCUUAAGAGUCUUCUGGAUGUGACCAAGCUGCUCAGUGGAUGUCUGCAGUGGAAAUUCAAUAAAAUCAUAUUGAUCGAGAUUUGAUAUUCUGAACAUGUGAAAAUACUCCACGCUUUUAGUAAAAUGGUAAAAUUUUGGCAAUAAGGAGAAAAUAUCUCUCCAGAAUAUCUGAUAUUCUCUGCACAAUAUAAUAUAUUCUCAAUAAUCCAAACUUAAUCUUUUUCAUUAUUGCAUCUACCAAAAAAUAAUACAAUUUAAUUUCAUUUAUACUCAUGAUCAAAAGUGUAGAAUUGGGCAUGCCUAUAGCCUUUAGCCUGAACAAUAUUUAAACGUAGAAUCAAACAAUUAACUAAGACGUACAAAGUGCCAACAUCAGAUCUCUAUUGAUUUAGAUAUGAAGAAAUAUGAAAAGGCUUCCAUGAAAGAAUUUUUACUUUCUUGAUUUUUCCUUGUAUUAUUACAGAUGAUCUACUGAUAUAAUAUUGAUCGUCUCCGUUCCCAGGAUUAGGAGAAGAAAAUCUCUUGAAAAACAACAAAAACUAAUAAAACAAAACUAUGCAUUAGAGGAACAUGCAUUAACCUGAAAGUGAAAGAGGAGUGUAUCUAAAUUCCUCCAGUCAUACUUGCUGGUAUAUAUACUUUUAAAAUGUUUUUUGUUACUUUUUUUUUAAUGACAAACAGUAUAGUUUAAACUAAUGUUCUCUUCCACUUUACCAAACUCUUUAACAAAAGCUAAAUUCAAGUGACUUAAAUUUUAUUGCCUUAAUUUAUCAGUUUUUUACAUAAUUAUGGUUUGUUAUUUUUAUAUACUACAAUCUAUGCAGAUUUAGUAAUUUUUUAAUAUUUUGAUGAUGACAAAUGAAAAGAAUAGGUAAUGACAUAUGCGUUUUUAAAGAAAUUAAAUGACAUAACUUAUAAGUUUUGUAAAUAUCAGCAUUACAAUUUUAUACAUGGACAUUUAUGGAAAUAUUGGUAAUUCCCCUUAUUUCUAAUACUGGAGAACCCGCACAUUAUUUCAUUAAUUCAUUUUUCAAAUCUUUUUGGUUUUUUACAUGUCCUCUUUCGGAGACAAUCCCGAUAAACGAUUAAAAAUUAAAUAUGGAUAUUUCUUUUGACUAAAAUUUGAACUUUACUUCAUUACAUUAUAAGAAAUUAAACCCUUCCAGCUAGACCCAAAUCCCAUUGGUUAAUUUUCCAAAGUAUUUAUAUUUAUUUCAUUCCAAAGUGAUAAAUAACGGAUUUGAACUUGUGACUUAAUUGUCAUAUACAAGACACAUCUUGCUCCACUCAAUUAAACCUUGAGGUUAUAUUAUUUGUGUGUAAUCUAGUCAAACUUUGUAUCAGUUUUUAAAUAAUAAAUAUGCAAAAAAAUAAUUUAAAAUAAUUUUUGCUUAUAAUUUUUAGUACUUUGUACGCACUUUAAAAGCAUGCACACACUAGCAAGUUAUCAGAAUAUUUUACAUGUAAUUUUAAGUUUAAGUAAAAUCUUAAAAGAUUAAAAAACAUCAUCAUUGACAAAUACAAAGUUGGGUGAGUUUUAUUUGCAGAAUAGUAAAGAAAAGCAACUCAUAAGUAGCUUUUUAUCAUAAGAAACACACAUAUAUGAAAGGUAUUUUAUAAUAUCAUCUUAUUAAUAAAUAUAUUUAGAAUUAAAAAUAAUAUUUUAAUUUUUCAGAUGAUAAAUAAUUCAAAAUAAAUCAUAAUAAUUUAAAAGGUAGUGAUUAUUUUAAAAUAAAGGCACUUUUGGCCGGGUUAUAGGUGGCCGAAAGAUUAUAAUAUUCUAUUAAUUUAAUUUUUUUAUUAUAGAUUAAUUUUUGUAAAAUUGCAUUGUGGACCUCUACCAAUGGCUAUAAAACACAUUGUGUGCGACUAGAGCAAGUAGACAUGGAAAUGCUUCCCCAACUUGUUCCAUCUACUUCCCAUCCCGCUAAAGAGAUUAAUAGGCAAACUUUUGUUGUUGUGUAAUAUAGGAUUCAAGUACAAUCAUGGAUUAGUGUAAAAAAUACUUUGAUAAUAAUUUUUUUACUUAAAGAAAGCUAACAAAAUUUUAACAGAAAAUUUUAAAAAAAGUAUCAUAUAUAUGCUCUAAUCUACUAAAGAAGGAAAGUGUGUAAUUUAACAUAAGAGGGGUGAGAGUAGUGUAGUUCUCACAUCUUUAUUAAAAUAUAGAAGUGUUAUUUGUUCUUAGAUAUAUUAUAAUUUUAAUGAAUGAUUAUGAUGUUGAUAAAAUUUAUUAUGUAAUAUUUGUUAUUCAUUUCAUUUUUUUUUCACUAUGGUCAUCCGCUGAUUUUUCAAACCUAAAUCUCAGAGUAUCAGUAUAAUUUACUUUAAAAAAUUGUAUAAUUUAAAAUAAGAAAAAAAUAAUAUUAAAAUCUUUUAAGAUAGAAAGAAAUUAUUACAUAAUGAACUACUACAUGUCUAUAGUCUCAACUAAAUUCCAUGUGAGACGUAAUUGAGUUUCUAAAUUUACCAGAAGAGUUAAUAAAAUUUGAUUAUGUGUUACAGGUAAAUUGCUCAAGAUUGUGGUAGUCCCAUAACAUUUAAUAAUUUCUGCCAAGUUAGGAUAGUGUGAAGGAUAUUUAGUUAUAAAAUUAUUUAUAAUAAAUAAUUUAAAAAUAUAACAAAAUAUAAUUUAUUUGCAUUACUCAACAAAAAAGUAUAUAUUUUAGCUCGAGACACGGGAGGACGGUGUAAUGCUUAUAUUUAAAUAUAUAAAUAAAUAAUUAUUAUUAGAUUAUGAUUCUAUGAAUGUUUAAAUAAUUUGAAAGUUGGUAUACAAACUCAUUAAAACAAUAUCACAUAACUAAAUAAUUGAAUUGAUAAUUUUUACUAAUUAUAAAAAAUAUAAAAAGAAUGAAUUUAUUAAAUUUGACAAGUCGCAUCCGUUAAUCCUAUCCUGUUGCAUACAUUGAUGUAUUAUGCGUUAAAAUAAAAUAUAACGAAAUAUCAAUUAGUUUUUAUAAUUGUUUAAAAUUUUUUAUAGUUAAUGAGAAUUUUAUUUUUUCCAUCGGAAUUUUACUUAAGAAGACAAAGUUUAAUACCUCUUAGAUUAAUAAUUUAUUAACUUAUUGGUUCUAAUAAGAAUGUUUAAUGUAAUGGUUAGAUUGAAAAUUUUAGAUUCCAUGCCUCAUACUUAAUUUUAUAGUACUUAAUCAUUAAUUCUUGUGUUUCUAGUUGGUUGAAUGUUAUGCCUAAUGAAUUAAUUUAUUAACGGUGUAUUAUUUUAUAAUUUUUUACUAUUAUUUUUUAAUUAAGAUUUGAGAUUCGCCACCUUAACCUACACAAUAAAGAUUAAUACUUGUUAAGUUAAAAACUCUAAUGGAAAAACAACAUAAGAAAACACCUAAGUUACUUCAAUUAAGUUUUGCCAUUUAGUUAUUAGGAUGACCAGCAGAAAAAUGUUGUUGGAAGAUUUAUAAUUAUCCGUGACUAGUGAGAAUGAGAUGCCCCUUUUAGUAGCAAAGUUUACUUAGUUGUAUAAUGUUCCAAUUGUUAUGUGCUAGUUAGUUGCAUCUUAUGUUCUGUGUUUGUAUACACUUUCUUAAGCCUAUUUAUAUAUGGCAUAUUAACUAUGCAUUUGUCGAUGUACAUGAAUCUGAUUUAAACAUUCUGUCUUUCUGAAUAUCUGUUUAAUGGCAAAUGCAGUCAUUACAAUUUCAUUGGUGGCUCUGCAUGCAUAAGCUUGUGCUGAGAUCUCAAUUUCUGAUAGACAAACCAUUACACACGUGUUUGUUGUGUUGUGGGAUUAGGUGGAUAUGUUAUUGUCUCUAAUGUUUUCAUUAUUAGUGAUUGAUUUUCUCACUUCUGAUCUUUCAUCUCAGUUUCUUCUUUAAUUUGUGCAUUUACUUCAGAGUAAAGCACACAACAAUGUGAAAUUAUUUCAGGACAAAAACUGCAAUCCAGCAUUAAGAAUUGGAGUUUUACCUCAAUGCCAACCCCUCAUUGGAUUUAACAUAGACAUGGUAGUUCAUUCUUUUGAAAAGCAAUAGUUUUAACUUUUAAAGGCAAUGUAUGUUGAUUCAUUUCUGAUAGUUAUCUUAGGAGGUGUUUGGUUUGGUUGUUUUCUGUUUGCAUUUUCACUAAAAACAGAAAACGGUGAUGAAAAUGUGUUUGGUUGGAUUUCUGAAAACAUUUUCAGUGAAAAUGAAAAUAGGAAACAACCGAAAAAUGAAAAUAAUAAAUUCUCGUUUUCAGUAUUUUUAGUUGAAAACAAAAACCUCAUCUCGGUUAAAAUGAAAUUGCGGUGACAAUGAAUGUAAUUUUAAACAAAUCUAAAAAUAUAAAAAGAUAAGAAAUCAAUAUAUCAUAAAUUUUAAGUAUUUUUAUUCUAUGAAAACAGAAAACAAGAAAUCAAACCAAAUAUGUUUUCAGAAUUUUAAUCUUUUAAAAAUGAAAACAAUUUUCAAAAAGUGAAAACAGAAAAUAAAAACAAAAAAUAAAAAUACAAACUAAACACACCCUUUUUUUCUCAAUGUUACGUUAGUUAUUCAACAUACCAGUUUCGUUGGUAGUGAGUGUGUCGAUGUAAUUUCAAGUUUCAGCUAACAAAUUGAAGGCUGGCCCAUUGUACAUGUUUGGAUCAUUGCCUGAUGCACUUGUUUUACAAGUGAAUACAUACAUAUAGGUGAAAUUUGGUUGUUUUAUAUACUUGGGUUGGUAGGAAACAGUAUAAAUACUGCAAAGCUAUAUGUAUUUCAAUGUGAAUUUCGUUCUUCUUUUUUUUUACAAUAAAAAAUUAUGCCUCCAAAAUGGUAAAACUUGACAGAGCAUCAGCAUAAUGCUCUGAUACAAAUUAAAUCAAAUAAUGACCUAUGAUUGUGAAUGUCUUAAAAUUUCAUCAUUUGGUGUCUCAUUUUCUUCAUCAUCUCCAUCAGAUAUCGAUGAGUCAUCGUCAGAAUCCUGAUAAAUAGAGGAACAAUCAUUUUUUAGUUGUGGUUGCAUGUCACCCAUAAUCGAUGAAUCAGCCAGUACAAAAAAAUAAUGCAUGGAAAAUUUUAAAACCUCAUGAUGGUGACGCUUAAUAUUGUCAUGAAUAGCUCCGAUCGCCUUAAUAAUUAUGUACAUGGGUAUAAUAAUUCCACUGGCCCUUAGUAAAAAGACCUACAAAAAAUAAAGAAAAAUUUAAUUUAAUGAUUCACAAAGUAGAUAGUAUAUCCUUUUAGUAGAAAACUGGGAAUCAAAUACUUACCGUAAGAAUUGUAAAUGGAUAAUCUUCCAUUCCAUCUGUAAGGAGUGCAAAAAGAUGUCUUACAAGCAAGAUGAGUGUAAACUGCAAUAACAAAUGGCAACUAGUUAGUUAUUUUAAGUUUGGUCAUGUUAAUAGUAUCAAUCUCUGUAAAUCAUCUACAACCCUCCGGAAGAAACAUGACUCAAAAAUAUAAUAAACUCUACAUUCUUAAUUUUAAUUCAAGUAAUUUUAUAUUGUCUUCUAUCUUUUUUCUUAUCAAAUAAAAAAAAGUAACAAAUGUUUUCUAAAUUUUUAAAAUUUUAAAUAUAUCUAUUUUUAUCUAAUAGUAUUUUUUAUAAAGUAAUAAGAGAGUUAAUUAGAAGACAUUAUAAAAAAAAAAAAAAUAGAGGAGCACUACUAAAUACUAAUACUCCCAACAAGGCUCAACAAAUCCUUUGUUUCCUUGAAGAGAAAAUAAUCAAAUAUUGUAAAGGUCAAUUCAAAUGUAGCUCUCAACAAAGCCGCGUGUUGGUAGUGGGCCUAGUGGCAUCCCCAUUAACAACAGAAUCAGAUUGAGUCCAGACAGUCUUUACAUACAUUCACUCAUUUGGAGACACAAUCAAAUUUAAAACAUACUUUCAAAAUCUGAAUCGUCCAAUUUUGAUGCAACGGUUAUACAUUAAAUGCAUCUUUAGGGCAUUAAUUAAAAAACUAUCGUAAAAGAAAAAAAAAUAUUUAUUAUAAUAAUCAUAAGAGCUUAAAAAAAUUAUAAACAACAUAACUUUAUACAUUUUAAAUAAAUUUUCUCCAUCUAAUUUCUUAACCAAUAACUUAACAACACCAAGUUCAACAAAAAUAGACAUGUAAUGUAAGUACCGCAAUGCCAGUUGCCUCGAACACUGUUCACCGGCAUUUAAAAAAUCUGAAUCAAGUUAAGAUUUACCCAUCACCCACUACGGAACAAGCAAUCUAAAAAAGAAAAAUAGUAUGACUUCCCAACGGCACUCUCUUAAUAAAUUCCAAAGAGAGAGAGAGAGAGAGAAAUGUACUUAAAACACUUAUUACAUUAUAAGUAAAUUUUUUUAAAAAUCAUUUAAUAUUUUUAUUUAUAAAUCUUUAACAAGUAGUAUGAAUAAGGUCAAUAACAUUAGUUUUUUUUUUCUUUUUUUGGUGAACUCAAUAACAUUAGUUUAUGUAUAAAAUAAAAGGAGUAAAUAUAGAUAAUGCUUACAGCUAAAGCCAGGGAUCGACAACAAGCCGCGGUCCUAUCUGCAGCAUACGUGCAUUCAGAGUAAUUGUUUCCUUCAACGAUACCCACUAUUCUUGUGUUUAACGGUUCUUGUUCAUUCCUUGAAAUUUGCAGGCUAUCCCUGUUAUGUAAUACACCAACAACAAAAAUCAGCUUUUGGAUUAGUAUUUCUCAAUUUUUCUAGAAAUAAUCAAGAAAAAAACGUUUCUGCACCUAAAAGAUUUAAAAUUUGGGCUUGGGGAGAAAAACUUUGCCAACUUGCUUAGUCAAGGUGCCACAUUUUCGAAAUGUGAUUCGAUUAAAGCUAAACAAUUAGUUGCAAGGCACAUAAUUUCACUUGGAUUGAAUCGCACGGGGAAAAGUUGAGUUACUUUGAGACACGUUGUAACCAAGAAAAUUAAAAUUGUGUUUAAUACUUAAAUUUAACAUAAGCACGUGAGAUUUAUUCAACUAUACGAAAAAAUAAGCAUAUAAUGCGGGAAUACCUAAUGGUCAUUGCUGCAUCAGUUAUUUGCGAUUUCUUUGGGGCUGCUGUAUAUCCAGGUUCAUAUUGCUGCAAAAACAAGGAACAAAAAAUAAAAGAGAACGCUUUGAGCUCAUCAAAUUAAAAAUAAAUAAAUUCAAAGGCCCAAAAACGAAAAGAAAAAGGGAUCGCAGAGACACAGACAACUCCUUUCUUAUUUUUAAGAAAUGAGGAUUAAUAGCAUCAAGAAAUCAUAAUCGAUAGAAACUUAUCAAGAAAACAAAAUGAAGAAACUUUAACCAAAGCUUAGUACCUGGAGACAUAUUUCACAAGUUGUAUUUCCUUUCUCAUCGCACCAUGUCUGAAUGCAAUCUCUGUGAGCAAACUGAAGAAUAAAACUAAGAUGAUCAUGACAAGAUUCUCUAAAGUAAAGUAAACAUAAAAGUUGUUAAGAGAUUGUGGAUUUAUUUACCUUAACUGUCCCAGAACAAGCACAAGGAGCUUCCAAGGUUUUGGAGCUCUCAAAUUCUUCUUCAUGACAUAUUCUACAGCGAGAAAUCCCAGAAAGUGAUCUCAAAUCAUCAACCAGCAAUACAACUUCUUCCAUGUCUCUUGCAACCACGGAGAGCUCCAUGUCUCUUAAAACUUCUUCAGCCUUGGUUUUCAAAUUCCGUUUAGUACUCUGUUUUCCUAUCUCUCCAGAAUCUCAACUUUAUAUAUAAAAUAAAAAACACCGAAUUUCCAAUACUGCCCCUGUAUGAUUGUUAAACUAAAUAAAUCUGUCAAUAUUAUUUGAUAUGACCUUUUCUUUCUUAUAUUUUCAUCUCUUUUAUAUAUAUAUGGAAGAACUGUUCGUGUUGUAUUCAGUGGAACAAGAUCAUAAACAUAAUAAACGAAGGCUAGCUUUGACUCCAAAAAUUGGACAAAGAGAACUUGCAAAGUUGCAAUGCAGGGUCAAACAAAACCUCCUUUUGGCUUCCUCCCAAGGCAUGAAGCAUUUAUUUAAGAUAGUCAAAAUUAAGAGAGAAGACCAUAUGAGAACAUUAAUGUGUUCUAGAAUUCCUUGCUUAUAUAAGGAGAACAAGUCAUGGUCUAUGCCAAAUGGGACAAAGCAGAUACAACGGGAAAGAAGAAAAGUGUAACUUAUAGUCGUGUCUGCUGACUUCAACCAAAUAUUUUUACAUUUUUUUAACAUAUUAUUUAACUAAUACAGAAAAAUUAUUAUUCUCUUGUUUGUUUAUUAUUUUUUCUUAAUAUAAACUAAAAAGACAAUUAUAAUUGGACGAAAGGAAUAAUAAUAAUCCAUUGAUUCAUACUAACUUCGUACUCAAGCUUUUUGGUAACAUAUAGCAGCUAUAAAGGAAAAAAAAUGCAUUUAAUCUAUCCUUUUGGUAAGAAAAACAUUUGCAUUCAAAAUUUCGGUCAAGUACAGGUUUUUUUUUAUCCAUUAUUUUUCUAUUCACUAUCUCCUACCAUUUUAAGGAUAUUUUUCCUUUGAGAUUAUUUUUUCAGUUUGUCUUUCUACGGUUAAAUAAUCAAUUCUUAAAUUUUCUUGUUGACUAUACAUUUGGAUUUUAAGUGUUCAUCAACUACCUAUUCGGUUAUUCCCUAUUCAUAAAUGUUAUUCAUUUUAUAAAUAGUAUCUCAUUUUUCUAGUUGUGAAAUUCAAAGUCAAGAAAUUUAUCAAUAGAUUUUUUUAUUGAUAAAUGUUAAUUGUUAGUAUUGUUAGAUUUUAAAGUAAAGAAAUUUAUCAAUACAUUAAUUUGUUUUAGAUGAAGUGGAAUAAAUGCUAUAAAAAAAUAAAUGAAUAAAGAUAAAUAUUCACUUUAAACAAAAAAUAGUUCGAUGUUAUGCUAAGCACGCAGAUAAUGGUACAUCCUCUAGCAAUAUAUUUCUAUUGAUCUUCUUAAUACCUUAUAAAAUAACUAUUAAAUAAAUAAAUUUGAUAUGAUAAAAACAUAAAAGACAUAUAAUAAUUUCUUCACUUAAUAAAAGAAUUAAUAGAAAUAUGUUAUAAGAUGACGUAAAAUACAUUCUUGAUAAAUUAUAAAUCUAAUCAAUGUCAAAUUUAGUGCUAAACAAGCAUUUGACUCUUUUAAAAUGAACAACUCGGUGUAAUUUAUUAUGUGUAUAUACAUAACAAAUUAUGGAUAUGUUAGUAAUGUUAUCAUUGAUUUUACGAUCAACGAUUGAGCGAGAUUACUUUUUUUAUUAAUAUUUACUUUAGAGGAGUCAAAUUCACUAGUUAUUUAUUUAUCAAAACAAUUACUAUUUAUUUGAAUUUGACUCAUCUAAAAUGAGCAAGAAUAAAAUAAGUAAUUCAAUCUCUAAUAAGAAAUUAAUAUUUAAAGACAUCUAUAAUUUGUUGCACACAUUCAUAUAUAUAUAUAUAUAUAUAUAUAUAUAUAUAUAUAUAUAUAUAUAUAUAUAUAUAUAUAUUCUCAUCAAUAACUGAAAUUAUUUACUACGUCUUAUAUAAUGUAACCAAAACUAACAUUGUAAAUUAUUAAAUUUUAAAUAAAAAUUUAUUGGAAAAUAAUUCAUAACAUUGUAUAUCUUAAUAUGAAUUGUACAAUAUCCACGACCUCACACUCGUGUCUUAAGCACGUACAACAUAUUGCGCUACAAUUUAACAUUGGUUCCUAAAUAGGAACCUACACUUUCUCUUUAACACUGGUUCCUAAAUAGGAAACCUACAUUUUCUCUUUAACACUGCGCAUUUACACUUUUCUCAAGAUAACAUUACAAUUUUUUUUAUAUUACACAACCUAGAUGUACAUUUUUAUUAUGUAGUCAUCAUUUCAUCAUAAAAAUAAUAUGUAAAUAAAAUUAAAUAAGGAAUAAAUAUAAACAUUUUAACAAUUAAUAACUGAACAAGACAAAAACAACACAUACAAUGUUCAUAUUAUAAAUAAAUCUUUUGGUUGAACUUGUUACACGAAUUUCAAUAAGAAGGGGGGACCUUGUUACAUUGAUGAUUAAUUGGUUGCAAUAGGCUAUGAGUGCAUUUUGGGAGGGUAAAAAGUAAAAAAGAAGAAAAAAAAGCUACUUUUGUAAAAACAUGCAAUAAAAUACGUUGUUGUGUGUCCCUCGAAAUUGGCCUUUCAAGAUUUAAAUCUGGGACCUCCGAUUCUUCAACAACGGUAACAAACAAUCAAAGACAAACUGAAAUUUGAAAUCAUGGGCCCCGCUAUUCCAUUACAUUAAUCCAAACGCGUUCACCGAAAUGCAUCAUUAACCGUGAUUCGGCGGGCCCUCCUUUCCAUGUCUCAUGUCUUAUUCCUUUCUUUCUUUAUUUUUACCAGCAGAAAUUUUUAUUGUUUUAUUAUAUUUUAUUAUAUAAAAAUGAUAUUUUUUUAUUAUAUUUAAAUUGAUGUGAAUAUUAAUUUUAGUUUAAUAUGCUUUAUAAUAAAUAUUUUUUUAUUUUAUAUAUUUAUUUAUUUUUCUCUUCAUUACAUAUCUUACUUUAAAAUAUAUAAAAAUAUUUAAAAUUAAAGUAUAUAUACCUAAGAACAAAGAUAAUUAAAGAUUAAAAUAAAAAAAAUUAACAUGUGAUAUAAUAAUGUUAUCAUUUCAAUAUUUUACAAAUAUCAAAUAGAAUAGAAUGAUAUUCAAAUAUUUACUACAGAUGAUUUAAUUAAAUAUGUAUAGAUAGAGAUGUAUUUACAAACACAAUAUAUUAAUUUAUCAUGUUAUCAUAACAAACAAAGAGACAUAAAAAAUAAAAUCAUGUAUACAUUAUAAAACAUAUUAACCUAAAAUUAACAUCAAUCUUGGAGUAUUUAUAUAUAACUUAUAAUCCUUUUCAGCAAUGGAUUGUAUACCAAAUUGUCAAAUAAUUGUGUAUAUUUUACAACUUUAUUUCUAUAAUAUUUAAGCUUUAUAUAUAUGUCCCAUGAGGAAAUUCUACUACUUUGAAUUCGUGAUGAAGGAACAUAUGGUAGUGCUUGUGUCAGUCAUAAUAAGCUUUUGUUUAUGUUUUAUAUUUAUAACUAGAAAAAAAAAUUGAAACUCAUAUUCUCAAACUUCAAGGUAUAAACUAAGAAAAAUCCACAUGAUAGAACUGUUGUUGCAUAACACUAUAUAGAUCUAUGAGGUGUUGGUAAGUAAAUGGUGGGAGGUCAACUAUCGUGCUAGGUGGAGGGGGAACAAAGACAUGGGAAGAAUUCCUAAAUAGGAGGUGCACUCAAUGGAAAUAUGUUUCUUGCAAAGACUUUAAAUAUUGUGUCUUUCUUUUUUCUUUGAAAAAAAAGGUUACUAUUAGAUAAACACUUUUUUCUUUUCUUUUGGGAUUUAUACUGUAUCUUGUGUGUUGAUAGAUUAGAAGGAAUAGUAAUUUGGUUACUUGAUAUUUAUUAAGUAUGUUGUGUGAUAGUAACUUGGUUACUUGAAAUUGUCUGACCUAGGAAUACCAUUAGUAGGCCGGUUAAUGAAUAAAAUUUAAGGAUGGAGAGCAGAUUCGCUUCAAACCUAAACAUAUGCAUAAAGAUAAAAAAAUUAAUAAUAAAAGAGUACAAAAAAAUCAUUAUCUUUCCGUUAACCAUUCAACUCUUAUCUUUUUUGAGUAAGUAAUGACCAUGAUAUGCAUGUUCUUUGCCUCAGGUGAAGGAUUCUCUAGGGGACAUUCAACUCUUAUCUUUUUUUCAGUUGCAUCGAUCAUGAUCCUCUCAUAAAUGCACACUUUAGUCUAAGUCACAAUGAGCAAAAAAUUCAUUUUUUAAAAGAAUAGAAAAAAGAGUUGCACAUACCUCUCAAUGGAUUUUCAAACUUCACAACUUCAUUCACCCCAUAUUUUAUAUGUUGCAAUCGUGUCUCCCAUAACUGAUAACUAACUCUACGUGUGUGCCACUAAAAAUAAUUAUAAUCAAUCAAUUAAAAUUUUAGCAUAUUUUCACCAACAAAUCGAGAAAGAAUAAGACCCUCAAAUUUCACUUUAGUUUGAAAUUUGAUCAGUUUUACAUGCAUUCGACAAAAUAGAAGAAUCAAAUGUAACUAAAUUAGGACAAGAGAAAGAUAGGGUUCGAUCGGAGUCGACGAAUGAAAGAAAAGAAAGAUUCUAUUUUGAAGGUUAAAACACAUUCCAGUAUUUUAAGGUUUUUUAUCUUCUUUAGUUUUAUUAGAUUCCUUCAAGGUUCUCCAUUCUAAAGUCUAACAUACAACAUAUUAUCUCAACAAUGGUAGUUUUUGUCAAUAUAAAAAUGAAAUAUAGAAGGCUAACAUUUAAUUCUUCCCCUUUUCAUUUGUAUGAAAAGAAAAAAUGAAGGAUUAGAGACAAAUAAGUAUUGUACAAUGCACAUACCUUUUUCUUCUUGAAAACCUUCAAAUAUCUUUAGAUGAAUCCACCCGACAUUAAACAAUUGUUAUUAGACAAUAAGGAGAAUUCAAAAAAAAAAAAGAGCAAAAGAGAAUUAGUUAUUACACUAAAACAUGCAAUCCUUCCUUUAUAGCAACCUGGAAUUAAAAAAGAAAAAUCAAAUUUCUGAAAUUAAAAAAUAAAAUUAUCCCAAAAUCUCACGAACCUCUUUGGAUUGGAUGAUUCAUCAACUACUCUUAAAUCUCCUAAACCUGAAACCACAGAAUAUCAACUGAAUAUGAAAAAAAAUCAUGAAAUGGGAAUGAAUUGAAUUUGAAAAAAUUAACAAAGAAAAAGACAAAAGGUUAAAAGCAAAAAUAAAACCAUCACUUAUUGUUACGACUCAGGAAAAAAAGAAACCAAGAAGUUUACGGUUAGAGAAAGACAAAAUAAAGUAGUAGUUAGAAGGAGAUUUCACAUAAGUAUGACAGAGGUAGCAGUUAAAUUUUAUGGGAGAGAUAGGAGUUACGUUAGGAAUGGUGAGAUAAGGAAAACCAAAUAAUUUUUUAAAUGUAAUGACAUAAUAAUGGCUACUAAAAGAUGAAAGAGUGUACGACGACUAAGUAUCACAAGAUUAGAAAUGUGUAGUUAUUCAGUUUUCAAGUAUCAUUUCAACAAAUUGAAAGUUAUAAAUUUAGACAUUUGAGAGUAAAGAUAUCCAAAAAAAGUAAAGACCAAGCAAAAAAUAUUCUCUAUCUAUAGUUAUAGAUAAAUAAAUGAUACUAUAAUAAACAAAGAUAAUCCAUAUUUAUAAUUUAUGUGUAAUAAAAAAAAGUUGUACAAUUCAAAGUGAGAUCACAGGGGAUGUGAUAAAGAGAAGUAGAAAGGAAAAAUAAUGUUAUAAAAAACAUUAUAUAAAUAAUAUAACUCAUAAAUUAAUGUAUUAUGUAUACAUUUGAAAAAUGAAAAAUCAAUUUUGUCAAAUGAAAAAUUAAUUUUGUCAACAAUUAUCCAUCCGCUCUUUGAUAGGAAAAUAAUUGUACUGUAUAAGAUGCAAUUACUUAUGUUUAGUUUUUUAUUUUUUAAGGAAAAACUGCAUUGCAACGUAAUUUAUUAAUAUCAUUUUGUUUAUUAUAAAAAUAAAUGAAAGGCAUACGUGUGUAUAUAGAGUUAUAAAUAAUUGAAGGUUUUAUGAUUUUAUCUCUUCACUUAUAUAGGUACAAAUAUUCCUAUCAUCUAUCGAUUUGCUCACCCAAUAAACUUGAUUUGUUUGCUAUGUAAAAGAAUACAUGUUCUUAAAUUGAAGAAUAUGUAAAAGAAUACAAUACUAGUUCCACACGUUAUUUAUUUCAUAUUAUAUGAGAGAAAACUGACGAAUGUGUUUAUUCUUUCUCGGUCUUAUCGUCUCUCUUUCUCUGGGUGGAUUUAUCAACAAUUACAAGCAAUACUUGCCAUAAGGAAGCUUCGCAAUUUCGAAAACUUAGACCUUUCUUGAGCUUUUCUGUAAGCAAAUUAUCAAGUGGACGGCACAAACUUGUAUUUGCGGAGGAAAAAACCUUACUACAUGAUUAAAAUGGGACCCACUCAUAGAGCAGAAUUACAGCUGCAUCCAUCCUAAGUAGCAUAUUAUAAACGCUGAUGCUUCUUAGAUAACAUUUAUUUAUUAUUUUUAUUAUUAAGAUUUUGAAUCAAAUAAUAACCUGUGAGUAAAUACUGUGUUGUGCCAAGAAUGAGUAAUUCAGAGUAAACUAUAAACUUCAACAACCAAAUUGAACAAAGAAAGUAUAAACACAAUCAAUAUAUUCGAACAAGUCACUUCUCAUUUAUUAAUUUCUCCCCUUUUGUGUUUGUGAAAAUACAAAGUUUCUUUCAAACAGUUUCAAACUUUCUCACAAUUACAAGAGAAAGAAAAUUACAAUGAAAACAUAAACUGAACACUCUAACUAAAAGCUAUUUAUAGCCUAAGCUUCUGACAACUUACCCCUGUAACAGUUAUAACCGAAAACUGUUAUAUAGAAAAUAACCGCUAACAGAAAUAACUGUUUUACAAAGUCAUUGUUAAAUGUAAAACUAAGUGGAAAACUAUUGUAGUAUUCACAGACAUAAGUUCUAACCUCUCUAUCACCACUGUAAAAAAAAAAAAUGCACUGCAAGUUAAACACACAAACCCGUUGAUGCUUCUUUAAUAUGUUAUAAAAAAUAUUCACAUAUUGUUAUUUGAUUUGAAAAUUUGAUUCUAUAUGAUAUAUAAAGAACUUGAUUUAAAUUUCUCUCUGAAUUUUUUUUGGCUAUAAUGCUAAAUAGUGCUUUGUAAUUGUGGAAAUUUAUAAAUGUAGCAUUUGAUAUUUUCUUUCUCUUUUUUAACUAGGGUAUAUGGUGGCGGUUGAUAACGAAGUUGUAUGGUUAGAUCAAGAAAAUCCCAUCAACGUUGAGUUUG
rnacentral:lncRNA from 1 species